rnacentral:lncRNA from 1 species
GCACCAGCAAUUAAUGACGCAGGAAUGGGAAGUUUAGGUUGCUCCCCCGGUUUGGGUGACAAGUUCUUAUUCACAGUAUCAUAUGCAAACAGCUGUGAUGAGAGCAAAUUAUGUGUAAGCUAACAUCUGAAAUUAGAUGAUUACUUUGAAUACGUGAAAUAAAGUAACAUGGCUUAUUUUUCUUCUCAUCCAACAAAACUACUGCAGAAUACACUGCCAUGUACCGUUUAGCAUACGAUUAGGGACAUGAUAUGCACAAAUUGAGAUGAGCCAAAUUUUGAAAAGUUCAAGCUUGGCUUGUUAUUUUCAGUUAGCUUGAGCUCAUACUUGAGGCUUCUCUUGAUUUAUCGAGCUCAAGCUUGGCUUGCAUUUAGCUUGUUUAUCGAGCUUGAUUGCAACUGAAAUUGUUAAGCUUGGCUGUAAUUAGUCAAAUUACUAAAAAGAAUUAUAAUUUUUAUAUUACCUAAAAUUUAUUUAAUGAGAUCUAAUACUAAUGCCACAGAAUAGUCAUAAUUUUAAAUAAUAGUUAAUAUUUCUUAGAAUAGUCAAAAGUACAUUUAUUUCAUUUACAACACUAUAAAUAACAAUAAUUAACAUAAAUGAUCCAAACUCCAAUACCGUGUGCUAAACUAAAGAGCUAAUAGAUGAGACAGUGUUCAUGAGCUUGUAUGAUGAGACUAUUCAUAAAGCCUAAAUGUGCUAGCUUGCAAAACACCAAAAAACAAAGUUGUCUUUUUUUUUUUGUGUGGGGUGGGGGGUUUACAGACAUAUGUUGAUGCCGGUCAAAGAAAUUGAGACUACUAGAGAACUCAAGCGGAGAGUGAAGCAAUCUAGAAUUCAAUAUACGGCAAACAAGAACUAGAAAGGAACUUAUUUUGGAAAGUAUGUCUCUGUAUGACCAUCUUCACUAUUUAUAUAAUAAUGUGAGAAAUAACUGCUUCUGGCAAGGGGAAAAAAAGAACAUAAAGGAAAACUAAUAAAAGCUAAACUGAAACAAUAAGAGAUUUUAAUGGGUGUGUUUAUAUGACUAUCAUCACUAAUUACAUGAUGAAAUGAACAACAAUUGCUUUAUAUGACAAUCACAACUCCUUUUGACAUAGAGUAGAAAUUGAAUUAGUGCGAAUAAAUGCUAACAAAGUCUGGAAGAGAUGAGCUCAUAGGACAAACAUCACUAUUUAUAUGAUCACAAAUAUGGAAACAUCAAUGUUUAUAAGGUGAUCACAAAAAUCCAUUCCGCCAAAUGAGGAGAAAAUAAAAGUAAUAUUGACAAACAAUACUCGCUUCGCCCCAUAAAUAUAGACUUGCUUUCCUUUUUCAUCCAUCCCAAAUUGUAUGCCACUUUCAUUUUUGAGAUGUUUAUUUACUUGUUAACUUCCUAAUAUACUUAUAUUUGAUAUGCAUUGAGAAGUAAUGAAUUUUUCCUAAUAUAUCCUCUAAUAUAUUGCUCCGUAUACUCCGUUGCCGAGUUACUAUAGAAAUUAAUCAAUUUUACUUUUAACUAUAUUACUAUAUUUUCUUAAUCCAUGUUAAAGAAACCAAUCAACAUAUCUGUGGGAGGGAGUAAAAACAUGAAAAACAUUAACCCUAUCUCAAGAAACACAUGCUUAUAUCACACUAAUUUUGAAAUGGAUAAAUCUAGAGCUGCACUUAGGAGAGGUCACAGCACCUCAUCUUAGCACAUGGAUGCACUCUAACUGUCGCUUCACUGAUGUUCAAACCUGUGUUCAUGACAAGUUCACCAUGAAUUUAAAACUAAUUUUCACUAAAUUUUUAAUACCAUAAUUGUGAUGCUUUUAGCUGAGAAUCAAAUAAUGAAGCCAGCAAGUACAAUCACUAGAGAACAGUCAUUCAUACAAUGAACAUUUAAAAAAAAAAAAAAAGUAAACAAAAAGAUAAAAAUGUAAUGUAACAAAAAGCUAACCAGGUCAGAAACAAACAACUUAUUUAGUUCCAUUAUUAUUUAUCAGCUCUCCGUGUGGAAACUCGGCCAUACAAGUGAAUCAACAAGGAAAUUGAAACAAACAUAAGAAGAGGAUGGCAACAAAGAAACGAGGCUCCAAAUGGUUAUAAUAAGAAUGUAACUUACCUCGACCCUGAACAACAAAGUCGCAAAGAAUAUAUUACAGAGUACACAUAAUUGCAGAACGGAUUUAUAAGCAUUACUAAGCAUUGAAUAAAAAGACAAUAAAUCUAUAAACAAUGAUAAAACAAACAUAACUCGUAGCAAGCAAGCAAGCAAUCCACACUGGUAAGCGUCUCCAUGAAGAUGGAAAUUAAAAUUUUGAAAGAAUUUGUUACCUCUAUGGCCUUGCUUGGUGCUACCCGAAUCACAUUAACCAAAUUGCCUCUAAACAAUCCCUUCCAUCCAUCAGUCUUCAUUAUAUUAUGAAACACCUCAGUUGUGGUAUGCCCACUGCUCCCCACCAUCAGAUGAGUCCUUAUGGUCUCCAGUGGAGCAACGGCGGUCCUUGAGACAGCCCCAGCUAUUCCACCACUAAUUAACCGUCUCACCAUUGGAUUUUUAACCUUAAGCUUCAACUUAAGCCCACCCUUCUUCUUCUUCUUAAGAGUCCCUUCCUCCUCCUGGACCCCUACAAAUGACAAAUACUUUUCACACAAAUCAGCGUACAGAGAUUUUAUGCUGCUAUUAUCACUGGGAUUCGGGAAGCCCAUCCCCAUCUGAUUAACGCUGGCAAAAAGGCCUCCACCAGGAAGAUAUUGCCCAUCUUGAAAGCUCCAUUGAGACCCCAAAUAAGAAACUGAGAAAAAUCCAUCCUUUUUGUCAUCAAAUACCUCGAUUGCUCGCUUACCCAUCAAUCAAAAUCCUGUAAAUGAAAUCCUUUUUGGGAUUUAGUGAGUACCCCAACCUAUUUUUCUCAUACAAGUAGAAAUAUUGGAGUGUUUGACAGUCAAAUAUCAGCUUUUGGUGAAAUGGGUAUCCGAAAAAUCCAUUUUUUGAUUAAAAAACAAAAGGAAAGAAAGAUAAUUGAGGAAAUGGAAGAAAGGGGGGCGUGGCUGAAAAAUCCAAUAAGCAAAGACGAUGAAACCAAGGGAAAAGAAAGGGAAUGCAAAUUGAGAAACCUAGAUAGCAAGAGAGAGAAAGGGGGGUUAGGUGAAUCUCAAUAUCUCUCUCUCCCUCUCCUUCUCAGGUUACAAAAAAAAUUAUUCUGAGUAUUUAAAUAGUCUGAGAGUUCAGUUGAUGGGCUGCUGGAGUUAGGUUUUGCUUUCUACUUCAGAAGACCCCUUGGGAAUAUGACUCUUCACUCUAUUGAAUUUGCUUCUUUUUUUUUCCAUUAUCACAGAUUCAAUAUUUAUUAUAUUUCUUGGCCAUAAUAUUUUAGAACCAUUUUUUUCCAUUUGUAAUUUUUUAAAAAAGCCAACUUUAAAUGUUUCAAUGGUUUUCUUUAUUUACUACAUGGAAGAAAAUUUUUAAUUUUAUGUGUUAAAUAUUCUCGAAAAUAAAUAAUUUUCCAAUGUUUUUCCAGUGAGUUAAUAUUGGGAUUUGGUCCGAUUUGUGGUCUAAUUAUUUGGAAUCUUGAAAAAUAAACAAAUAGUAUUUCAAGCAGCCCCAGAUACAGCUACCAAUUUUGACCACUGUUAUAUUUAAUUAUUUUAUUUUUGUUUGAAGGAAUUUAUGAUUUUUUAAUAGAAAACUUUUGAAAUUUUUAGUUUAUAAGCACAUCAAUCAAUUGCUAAGAAUUUUUUUAAAAAAAUUUAUGUUAAUAUUUAGAAAAUUUUUCUUCAUUUUAAAUAAUAAAAAACUAUGAAAUCUUAAAAUCAUAAUUUUUUUACUUUAUUCUACAUAUUCUAAAUAAAAAUUAUUAAUUUCUUACCAAUUAAUUUUGAAAAAAAUUGUCAAAUGAGUGCAUUUUCCAUAAUAGAUUAUUAACCAAUCCCCUCGGUCACUAUAAAAGAAAUUUAUGAAUAAUGGAAAAAAAUCGGUUAAAUCUGAUCUACAUAAAGCUUUUUAAGGUAUAAAAUUAUUAUUAAAUCAAUAUAAAAAUUAUUAAUUAUAUAUUUAUAUUAUAUAAAUUCGAUUUAAACAACUUGACAUGUUAAAUAAUAUAUAAUUAAUAAUUUAAAAGAGAAAAAUCUUUCAAUUUGUUGAAUUUUAAUAAAUGAAGUUGGGAGAUGGGUCAUUUUCAUUUGGUAUGAUAUCAAAUAGAAUUUCCCCCCUUAAUAAUUUUUUAAAAAAGGCGCAAAAUUAUUUAAUUUAAUUUAAUUUAAUUUAUUUAAAUAAACUUUUUUUUUUUAUAUUGGAUGUGUUUAUAUUUUAAAUUUUUUUAAAUAACUUCUGUUCUGUUAAAUUUUUAUAUGAUUUAUUAAUGUAAUAUAAUGAUUCUCAAUCUAUUAAACUUUAAUUAUUUAUGAUCAUAAUAUAAAUUUAUCAUCAGCUAUUUUCUUAAUUAAAUUUGGUUUAUAUAUUUUAAUUUUUAAUAUUUAUUUAUUAAUAUAAAUUAAAUUAAAUUAUAACUCAUUAUUUAUAUUGCACGGAAUUACUAAUUUUUUUUGUAAGAAUAACAAAUAUUAAUAGUAAAAUUAUAUAUCAUUUGGUAAAUUUGAAAAAUUUGUAAUCUAAUGAAAAAUUAGAAAUAUAAUGAACUAUAGAAGUAGGGAAAAAGAAAAAGGAAAGGGAAAGGGAAGGGGAGAAAGAAGCAGGGAUAGGGUUUGUCAUCUUCUUUCUUGUUUUGAUUCUUACUUUCGCUUUCCGCUUUGUCUUACUUGUGUUUUCAGUUUUCUGGUGUUUCCUUUGUCUAAAGUUUUUAUUUUUCUGAACUGUAGUCCCUCUUGAUUCUCCUUCGCCGGAGAUGGGUGUGUAGCCAUUUUCUUUUUAUCUUUUCUCUCUUUUUCAUCCGUUGUUAGUUUGUGUUCUUUUUCAUAGUUUUUGUGUUGGCUUUAAGAAGGAAUUUGCUACUGAUUUGGUUUAGAGGGCUUCAAUUUUGACUUCCGAUGAGAAGGAAUCCUGAUUUCUUUAAGAAGGAACCUGGCUAAACCCAUGCCCAAGCCCAAGCCCAAUAUCAGAAUCCUGGGAUGCAUGACUCCGUUAACAAAGCCUUUACAACACAUACUAAAUAAUUAUACAAUAAAAAUUUAAAAAUAACUUUUAGAAGAAAAUAAAAAUUGAGAAGGUGUGUAAAGAAAUCAGAAGACAAUUAUUUUGAAUUUUCAAUAAUCAAUUAAAUGGUUUAUUUUUUAGUAUAAUACAAGAUAAUUCAUCAUUCCCCUUCUCUUUUAUUAUAGAUAAUUGAAUCUGAUUAAUGGGGAAAAGAUUCCCAUCUUCUCUAACCAAGUUUUAGUUUGUUGCAUGAGAAAGCAAAUUAUGUUAUUUGAAGGUUUUUUUCACUUAUAGAGAAGCAAAGAUGAUAUAUUAAUGGAUCAAAAUUUUAUAAUUUUAGAGAGGAUUUUAAUAGCAUUAAAAUAAAAUUGAUUAACCAAUUUCAAUAUGCUUUGAGCUUAUUAACCGUCAGUACAGAAAAAGCUCCAACUGGAAGGCCGAAAUUGCAAUUUUUUUAAAAAAGUUGCAAUUUGGGGCUCAAAUUAUGGAGCAUGUACAUCACUCGUAAGAAGUAAUCAAUUUUUUAAGCUGAAAUGAACCAACACACCCCAUGGGCCUGUAGUCCAAAACAGAAGCAUAUAAUAUAAUGAACGAAAUGGGCUACACAUUUCACUUGCUCAGAGUUCAGACUACUCCCUCCCACCAAUUAGAGAACAGCCUUAUCUUCUUUCACUAAUUAAAUACACGAUUUUAAUUUUUCUUUUAACAUGUAAACUGCAUUUAAAGUUCUAUAAACAACAAAUAAGAGAAUCAAUUUCGGGACCUCAAUGCUUUUUGCAGGUCCAGGCAAUACACAUGUAAUUUACGACCACUCUUUCACCAACCUUUGGAUUUUCAGAUGACAUGUGUAGCACUCAUAUUAUUUAUGGGAUGACAAGUAGUCCCACUGCACAGCCCAAAGUAAACUGUAGCUAAACCAAGAAUCUAGAAGUAAUACUGUAUAUAUAUAUAUACACAUAUACAUAUACAUAUACAUACAUGAGAAGAGAGAUUUCUUUAAUUUGUUCUGUUCUCAACUAUAAUACAGUACAAAGACAAUUCCAUGUAGACAAUAAUUUAAUGAAUAGAAAAGUAUACCCUAAAAAUAAGAAGAAAAUAAACCAUAAAAAACUAUCAAGUACUUUUUUUUAAAAGAAUAAUUAUAUCAUUUACUUGUUAAAAUUUAUAUAAAUAUGUGCUGUACAUUGUUUUUUGGGAGAAUGACACCGCCACACUCAUUCUAUACAGCCGCCCAACCUUUGGCUGUAAGCGACAGGCACUAUUUCUAUAUGGGUUGGCUACAUAAAUGAUUUUAAGAUUUGGGUGUCAUCUUAGCACUUGGGUUAGUGCAUGCCUUAGUGGCUCAGAGUCUUAUGUACUUAUCUCAAAAUAAAAACAAAGCAUGCAAAACCCAUUAUGAAAAUGGAAUUUGGCUGAUGAUUAGUCACAGUCAUUUAUAUCCAUUUGUUUAAUAUGUUCUUCAUCAUGCUCAUUAAUUACUUCCAAUUACUCACCAAAACUCACCAAAAUCAACCAUAUCAAGUGAUGACCGCUGGAUUUCUCCACCCCGAUCUGGCCCAUUAGGAUAACCCAUACUCUGAAAGUUUCUAAGUCUCCUCCAAGAGCCAGAUCCAGCCCGCUCAGUUUAAAAACCGGGCUCCAGUCAGAUUCUUUAAUCAGACCGGCCUAGCUCUUUCGGCCCAAUGAACAGAUUCCCUCUGGACCUAGUCUUAGCUUUAUCUUCCAGCCCAACUCGGAACUAGGAAGGAAUUCAGCCAAUUUGUCCCUCCGCAUGCGUGCCCGGGGAGAAUCAGGGGCCGUUACGCAUGGGGCAGAGAUCUGAUUUCCUCGUCGUCCGUAUCAAUGUGGCAGGGACAGGUGGCUCAGUGAUAGCCAGUCCGUUAUACGUCAUUAGCGGAGGAAACAGAUAAAAGGGGAGAUACUCCCCUCUAGGUCUAAGUUUUUUUCCAAGCUUACAGAACCCUAGUAAAAUCCUAUUUUUCUGGAUCCCAGAUCAUCAAAUGGCGCCGUCUGUGGGACAAAAAUAACCUGGUCCACAUGAGUACGAUGCGCUGAGCGAGCACGCUCAGGCCUGCAUGGGGGAGAAAGAACCCUACGCAGGUGGACCAUAGGUAUCCCACAUCGGAAAGAGGUUGAAAGGGAGAAAGCCUUAUAAGUCUCUGCUCUUGAAACCCCAGUGGACGCGUUUUAAGCAAAACCGUGCGGCCUUAAGUCAAAGCGAACAAUAUUUACUGAUGUGGACCCAGAACCAAGAUGACUCAACGUCAUCAUGAGGUAUUCAUUUAAGCACAAAAUCAGCCACAGAAUAUAUAGCACUACAUUAGGAGAAGGGAAACUGAAUACAAAAACUUGCUUAAUUAAGGAAAAAAAUGAUUUAACUAAUUAAAAUCAAAGUACUUCCACUAAUAAAUCAAGUGGUUAAGUGAUAAUCAGAGAUACUACGCAUGCUUCAUACUAUCAUUAUCGUUUUCAAGCUCCCACACACAUAUAUUCAAAGACAAAGCAAAUUAAAUUAAAUUAAAUCCAUAAAAAGAUAUAUCUAAAAUUCAAGUUGAUAAUAAUAAUGCACCCUGACUUGUGCAUGCUUCGAUUCAGAACCAGUAUAAAUAUAUGACUGCAAAUCGAGGUGAUGCUCAGGAAUAGAAUAGAAGUGGUCCAAGCUCGGCUUACCAAAAUGAGGUCAUACACCACAGGCUUAACCUUAAGCCUCUUCCUGUUAUUCUUGUGCUUUCAGUUUCCAGCAACUUUAGGAGAUGUCGGGACGGCCAAGUCUUAUGAUCCUCCCUACCUGCGUAUGUAGCUUCCCUUGCAUCUUAACUAUAUCUUAUUAUAUCUCAAAAAACAAAAGUAUAUACUUUGUUAAUUUGCUUGUUGAUUACCAAUGAGCUAUAGCUUGAUGUUCCUCCGAGUACCAUAUUUACGAGCAAGUUUUUGCUUUCUAAUCGUUCAUCAUUCAUCUUCCAGUAUAAGACUACAAACUAAACUUGUCUGAUUCAGUUUCUUGUUUGUUUUACUGUACUAAUGAAGCAACGAAAUGCAAUGGUUACGACCAAGAUCAGUUCCCCGAGGGCGGAUAUUUUGCUGCAGCCAGUGAUGGCUUAUGGGACAAUGGAGCUGCUUGUGGUCGGAAAUACCGCAUGCGGUGCAUCAGCGGCCCCAGGAGAGCGUGUAAUGGUGGAUCCAUAGUUGUGCAGGUGGUGGAUUUUUGUCGUGAUAGUCCAUGCUCUGCCACAUUGAUGCUCUCCAACAAAGCCUUUGACGCUGUCUCAAGAAUCCCCACUGCCAAAAUCAAUGUUGAAUAUAUACAGUAAUCAUCUUUAAACUACACUGCUCAUCCAACAGACUUCAGAAACACACACAUACAUAUCUGAUCCAUGAAUGACCAAGCUAUUUUCUGUUUCUAGGAUUUGAUGGGAUAUUCCCCGUGCGCCUCACACACUUGCAGUAGCUCAUUGAAAAUAGUAUAGGACGCGGAGGUCACUGGCCAAAUGAUCAUCUGCAUCGCCUUGUAUAGCUUAAUGAAAUAAAAGUACUCGAGGUAGGAGACUCCUCUUGUUUUCCUGUAAUAUUCUUAUGAAUAAAUUCAAAGAACAUAACUAUCCAAUAAUAUAUGAGAGACAGUGACAGCUCCAAUUUGAGUUACAUUACCUUAAUGUUACGAGAGGUGCCUUUUACUGCUUAUUGUUUAGUAAGUUAGGAAAAAGCAAAAGUUCAACUCAACAAAAGAAUCAAUAAAUUGGUCCAAUUGGAGAUGAGGUUAAAUAUCAUAUUCACACAUAUUGGAACUUGGGAGGGCUUAAUCUAGCUAUAACUACAAUGAUUUACCAUUUAUAGCAGUGCUUGAGUUUGUAAAAUGGUUCAAUUACUUCCAAACCCUAGGCGUUGUGUUUCGAAAUAAGGACUUAGCACUCUAAUUCCUUCCAGGAAUAAAUGUGUCUGUACUUCGAUCAAGCAUGAAACCUAUGGAGAGAAAAUCAUAACAUAUAUUUGCUUAUCGAUAACAUAUUUCAAUAAGAAAAAUGUUCAACAUCAGGAAUAUGAUCUGAUAGCCUAAAUGAGGUGUUUAGGCGGCUGGAAUAAAAAGAAAUGAGAAAGGAUUGUAGAGAGAGAAUGAAAUUCUUGAUUAAUUGGUUCGAUGGUGAUCCCUAUAUCUCAUAUGAUUUUAACUUUCCUAACAGAAUCUGUUGCAAAUCAACCGUCUACCUAGGCUAUUCUCCUUUGUUUUUCUUUUUUUGUAAUCAGGCUCCCACUAUGGCUAUAGGCUUGCCUUGGAUUUUCCCUUUUUCAGUAACCGUAUGUAAACUGGCUUGAGAAACUUGAUCUGACCCCAAUUUAUUUUUGAGCAGGCAGAUAUGGAAGACAUCCGUUGUUAUCAUUUGCUUAAAAGGGCAGAUCAUUGUUUAGUCACAUAUGAAUAGUUCUCAAGCUAUAUUCAUUUUCAUAAAAAUUUUCAAUGCACAAACUUCUGCAUAACAGGGAACUAAUUUUGUUCCUCAAGCUUCUUGAUACCUCCCAUUUAUCUCCAUGAAAGCUAGAAAAUCACAAGAAUUGAACUCACAAUCAUGCUUCCAAAAUACUGCAACUGUCUUACGACUCGGACAACUUCUCUAACUCCCUCUUUUUUUUUUCCUUUAUGAAAAAUUAAAUGUCCCCCAGAAUCUUAACGAAGAAAUAAUCAAGUUUAGGAAUGACGUAUACAAAGCCAGAAUUCAUCAAUGGCAUCCAAAAGAUCUUCUCAGAAACUUCAACUAUUUCAGGGACAAGAAUAAUACCAUUGUCAUCUUGAUUUAAAGGGUUUCAAUUGAUUAUGGAGUCUACAAUUUUUCCAGUAAUAUCAAAUUACUCACUAAUCCUCAAUUUCAGUUCCAAAUUGUUUUGCUUCUCUCUUGAGCAUCAAUGAGCUUCACAUCUUCAAUUGGUGUUAUUUAUUCAACCUUGUUGCAUGGAGCAAUUUGGAGGAUUUCCGUCCAUGGGAUAUUGGCGGUACCAAGUAUUUGGUUUGAGCUCCAAACAGCUUCACACAGUUGACGAUGAAUUUCAUCAAAUUUUUUUUUUAAUCUUCAUUCUUUAUUGAAAUUUUAUUUGAUUUGCUACCAUCUGUUGGAACUUUUCAUUUUCUUCAAAACCUUAGUGGAUCUUUUCUCAAGAGAUUUGUAAUUCUGCUGCAAACCUUGGAAUCAAUCCUCAAGAGCCUCAGAUUCUUCUUUCAUCUUCCAUUUUUUGCUGAUAGAAUAUAAUUGGAGAGGAAGGAAGAAUAGAAAUGAGAAGAGAAAGAGAAAGGAGAAAGGAAAUUUGAAGAAGAGAGAUACAGAUAAGGGAGAGAGGGAGAGCAAGGAGCAGAAUUCCUGUCAAUCCCACCUGCUCUGAUACCAACUGCUAGGCCUCAGAAUACUGAUAGCUUAACUAAGGUGUUUGGGCAUAGUGGAGGGAAAAUGAGAAAGAAAGGAGAGAAAGAAGGAAAGAGGAGCAAAGAAGAGGAGAAUUGUAGAUAGAGAAUGGAAUUCUUUGUUAAUUGAUUCUCUACAUCUCAUAUGAUUUUAUGCAUGUAUUCCUAACAUAAUCUGUUUGAAUAUCAAUCAUCUAUCUAGCCUAUUCUCCUUUGUUUUCCUUUAUGCCGGCUACUGUGUCUCUCAUAUUUGAUCCACCCUUGAUCAUAAUAACAAACAACCCCCAGAAAUUUUCAUAAAAUUAUAAGAAAACCUUAUGCAAAGAAGGAACAAAAGCAUAGUGAGACUACUGGAAGAUAUACCAAAUAUGCUUAGAUUGGAAAGCCAAAUAUUGAAAUACAGAACUAGCAGAUUCAAAUAUACACGUAGAAUAUGAAAAUCAAUUAUCUUGAGGCAUAACCUGUCGUAACUAUAACAAUCACGGCCAGCAUAAACACAGACAGAACUACCUUCCCAGAUCAAACAAUGUACCCUCUUCAGUUCCUUGAAAUAGGUGAUCAAUAGAAGACGCUGCAGACAAAACAGGCAGCAAUGUAAUUUGAAUCUGUCACCUAUGAUGGUGAUAAAGCAAUUUUUCUAAUUCAAGCGCAACCGUUUCCUGGUAAGGAUCAUGUUGCAGCUUCUCUUAAUCAAUCAAAUUCUUGAAGCGUGCCAGUGGCUCUGAAGGAAGAUUGUCCAUCUCAGAAUUCAAGAAAAUCAGUUUAGCGGAUAAAACAAUUUCAGCUGUGUACCAUGCCAUAAAAGCAAAUGCAAACAGUAAAAAAAUCGACCUCAGCUGCUAAAAGAGGUUAUAGAAAAGAAAUGAAAUAGCGAAGCAGUGAAGCAGCCAUUUCCAAGUACACAUACAUACAUAAUCAGCUAAUAUAUAAAGAGAAAGAGAGGGGACCUGGAGGCUUUGGGGAGGAAAGAUGGGAAGGAUCAAAGGAGUAGAAGCGAAGGACAUUGACUUAGACAUAUUACAGAUUUAUCUUCGUCGAACAAACCCUAGAGAUAGAAGAUAAGAGUUGAGGAUACCUGAUUUCUUCUGACUUUCUGCAACUGGAACUGACCAACCAUAGUAACGGCGACAAACGAAGAAGACGAUGUGGAGGUCAAAAUAUGGUGACGUGGCUCUAGGAAGAUCAGCCACGUGGACGAGUCUGGAUUUCUCUGUUGUGAGACGAUGUAGAUGACAUGACGAGAAUUUAUACGGUGGACGAGGGUGGGACGUUCCUUGAAACGUCUUAUCAGAAAAAUACUGACAAUGGAGCUUUUUUUUUUCAGUCAAUCAAUUCUUCAUUAACAUAAACGCUGCCGUUUUACUGAAAGCAUCCGACAGUUAACCCCGUAACCGGCCAGUUCCGUUUUACCGUUAAAGAGUAGUUCAGUUUACAGGGAAUUGGAUCUCUCUGUAACCCACAAUAAUGCUGCUCCGGACAUUGGCCGAAUCUACUAUAAAUUAGGGAGCUGGGGAGAUGCAGAUUGCGGUUGUUUGUACUAUGGUCUCUGAUCUGUCUGCAUGUACAGUUUUACGGUGGGUAGAGUCCUAUACCGAGAAAGAUCUCAAAAGACAGUUGAGCUUUGUAAUGCUCUGAUUGACAUUUUCCCAAUUUGUGGUAAUGUUGAUGAAGCUAUCAACUCCUUUAGGAACAUGGAAAGGGAACCAUCACUUCAUGAAGAAUUGUGAAGAAUUGAGAAAUAUUAAUGAGAUGGAACCGUUUUCACAAUUUUAAGCACGAGUUGUGCUCAUGCUGAGAUUUCAGGUGACAAACUAGGCACGGUUACAUGAUGCUGAUGAAGAGGUGGAAUCUUGGGAAAAUUACAGAGCACUUAGUCAUGAGUUUAUCCUGCCCCAUGUUAAGUUAGUAGUUUAUUUUCCUUUAGAGAUUAGAUUUGGCUGCAACUGUUCAAGCGCAAUUGUCAAAGUCUUCUAAGCGUACAGGGAUAGGUCCGUUUCAAGCCGGUAACCUUGGUCUAGCAAAUAGCGAUAUUCUCCUAUAAGGGGCAUUGUUUGUAACAAAUGAUUGACAAUUUUGUCUCUAUAUAAGAAAGGGGAUAUUUACCAACAAGAGCAAAUGCUGUAUAUGAACAGAACAGAGAAACCUCUCUGGUUUCCUAGUAAAGAAAAGGGUAAUAGUAAAAACGCGUCUUCUUGCUCCUUCUACCCUUGUGGUAACAUGGAUGUCCAAAUAAUAUUAUGUCGAUGUUGGCCUACUCCAUUUUAAGCAACCGCUGGUGAGCUCAACAAGGGAGAAUCAGUGACAGUAAUAAAUAGACCUCAACUCCCCCCUUAAAUCUUUUGCUAUAUAUGGAACGGGAUUGGUUGGGGUGAUCAUGGUCCAAACAAUUAACUGGGUUAUCAUUAAUCUAUUCAACUAACUCCAUUAACAAAAAAAACUGUAUAAUUACAAUAAUUAAGUUAUAAAAUGUAAGAAGAGAAAGUAUGCCCUCCUAAUCUUGUUUGGGAGAAAAGUUAAGUUUGGGUAGGAGGGGAUAGUUGGAAGAAGUCAAAACUCAAAACGCAAAUGAGACUUAUUGGUUUGUAACGUAAUCUCAUUGCCGGACAAAAGUGAACAAACACAUCAUCAGGGUCACGUUGAACAGUCAUGGAAAGCCCUUGAUGCCCACUCUAUCCCUCCACUUAGCUUUUGAGGUACGAAAUCAAACACCAUGUUUCCAUACUUUUUCCAAAAAGGGAGAGAAACGACUGUAUAAAAAGUGACGGAUCAACCAUUUUGAAAAAAAAUACCUCGUUAGUCCUCUUAGAACUAACUACGCCAGAAACAAAACGCAAAACAGACCGACUCUGAAAGUUCACAUUGCAAGAGAGCCUACGCCCCAUUCAGGAAUCAAUAACACCGCCUUUAGAACCAGCUCAAUCAGAGCCUAGACAUACAAGAACAAGAAAAAUAGAUUCACUGUCCCCUCUCCUUCAUGACUGUGGAACAGUAGACUGCAAUGCAUGUCGGAUACCUGGGUUAAUAGAUUUCAAGGAUGAACCUGAAAGGAAUCCUCUACAAAAACUAGAGGCUUAGUACCCUGGUAAUCUGGUUGGAUACUGGACAUCACAUUGGUAUGAGUUUGAGCUGUGUUACAACAAAAUAUGUAAUGCCUAUUAACUAGAAAAGGUCAAACUGCAAUCCUAAUCAGGUAGAAAUGUAUGGAAUCUAUGGCAAAAUGCCCAAGCCAUGCAACCCCAAAGUUGCAUACAGUAAAAUUUGGCAGCCAUCUGUAUAGUAGUCAACACAGUUCUUUUCCCAUGCUUAGCAGAAACAAAGCACAAAUCUUUAGUUUUAAAGACAAUGUAGAUGCCAGAAAAUAAAGGGUAUCAAGUAUCUCUGUAAGCCCUCACCAUUAAUCAAGUCUAUAGUCUGCAACAAAAACAUUGUUAUAAAUCGCAAAUUUCUUCUAUUCUGAUUCAGAACACGCCUUAUUUCUUCCUCAAACAUUACCACAUGAACUUCUAAAGGUUGCACAAGCAAAUUCACAUCACAUAGAGGAUAUAGAAAUAUAAAGCAUUACAGGAGAAAUUGACAAUAACAAUGUGAGAAAUCUAUAUGGAAAAGAAGAAAAUAUAUGAAUAAAGAAGCACUAAAACUCCAUGAAUAAAGAUGUUCCUAAAUAAACACGGGUAAUAUAAACGGAAAAAAAAAAGGCAAAAGAAAAAAGACAAAAACAAAAUACAGGGCAUCUGAGAAGGGAAUCCCAGAUCCCUAACAUAACUAGCAUAACCAACAUGAACCUAAAAAAAACAGUACCGAAUGAGCAAAAGAAAUCUGAGACACCCUCCAUUUCUUUUGCCCCCAAUACCAAAUCCCGGUGCUAUCUUGCCUCCAUUUUGCUCUUAUUUCCAAUACUCUCCAUCCAAUUUUAUAUCUAAAAUUAUCUCUCUUAAAUAACAGAUUAGUUUUGUGAUUCACUUUUCCUCCCAGUUCCUUCUCCGUCCCUCUCCUCCAACAACCUUCCAGCUUCUUCAUCGGUUUGUUGAGCCUUCUUUUGAGACUCCUUAGACUUCAAUGCCUGCAAUUUGGCAUGAUUGUAAUAAGCAACACCCAAAAAUGCAAGCCCAUAUCCAAACAAGUUGAUUGGGGUCACUGUAUCCUUGAUGACAGACCAGGAGAAGGCGAUCAACAACCAAUCCUUCACCACACCAGCUACAUUCAUCGUCAAAGCAGAAGUCUUCCCCACAAGCAAAAACACGGCAAGGUUCAAGGCGAAAGCACAGAAAGAAUUGGUUCCAAAGAUGACAAAAUCAAAAUGAAAGCUCGAAGUCUCCCUCAACACAGGGUAUUCCACAAAAAUCCAAGGCACAAACAAGAAAACUAAACAGCAAGGCGCGACGUAGUAAAGGGAAGUAAUAGGAUUGAGUGUUAUCCCCUUAGAUGCAAGCAAUAUUUGAAUCAAUACCAGUCUAGUGGCCUCAAAAGCAACAGCACCCAGUUGGAGGACAACACCCCAGGUAUCAAAUCUUGCUUCCCCAUACGCUGCAACAGCGACACCGAGAGAGAUCGACAACAUGUUGACCAUAGUAUCGGUCUGAAAGCUCUCUCUUUUGAACAAAACCCCGAUCGAAUAGACGGCGACCGGCAUGAGAGCUUUGAGCAUCUGAAUAAAGGAAACCGACAAGUAGAUGUAAGCAGAAUUAGAAAGCCAAAGGCUUAGAGAAUACAAAGCACCAAUGGGUAGGACGGAGGAGAAGAAGAGAUCCCGGGACAUGGAAACGGGUUCAACAAGUUUGAAGACCUUGAUGACAAGGAAAGCGAGAGUGGCACAGAAGGACAUGUGGAUCAUGGUAAGGGAGAUGGGAAACGGCCAAUUAUACAUCUUCUUGUCGAGGAUGUACUUGUUGUAAACAAUGACACUGAAGGAGAGGAAGAUCCAGAUGGCGACAUAGGUGUAGGAGAGAAGGAUCUUCUUCAAGACACUAUCGCUGAGAGAUCCACCCUUGCCCAUUGUGGUUGAUUGAGAGGCGAAGGGAAGGGAGGAGAGGCUUAGGUGGUGGAUCAAGAGAAAAGGGUUGAGAUUUGAGGAGAGAAAGAUGAGUUCUUAGCUCUUGGGUGUGAGAAAUAAGAACAAAGAAGAGAAGGGUUUGGUGUUGGAAGUGGAACAAAACAGAAAGACUGGUUAAAUGUAGGGAAGGUCCGGUGGCUUUGUUUGAGUAGAAUUGUGACUUGUCUUCCCCUCCCUUUUAUCUCUUGGUUUCUUGGGCUUUUGGAUUUUUUUUUAAUUUAUACAAAUAUCAUUAAUUAUUUAUUUAAAAAAAAAUAAAAUGACCAAUUUUACAAUAAUUUAUUUUAAAAAAAAUUAAUACAAUAAUUUAUUUAAAAAAAAUUAAUAACCAUAGUGUAGGCUUUGUCUUUAGUUAUGUAGUACUUAGUUUUGGUUGCCUUUGUCCUACACUGCAGUAAUGUAAGUCUCAAAAAGAGAGCCCAUUAAGGCCAGAGAGGCCCAAAUGGGUAUGGAGGAAAAAAAAAAAUUUACAUUGUUAUAAUCAAAUUUUAAUUUAUAUUUAAUUAUUAUUGAUACAUUAAUUAAUUUGUUAAAUUAUUAUUCCAGCUCUAAAUUUUAUGACUUAAAACGAGAUUUCGCACGUGGGUUUAGCUUACUUUUCAUGUUAUUGACCAUCUCACCCCUCCUCACUUUGCUUGUUUCUCUGCAAAAUCUAAAUAAUAAAUAUAUAGCCUUUUAUUAUCCAUUUUACCCAAGGAAGAGACAGACGUGCUUCUUAAUUCUUUGAAAAUGCCUUUUUUUUUUAAAAUUUCAUUAAAUUAAACUUACUUUUAAUUUUUAAUUCAUUUAAAUUUAAUUAUAAUUAACAUUUAGAAUCUCAAAGUAUAAAAAAAGUUUCAAUAUUAUUUGAUUUUUUUUAAAUAAAUAAACAACACCUACCGAAAUAAAAAAGAAAAAAAUAAAUAAAAGACUAUAGUUAUUAAAAUUUUAAUUUUAAUUUUUUUAUAUUAUAAAAAAUAAAUAAUAUUUUUUUAUAAAUAAGUAGAAAAUGUAUAAAAGCUUCCACUAAGCUUAUGGAAUUAGUGAAUGGAUGUAUUAGUUAAGAGAUGGAGACUUCAUGGAUUCACAUAAGACCAUUUCUUUAUAAUACUCUUGCCAACUCUUACUUAACAACUCUCCCUUUUCUUUAUAAUUCUUACUCUGUCUGAAUAUCUGAUAUUCAAAACAACUGGUGAUGGCAACUUGUCUUUAUUUAAAUAGCAAAGCUAUUAUUGAAAGAACUAGUUUUUAUAUGAGUUUACAAUUUUAAUAAUCCAUUUCUUUAGGUUGUGAUUUGACAAAAAAAAAAAAAAGGAUAAGUCUUUAAAGAACAUGGGAAAAAGAAAUAUAAAAAUAAGAGCAUUAACAUUCAACAAAGAAUAGAAAUCCCAAACAAUAGAUUAACAAUUUAAAAAAGAAAGAGCUCAUAAUUUUAAAAACAAACAAAUCCCAAAGAAUAGAUUAACAAAAAAAAACUUUUGAUUUGAAAUCGGCCCAAAUCGGUCGGAUGACCAUCCCUACCCUUAUAUUGUAAAGUCUUGUUUUGGCUCAUAAAGACUUCCAUUUUGUCUUUUUCUGACGAUGUCCUAUUUUGCCCUUUUUUUAAAAAAGCAUAUUCGCGUUAUGAUCCCAUUUUGUUUUUGUAAGGUUGCUUGUAACGUGUCAUAAAGCCAUUAUUAAUAUCUGUAUUCAAAUAUGGAUAAAAAUAAAUAUCCGAUUAAAUAAUAAUUUAAAUAAAAGUGGGUACUUGAGUAUGGAUUUAGAUAUUACAAAAAUAAUAGCGGCUAUAGCUUAGUAUUAUUUCAUUAUUAUUGUUUUAAUCAUCAACACUUCCACCCCAACAAGCGUUUGUAGUCCAACGGUUAGGAUAAUUGCCUUCCAAGCAAUAGACCCGGGUUCGACUCCCGGCAAACGCAGCUUUUUUAUUUUUUGUUCAGCGUUUGAAUAAUAAAAUCUGUUCUUUCUUUCUUAUCUUUGGAGCAGCUUUUUAUUUUUUUGUUCAGCGUUUGAAUAAUAAAAUCUGUUCUUUCUUAUCUUUGGACGAAGCAGUCAGUGCUUUAUUCACCUGUCUUGAAGGCUUUUGUCAGUUCCUUGAAGCAAGGAUCCUUAUCAUGUAAGCUCCAUACAUAAUGUACUAAACUGUUUUCUUUCAGCACUGAUAAAGAGAAAAUAUGCAGAAAUAGCUUUUCCGGAGUCGUGUAGCCUUCUUCUGGAGCUCUGCCUGGAACAGAAUGGUUUUUGGUUUAUAUCUUCCCGGACCCAUUCUUCAUCUCACGACCCAGCUCAGGACCUGAUGGCUCUCAGGGUAAGGCCUUGUUGAUGCUGUGAACCCCACAUUAACAGAGUUUUGAACAGCAAUAGAAUGGUUGAGAAAAUUCUUAGUAUAUGUUCGGUUUAUAGAAGUGGGUUCCAUUUAGGACAAUAAAAAAUUAACUUGAGUUAAACAUUAUCCAACUCAUCUGUGUGAGUUCCAUGCACACAUCGGCUCACCUACUUCAUCAUUUCCUCUCAUCUCAUCUCAGUUGCAUAGAGAAGAAAGAAAGCUUACAGAAGUCCUCCAACAGCAUUAUAAUCUAUAUAGGUGGUGAUCAGAGACUGGAACUCACUUCUACCAUGACCAAUGAUCCUCAAGUUCUGUUUCCUGAUCCAGUGGCGACAUCUCGGCCUGUCCCACACCAGCUGGUAUGAGAUGGGCAGAAUUUAUAGGGUUAAGCUACAAAAGAAAUUUGCAUUUUGGGCCUAAUAGUUUGGCACUCAGAUUAUUUGGACCAAUUGAAUUUGGGCUGUUAUGAUAACUUCAAUUCUUGGAGGAAAGUGUCUUCCUAAGAAAAACGUUUGAUUCGGCCAGCCACUCCCUACUACAGUUUGCUAUCUCUUCUUCUUCCUCCUCUUUUAAUUAUGCUAAUGACUUCACUUAGAUUUUUUUUAAAAAUUUAACCUUGAAUUUAUUGAUUUCUGUCCACAGUUUCAUUUGGCGUUUGUUGAUUGAUGAAGAUAAAUUGGUAUUGAAGGGAAAAUAUAUUUAAUUUAAUAUGAUUAUUAUAUAUACAAUAGUUGUAUAUUAAUCAUUGAUGAUAGUGAAACUUAUAUGAAAUUCAUUAUAAUUAACGGCUAUUAUAAGACUAUUUUAUAUAUAAUGAUUAUAUUAUUGGAGAGAUCGGCACAUAACUUUGGAAAAUAUAAAAUCUUGAAUUUAUAUUUCAGUUAAAGCUAAAUAAAUAAAACAUAUAGAGACAUAUGUAAAAAAAAAAAUACAAGAAAUACAGUAGAAAGAAGGAAAUUUUAUUAGAAAAGAUGAAAGGGUGGACAAGCCAAAAAUAUACAAAAACAUGUAAAUUGGAAAUAAUGGAUGCGGGAAACCAGGAAUGAUGAGAGGCUGAUUAGGGGCUGUUUGUGCUGAUGAUGUUGUUGCUAAAACACGCUGCAAGAUAUCCGUAAAAAUACGAGCACAAACAGUGGUGAGAAAAUUCUUUAUCCCACUUAUUGCAGAGAAUUUGUUAUGGUGAAACACUUCCAAACAAAUGUUCUUUUCCAUAAUUCUAGCAUUAAGAGGGAUUCCACCAUUAAGCAACAGAGGAAGGGAGUUGGAUUCUAGACAUUUCAGGCAUAAAACAGCCUCAUCAGCUACAGCAUUCACCAAAGCAUAUGAUAAAUCCACCAUCUUCACAACCACGUUGGGAUAACCCUUCUCUUCUAGCCAAAGCCAUGUGGCCAUGACUAGUAGAGAUUCAGCUGGAUCUCUCAACAAGUUUAUUACCAAAUCCAGUGAAAAUCUCUCUAUCGAUGGCAUGGUAGGUGUGAAGCUCCUCAAGAGUGAUGAAAGCCAUUGUGGUAGAGAUGAGUAUUACAAGUGUGCGUGUGUGUGUGUGUGAAAACAAAUGGAAUGAAGAAAUUCACAUGAAUCAGCUGCAUAUAUAGGCUAAGUUUAUUGAAAAUAUUUAAUUUUUUAAAACGUUUAUAAAUCAAACAUGGCAAGUUUGGUGUAUCUGUUCAUAGAAGGUGGCAGAAGCCUUAUGCCACAUUAGGGAAAAUGUCAUGAUCAAGGGUCUCAUAUUCUUUUUUCGCAGACCUGCAAAAUGACAAGUAAUACAAUUGGUCUGUAGUGGAUUUGCCUUGUGUAGUCUCUCUUGCCAAGAUCACCUGACUCCGAUUUCUGGUUUACUAUAAGAAUCAUCUCUUUUUGGCAGGAUGAAUUUGCUUUGAUUAAUCUCCUCAUUUUUUUAAUUUUCCUUCCUUUUCCGUUUGGCUUUGUGUCUUUUUGUAUAUUGUUUCUAUCAGGAUUUUGCCAAGUCAGGGGAAGUCAUUGGAUUCUGCUAUUUAAAACUUCUAUCUUAACCGUUAAAGUAAGCCAAGCUGUUCUAGCUUAUAAUACUUUCUCUUAUUUUAAAACAAUUGUGAUCCUGUAAAAUAUAUUAACAGAGUCUACCCAACCCCAUGCUAGAUUCAAUCACAAAGCAUGUUAAGACAACAUUAGCAAGAACAGGCAUAAACCAUAAUUAAAAAAGAAAUAAUUGGCCAUUUGUGCAAGAAACAAUCUUCCUAGGGUCCCAUGCACAGGUAUGUCUGGACACUUAAGAUACAUAUGGCCAUGUGAUUGACCUUGUGAGUUUGACUUUAUUCACUCGUGAGAUGAUAUGCUUUACAUGCAUGCAAGACACGUUCUAUUCAUCUGUUCUUAUGCAUGAAUACCCCCAACGAUGGAUAAAUCUUGUUAUUUAUUUAUUAUUUUUAUAAUUUAAUAUAACAUCUCUUGUUUUAAAAAAAUAAAAAAAAUAUCAUCAUGUAAUUUAUGUUAAUAAAACUUACCAUGAUUUUUAUUAAAAUAACGGACCUAAAACGGUUUCUAUAAAGUGCCACUAUAUCUAUUUCAAUUUCUAUUUUAAUUAUUUUUUUAAUGAAUAAAUUGAAUGCUAAAAUUAUAUAUAAAAAAAUUUAUAAUUUUAAAUUAUUGUUAAUAAUUAUUAAUUUAAUAAUAUUAAAAUAAUAAUUUUAUAAUUCAUUGCAAGCUGAACUGUUGUAUUGUAUGAAUUGCAUAUGAUUUUGGUACAUGAUAAUCGGUAAAUGCAAAUUGAGACAAAUUCAACAAUAGUUCUGAAUUUAUUAUAUUCUACAACUAAAAACAUUAAAGUAUACGUUUUAAAUUUGAUUUCUCAUGUUUUAAGAUAAUUUUUCGGUGUUCGCGAGUUGAGAUGAGAUAUUGUUAGAAGCUAAUAAAUUGAUUUAUUGAUUAACCAAUCUUGUUUUAUAAAUAUUUUAGAGUACUUUAGAUCUUUUUCGAUCUCUGUUAUUAAAGUUAUUGAUUAGAAUAUUCGAAUGGUUAAAUUUUUUUGGAUUAAAAUAUUCGAAUGGUUAAAUUUUUUCAGGUGAUCUCAGUUUAAUUUUGAAUAUCGUUUUAUUUUUUAUUACAUCAACCUCUAUUCUGUAAAAAAAAAUUUAUACCAUAAUAAUAAAUUUUAUUUGAUUUACUUAUAAGGAUUCGCCUCUAAUUUGGUUACUUAAUUCAUACAUGCCAUGAUUUACUUACUUCGUAUAAAAGGGAAGGUUGAGUUCCAUGAUUAGGCGACAAAUCAAAGUAUACAAAACAUAUAAAUUGGAAUUACAUAUCAACUAUUCAGUCUUACACGUUCUGUCAUCUAAUCUCUACGUUCAUACUUGCGAGCCCAAAUGUGUUUACCAUUGAUCCGAAACUUGGCUAUGCGUCUCCCAUUGAGGAUUCUAUCAACAGCUGCAAUAGAAUCCAAGACCAUUCUCGCAAACAAAGGCUGCUCAUUGGAAGAUACAUUCUCCUGCAUCUGAACACUAACAACACAAUCACCAUGCAACCUUGUAAAAAGUUGCGUAACUUCGUCUUUUGUCACUGGAAAACCCCUCGAGAAAGUAAGGAACAUCGUCCUCUCAUCCUCUGAAACAUUGUUGUUAGGACCCCAACCCCACAACCCUCCUAUCAGAAAAUCAGAAUCCAUAGACCUCGGCACAAUAGCAAGACCACCAAAUAAUGGAUGAGGGAAACCAGGAAUGAUGAGAGGCUGAUUAGGGACUGAUUGUGCUGACGAUGUCGUUGCUAAAACACGCUGCAAGAUAUCCGUAAAAAUACGAGCACAAACAGUGGUGAGAAAAUUCUUUAUCCCACUUAUUGCAGAGAAUUUGUUAUGGUGAAACAUUUCCAAAGAGAUGUUCUUUUCCAUAAUUCUAGCAGUAAGAGGGAUUCCACCAUUAAGCAACAGAGGAAGGGAGUUAGAUUCUAGACAUUUCAGGCAUAAAACAGCUUCAUCAGCUACAGCAUUCACCAAAGCAUCUGAUAAAUCCACCAUCUUCACAACCACGUUGGGAUAACCCUUCUCUUCUAGCCAAAGCCAUGUGGCCAUGACUAGUAGAGAUUCAGCUGGAUCUCUCAACAAGUUUAUUACCAAUCGAUUGAAAAUCUCUCUAUCGAUGGCAUGGUAGGUGUGAAGCUCCUCAAGAGUGAUGGAAGCCAUUGUGGUAGAGAUAAGUAUUACAAGUGUGCGUGUGUGUGUGUGGAAAAACAAAUGGAAUGAAGAAAUUGACAUGAAUCAGCUGCAUAUAUAGGCUAAGCUUAUUGAAAAUGUUUCAAUUUUUAAAUCAUUUAUAAAUCAAACAUAGCAAGUUAAGGCACACAGAUCACGAUUAUUAGUCUGGCCAAUUGGUGUAUAAGGUGGCAGAAGCUUUAUGCCACGUUAGGGAAAAUCUCAUAAUCAAGAGUUUCUUAUUCUUUCUGCUCAGACCUGCUAAAUGACAAGUAAUACAGUUGGUCUGUCGUGGACUUGCCUUGUGUAGUCUCUCUUGCCAUUACUUUACUGCCAUAAUCUCUCAAUGUCACCUGACCCCGAUUUCUGGUUUACAAUAAUUAAGAUUCAUCUCUUUUUGGCAGGAUGAACUUGCUUUGAUUAAUCUGGUCAUUUUUUAAUUUUCCUUCCUUUUCUGUUUGGUUUUGUGUCUUUCUAUAUAUUGUUUCUCUCAGGAUUUGGCCAGUGAGAGGAAGGCAUUGGAUUCUGUUCUUUAAAACUUCUAUUUUAACCGUUAAAGCAAGCAAAACUGUUCAAGCUCAUAAUGAUUUCUCUUAUUUUAAAAUAAUUGUGAUACUGUAAAAUGUAUUAAACUAUUAAUUUAACCUUUUUAUUGAUUUUAUAAUAUAAAUAAAAAUAUUAUUAUUUAAUCACAAUUAUAUGUAACAUAUUGUAUGAAAUUCACAUUAUUUAUAACUCAUUUUGAAUCUAAUAUAUUACCAUAAAUGAAAUCUAUGUUACGUAUAACAUAUUUUAAAUUUAAUAUAUUAAAAAAUAAACUUGAACAUUAAUUUUGCAUAAAUUUUAAUAUAAUUAUUUAAUUUUAACCGUUGUUUUAGCUGUUGGAGUUUAUAUUAAACUCAUCCAAAAUUCAGACGAUGCGUAGCAGGUAUACCUAUGCUGGGUGAAAUCUAAAUUGAAUCACAAAACAUGUAAGACAACAUUAGCAAGAACGGGCAUAAACCAUAAUUAAAAAAGAAAUAAUUCGCCAUUUAUGUAAGAAACAAUCUUCCUAAGUUCCAUACACAGGUAUGUCUGAACAAUUAGGAUAUAUAUGGCCAUGCAAUUGACCUUGUGAGUUUGACUUUAUUCUUUCGUGGGUUGAUAUGCUUUGCAUGCAUGCAAGACACGUUCUAUUCAUAUGUUCUUAUGCGUGAAUACUCCCAAAACGAACGGAUAAAUCUUGUUAUUUAUUUAUUAUUUUUAUAAUUUAAAAUAAUAUUUUAAAAAAUAUAUAUAUAUAUCAUUUUUGUUUUGUUAUUAAAACUUACCAUGAUUUUUAUUAAAAUAAUAAUUUACUGCUGCAUAACGGACCUAAAGCAUUGUCUAUAAAUUGCUGUGACCACUAUAUCUAUAUCAGUUUCUGUUUUAAUCAUUUUUUAAUGAAUAAAUUUUACAUAUAAAAAGGUUUUAUAAUUUAAAAUUAUUAAUUUAAUAAUAUGAAGAUAGAUUUCUUUUGUUAUAAGAAUAUUUAAAUAUAGAUUUUAGUUAAUAAAUAGUAAUUAUAUGAGUAAUGAAAGCGUCAUUUAGAUUUUGAUUCCUAAUAAAAAUCUUUCAAAUAAAAAUAAUAUGGAUACAUCAAAAUUAAUAUAGAUGGUUAAAAAAAAGAGUAAAUAAUAUAUUUUAUUUUUUAAAUUAAAAUUAAAUAAUAAAAAAUAAAUUAUUUUAUUGAAAGUAGAAAAUAUAUUCUGUAAAAAAUAUAAUAUAUAAAAAAUAUUUUUUAAAUAUAAAUUAUUAUUUUUUGUAAAUAAACGGAUGAUUAAUUUAAAUUGUUGUUUUAUUUACUUUCGGUUGAAUUAAACUGUUUAGUUAUCAUAUAUACUUUUUGUUGAUUGGAUUCAAUUAGAGUUUGUAUAUAGCUUUUCCAAAUAAAGGAAAUUUAGGAGUUGGAGAUUUCUUUUAAUUGUAUCUCAAUAUUAAUCACACAACUCAAAUAUUAAAAUUUUAAUAAAAUUAAAUAAUCAAAAUUUCUUGAUAUAGAGAUGCAUAUUUAAAUUAAUUUGCAUACAUCCCCAACAGAUUAAGUAGCCUUUGAUUAUUUAUUUUUGGAUAGAUCAUUUAAUAAAUAAUAUGUAAAAUCUUGAUUGCUAGAGUACUGGAUUUCAUUAUAUUAAAGGCUAGUGUUCUUCUUUCUCACUUUCCCACUCUUUCUCACUAUCCAAACAUCUAGUUGGCAAGUGGCGAAUGAAUACUUGUAUUUGAAAAGAAAAGAGUUUAUUGCAAUAACAAAGAACCAUACGUACAUAGCUAGAUUCAUGAAGGGUUUAAAAAAAAAAAAGAAUUAUUAUCCUGACAGACAAGGGACAUCAGGUGAAACAUUUCGAGAAGUUUCAUGGACGUUUUUGCAAUAGACACUCGAGUUCUGUCCGAGAAUGGAUAAUUAUGCAUUUGCACCCCAAUUGAAUUACCAGUUCCAAUGUAAGAGUGAUGAAUUUUGACAUCUGUUGAUUGAGCUACAUUUGAGAAGCAUAACCAGCUUUCUGAUGCACUGUAAUUUUCCAUGCAUCGAUACUUCGUGGUGCUACAAUUUUCCCUGAAACCUGCAUGCAGCCUCUUGUUAGUUAGCCCAUUAAGUUGACAGACCCAUGAGGCACCAAAGUCGACAACAUUCAGGGUAUAUUUAGCAGCUUUAGAGGCUCAAGUAGAUGAAACUUCACUCCAGAAGAAGAGCGGUAGAAGCCACAGUAAUAAAUCUUGCUGCAGAUGUUUUAUCAUCUUGAGGCCCCAAAGGCUCUCGACCGCUAACUUAAACGGAAAAUCAAUUAUCUCAUAACUUUUGGUUUAGUACAUCCAUUGAAAAAGAUAUAUUUAUUUAAAAUUGUAGCGAGAAUUUUUUAUUUUUUACUCUAUAAUUUAGUAUAGGUUCUCUCAUUCUCACACAAAUUAAAACUUAAUGAAUAAACAUGGAAAUUACUCUAGCAAUUGCCAUAUAUCAUCUAUCCAUUAAUGGUACAAAUGAAGAGGAAAUAAAUACCCAUUAAAAAAAACCCUAAUUCCAAAAUCUCAGAUUCUUCUCUACCGACAGCAUCCAAGGGACCUAGAUGAUACAUUUUCCCUGCAAUCUGUCUUGCCAAUUGCCAUUAUCAAGGAGAAUCUGGCCACGAGACUAGAGCAAGGCAAGCACUCAUAUUAGCUCAUACCAUACCAUAUCAUUGGCAUUCAUUAAUAGUUUGCAUCACAAAACGCAUACAAUUUGCAAUAUCGAUCACUAUUCGUAAAUUAAGAGACUUUUAGACAGUCUGCGCCGAGCCCCAAAGGCCUAGAGACUACCAUUCCCUGUUGGAAAACUUAACAAAUUAGCCAGACUGAUGAUAUCGAAAAAAUUUUCAGCAACCUCUGGUUUCACUUUAUACGGAUUUGCUUGUUUAGUUCUUCCCUCGACAAGCAGGCCCAACAAACAGUAACAGAAGCAAGUAAAAAAGAAAAUCACCGGGCAGUAUAAUUCAAAAGCACCAAAUGAUGAGGCAUAAAAAAUAUUUCCAAAUUCCGCUAAUUAAAGUCCGCACAACUCAGCUAUAUGGCCACAUCACCUGCAUAUAUGAAUUAGUAAAUAGCGGCUUGCAUUUCAUGAGAAACCCUAGUAAAGUCUAAACCUAUUCCCCAUGUGAAUGGCCCAAAGAGUCGGUCUACAAUAAACUUAAAACUACCGACAUUCAAAAGCAAAGAAAUCUGCCUUCUACGGUCCAAUAUUGUAAGUACUACACAGUAGGUCGGAGAACAUGAUAACAUCAAAUCUUCUGGCACCAUAAUAUAUGGUUUCAGCUUUCAGCUUUUAAACAUUCAUGCCGCCAAGUGAACCUCCUCUAAGAAGGCACUGCAAAACAAAUUAUUUUACAAACAUUCAGCACAAAACACUUCGUAAUCCAAGUAUUACAAUUAAAGACCACAUUAAUGCCCAAAAGAAAAAGAAAAAGCUUGAAAAAAAAAACUACAAAAUGAGCCCCUUCCAUCAGAGCAUUCCAAUGGGAGAACCAAACCACCCCUAGAUAAAGCAAUAAAAAAAUUCCACCUCCUCACUAGGACAAAUGAGAAGAUUGAAAAGUACGCACAAGUAAAUAAAACGAAGGCAAUUUCACAAAACAGAUAUAAUUAACCAUAAAAACCCAUUUGAUUAUAUGGAAUGGUAGAUCAAGAAUCAGAAUCUUCAAGACCAUUAUUUGGAAGUUUGACAAAUCACAUGAAGCGAUUGGUAAAAUCAGAAAUGAAGAUGCUUUACUUGGGGGCAAGUAAGGGUGGCCACAGCUCCAGGCUAGAGCCAGCAGUUCCAGUUCAAGAUUCAUUGGAACCAAGACCAUACAGCAGGGUCCCCAAAGGUUCCAGUUCAGGACAAAUCCAAUUUUGAUAUGUAUUUUCUUUUCUUCUUUUUUUUUUUAAAGGGAAAACAUGGAGGUUUGGCACAGAGCAGGAUCAGAAUAGACCAAUAUUCAAGAUCGGUCUUAGUCAAUCCAGUUUUGACUGGUUCUGGUUCUGGGUUGGACCAGUUCGGUCCCAAACCAGACUACCGCUGGACCUAUGGAGCAAGGUAUCAGGCACCAAGAAUGGAAAUGAUGGCCUUUCCUUUACCUUUAUUCUAGUAACAAAAAAUGGCAAGAGUCACCCCUCACAGAUUAACCCCAACACAGAAAACAAAGGCAAGAAUUUCUGCCAUUGAUUUUCACUUGGAUCAAAAGCUUAUCUAACAUGUACAGAGGUGCAGAGAAGCUGUUAACUUCCGAAUCAUAAUAUUUCAACUGCUUGUUACGUCAGCGAAAAAAGAAACUAAAAGUUCUUAUCCAAAAAGGGUAUUGAAAAUAACUUACUAUAUGUAGAAGUAUCAAUCUGCUCAGGAAGCUCUUUUAUGUCCACCUCAAACCUCUCCUGAACCUGAAAUCAGACAAAAUACAUUAAGAAUGAAGCUAAGCAACUUAGUUAUGCAAGACAGAUCAAAGAACAUAAAUUUGACCUGAUUUAGAACAUCAGAGUCUGAAGCAGAUGAUACAAAUGUAAUUGCAAGCCCUUUAGUGCCAAACCUACCAGCUCUACCAACCUGCCAAUUCAGGAAAUAGAAGGCAACAGUUGGACAGAUCAUCAAUAACCAAACAAUGGAAAGAAAAGAAGCAAUAAAAUAUACUUAAAAAUCCUAUAGAACUUACUCUGUGUAGAUAAGUGUCGGCAGAGUCUGGCAUGUCAUAGUUGAUAACAAUGUUCACACGUUCGAUAUCAAUCCCUCGCCCAACCAAAUCAGUGGCCACAAGAAUCCUUUUAUGCCCCUCCUUGAAUCCCUUGUAGCGUGUCAACCUACAAAAAUUGAACCAUUCAGCUUGAUAUAUAACAUACUUGAGUGCAUCUACUUAGCAAAAUAACUUUGUAAAAAUUUCCACUGCUAGAAAGAUAAUGGCAUGACAUAUCACAAGACCUAGGAAAACUGCAUUCUCAGUUAGCUCAUAGAAAGCUUGCUAUAAAACAAAACCUCAUAGACAAAUUACAAAAGAAGUAACUGCAAUUAAAGAAACAAAAGACGAGUAUUUCAAGCUGAUAACAGAUAGUAAACCUCAGUUAACAGACAAGCAAAUCAUUUAGCACAAAGAACAAACAAUACAAAUUAAUCACUUGAACAGGUCCAACCACAAUAAACAGCCCUUAACAUCAAGAACAAAUACUCAAAAUACUACCUCAGAACCAAUCACUUGAUAGAAUAGCUAGGGGAAUGACUACGAAAGAAAUCAGAAUCACCAUGCCAAAUAUAACUCAAACUUAAGUCCACCCAGCUCCAAGAAACAAAAAAUAAAUGAGCAUAUAAAAGCAAGAGGAGGGGGAAAAAAGGAAUAGUGAAGAAAUGCAAAUAUCACUUCCAAAAGCAGGGAAGGGAGGGAUGCAUCUUAAAAAAUUCAUAGAUGAAAACGUCAUCAAAGCUAAACAGAAGUUAACAUAGUAAAACCUCACUUUGACAAUGCAACUAGUUAAAAAAAAGAUUGAUGAAACAAAUCAUAAAUCUAAAAUCAGAGGCUGCCAUUAUCUUCAAAAUAAAUAAAUAAAUUAAUUAAAAUAAUUUGAUUGUAUUGUCUUAUGCUUGUCUAUGAACAUUUAAAAGUAAAUCAUGGAACAGAGCUUUGCUGUUCAUAGUUGUUAAUCAUUCACAUGGCCUAGACUUGAUAGUAUUCCACAUCCACAAGAAAUAACGUGGGUUACAAAGAUGAUAUGAUGUUUGUCAUAAUUUUCUAGCUUGUACAACUUGAGGAGCAAUUAAAACUAGAAAUACCCAAAUCAUUAACAGAGAUUUCAAUUGCUAGUUACUUUCCGUAUGCACUAUCAGAAUAAAGUAGUAGACAAGACUGCAAACAAUUUAUAGCAAUUAAAUAUCAUUCAGAGUUGAUAAUCUAGACAAACACAUGACAUAACCAAGUACAGAUGAUAUCAUUUGAAACAACUAUCACCCCAAUUUAACUGUGCCAAUAGACCAAGAUAAAGAAGGUAUGAGAAACAAGAAAAGAAAUGACCAAUAUAGCAGUGCACCAAGAUUUUAGUGACAAACAACCAAGUGUUUUACAUAAUCAGUUGAAGCAUGUCUAAAAUAUAUGAACCUUUCUUCUUGGGACAUUCCAGAAUGGAUACAAAUUGAGGGAAAGUUGCACUCCACAAGUAACUUGUUAAGCUCGGCAGCUCUGUUCACACUUUUGACAAAAAUAACAACUUGAUUGAAGUCCAGUGCAUCAAGGAGAUCAUUCAACUUCCGGUUUUUCUCCAGCUCAGUCAAUUUGAUGUAGUGCUGCCAUUUCAAAUAUUGAAAUAAGUAGAGAACAAAAGCAGUAUAGUUACAACAGUAUCAACAUCUAAAAAUGCACCUGUACGAGACCGUGUAGGGUCAACUUGGCUUCAUCAUCAACGUAAAUUUCCAUGGGCUGAAAGGAACAAAUGUCACAGUAAAUCAUAUUAAAAGCCUUCCUCAAGCUAAUGCAAUCCAGAAGGAAAUGAAUGAUGGAUUCACAGCCCUUGAAUCAAGAUUCUGGUCCAUCUGAAUCGUCUCCUUGCAGAUACAUUUGUUACGACAAAAACUGCCACUGCUGCUUAACACCUCUCUUAUCUUUAUUGCAGCCCCAACCCCGUAACUCUUUCCAUUCUUCUCAUUAUCAAUUUCUCUCCUCUCUACCAUACCCAAUUACCCAACUCAACACCCACAAGAUACCCAAGCCUAAAAAAUGAAACACUUGAAACAUAAAAGGAAAAAAAGAUGAAAUAUUCACCAACUCGAUCUUGAUGACUUCAAAAUACUCGAUAUUCAGUUUCUUAAUGAUUCCCCAUCCAAUCAAACUGCAAUUUUUUUCUUAAAAUGGCAGGAGGACAGAACGCUUUUGACAGAACUGCAUCCUAACAUCUACAGGACUCUUGCAGAAAUCUGGCAUUAUUAAAAAGAUAGACUUCUAAAUUCAAGUAGAACUGGCCUUAGGACAUUACAUCUUGCAUAAAUUUCUUGCAGACUGGGCGGAUUUCUUUGCUGAGUGUUGCAGAAAACAUCAUAACUUGUUUAUCAUGAGGAGUCAUCUUGAAGAUCUCCUGCACAUCUCUCCUCAUGUCUGCAGAUCACAUGAGAAUUAUGAUGAGAAAUGUAGAAAUCUCAAAAAUAUUAACAAACCAACAAAACAUAAGGAGAUUAGGAACACAAGCUGGGGCAUUGCAACAGGUAAAGAGAGAGGAAAGAGAACACUUACCAAGUGAUUCAAGCAUCUUGUCACAUUCAUCAAGAAUAAAAUGCCUCACAUUCUUCAAUGAAAGUUCCUUAUCUCUAGCCAGUGCCAGUAUUCUUCCAGGUGUGCCAACAACAAUAUGUGGGCAUUCAUUUUUCAAUAAAUCCUUGUGAGUUUUGAUAUGAACACCACCAUAAAAGACGGCAACCUUGAUAUCAGGCAAGUACGUACUGAACCUCUCAAACUCAUGACAUAUCUAUCAAAAGAAGGGGAAAAAAAUCAGAGGACGGAUCACCCAACAAAUUAUAUAAUUAGAAAAAAAUUGAAACAAUUGACGCAUCAGCAAGAAUUAGAAGAUACCUGAUAUGCCAAUUCCCUAGUAUGACACAGAACAAGAGCAAUAACUUGGCCAGAUGUAGGCUCAAUUUGCUGGAGAGUGGACAAAACGAAUACAGCAGUCUUCCCCAUUCCAGAUUUAGCUUGACAGAUGACAUCCAUGCCCAAGAUUGCUUGAGGGAUACACUCAUGUUGAACUGAUGAAGAACCAAACAAAAUUGUAUCCAAGGAACCCUUGGUAAGUAAAAUAAAACCUCCCUGAUCCUUUAAUUGAAAGGUUUACCAAACCAGAAUACUGCUCCAAAAUCAAGAGUGUGAUAGUGGUAUAUUACCUGGAAAGUAAAUUGACAAACCGAUUUAGGAGUGCAUAAAGUGUUAAACAAUGACUGAUUAGACAACCAUAAUAACAAAAUAGUUAUAUUAAGUAUGCAUUUUCAGGCGAAAUUAAGUCCAAAAGAUUAUCAAAACUAAAACUUACAUAGAUGCAUGCAAUCACAUGGUCCAAAAUAUUAUAGAUCUCAAACAUAAAAUGAAAUAGCUCACAAGCUAAGCAUGCCACCCAAAUUCCAUAUGUGUUUCAGCAAAAAAGGAAACCAUGAAAAAGUAAAACCAUACAAGACAUGAUUUUUUCAACAAUAUAAAGUGAGAAAAUAGGGUCAAUGGUUUGCCUUCAGAAGGAUGCUCAAAUCCCGAGUCCACAAUGGCACGUAGAAGCUCUGGCUUCAAAAGGAAGUCUCUGAAUCCGGAACUGUGUAUUCCAACAUAGCCCCUGCAAACAAAAAGGUAGACAUAUAAAUACAUAUUUAAAAAAAAAAGAAAGCUAAAAUCAACCGAAACUUUCCAUAGUCUAACUGUCCAUAUGACUAAAUAAAUAAAUAAAUCACAAGUUCAAAACCACUUAAGAAACAUGUGGAAGCAAAAAAUUAAAAAAAAAAAACACGAAUAUAACCACUUAAGAAGUCAACGACCCUGUCUGAAAACCAUGACAAUUAACUUUCAUCUUCAAAAGCCAAAUGAAUUCAGCAGAUCCAUUCCCCAACAUAGUAAUAUUAAGGAUUCAACAGCCAUAACUUAUAUUUUCCCAAACUUCUUAAUUCCCAGGAUUUAAAACACAUACAAAACAAAGACAACACUUCAAGAAGAUUGCUUACUUCUUGGCGGAUUCGCCAUUGACUUUAGCAACAGAGUCAGGGACUUUCUCUUCUUCUUCCUCGUAGUCGAGAAGCUCCUCCUCAUAAGCAUCGUUGUCUCUUGUUUCACCCAUGUUCUGUAAACAAACAAAUAGAUCUCGAAUUAAUGUUUCAGAUAUACAAAUUGCGUCAUGGUUACUAUAGAAAACAACAAGUAUUGAUUCAGAUCUAUUGGAAUAAGUUAGGGAAAUAUAUCAAUUGACGGGCAAAAAAAUUAGGGCUUCGAAAACAAAUUAUUCAGGGUUUUAUUAAAAAAAUCAAAAAGGAAGGAGAGAUAAAUAUACCUGCUAGGCUCUGAAAGAAAAACGUGGAUUUGGGUUUUAGGAUUAGGGUUUGGAAAGUCUGCAAAGAAAAUGGUUAGCGAGCUUAAAGAAAUUGGGAAAAGAUUUUGAGAGAAAGAAGACCCGAGCGAAGACCUCGACUAAAUAUAGAAAGGAGGCUCAGCCGCUGAAAGCAAAUUAUAUAUAAACCAACCCACAUUUCUACGGAGUUGCCCUAAAUGCCCCUUCUCUUUGUUAUGGGUAUGGGCUUGCUGUUUAUUUAUAUCGUGAGCGAGCCGUCCGAGGCCUACAACAUUGUUCACAGCCCAGUUGCAAUCUAAUCGUUGGGAACCUGUGAUUGCUAUCCAUUGCAAUAUUGCAAAGCCACCAACUGAAAAAGUUGAAUUCUUUCAAUGGCUGUGACUUCGUGCUUGAGGCUGCCGCUUCCUGUUAGAGCCACGCAAGAUUCAGGUGCCUCUCUCUUUAACUUCACAAACAGAAAAGUUCAUUAUGCACACUUUCUUUUUCUUUUCUUUUUUGUCUGCUACUACAUGAUAUUGGUUUCUUGACGCUUAGGGAUAUAUGGAACUGGAACCAGUUCUGUCAAGCAGGAGAUUCUUGGGAUACAUGACUUUUUCCACCCUCUUUCUACUGCUAGACAUCACCAUUUGAAAACUAGAGUCAGAUUUUUACUCCCUUAUUGUCAGCUAAGUCUAUUUCUUUAUGUUGAUUGGUUGCUGUAUUUUUUUUUCUCUUUCUAAUUUUUCAUGUUGAUAAUAGGCUGCACCAAGUAAUCAAAACCCAAAACCAAAAAGCGUCAUCUGUGCUGACUGUGAUGGAAAUGGUAAUUAAGCCAAUAACCAGAGUUAAGUAUUGCUGCUUGUCUGAAAAUGCAAGUGAUUUGGGUUGCAAACUAUAUGAUGUUCUUGUUGUCCACCUCCCAUGGCAUUAUUCCAUAACCGUUAUAUUCAUCUACUUCUUUUCUGGGUUGAAUUAAAAGCUUGUUUCUUGAUGACUUCAUGAGUUAAACAAAGCUAAAAUGUUACUGAGAACUUAUGGCAUUCUCUUUCUUACAAUUGUGAAAAUAAACGGAUGAAAGAUAAAUUUUCUUCUUUUGCUGUCAAUUACCAGGUGCAGUUCUAUGCUCACAGUGUAAAGGUAGUGGAGUGAACUCCGUUGAUCUCUUUAAUGGGCAGUUUAAAGCUGGAGACUCCUGUUGGCUUUGUGGGUAAUCUCUAUCAUCCCUAUCGUCAUCACAGUUAAAAGUAAUAUAGCAUUUGGGUUGAGAAAUUUUUUCAAUCCUCUUGUACGUGGUCAAUAUUUUACCAAAGUUGCAAAUAGAACAUGAUAUGCAACUAAAUUACCAGUCAUUUCCCUCCAUGGUUUGGAUUCAAUGAUAGAAUGUCUCCCACAAAUCAUGUCUUGUUUAUGGGUCAUCUUGCAGAGGAAAGAAGGACAUCCUAUGUGGGAAUUGCAAUGGAGCUGGCUUUAUUGGUGGUUUUAUGAGCACAUUUGAUGAGUAGAAAUGAUUAUGUGAUGAAGCAUACCUGGCUAGAAGUUGUUGAUCACUGAAUGUGAGCAAUUAAGUUUCAACUUUCAUGCAUUGAAAUGUGCAUAUGUAUAAUGAGAUAAAUUUUAACAUAUAUCAUUCUAUACUGAGAUCUAUACUCUCAAUUUGUUUGCUUCAGAUUUUUCAAGGUUUCUUGAGAUUACUGAUACAAUUGUUGAGUUUAUUUGCUUUCAUUGUACUUGAAUGAAAGUCACAAUUAAAUUAUGAAAUCAAGUAGAUCGUUUAGUUAUUGUAGGAGCUGGAGGAUUCCAUUGUAAUGAGAAAGAUGGUUCAAAAAUUCAUUCUGCUGUCACUCCUGUCACCUUUAACCUUUCAGAAGGAAGUUGCUGAACCUUUUUGGGCACUUGUUGGAUCGAAAUCCUUUAUUCUUUUACAAAUUGAUUGGGAUCAUCUACUGUAAUUGCAGCAGCCUUUUCAAAUUUCAUUGCCUUCUCAUAUGGUUACCACGUACCACCAUUACCAUAAUUUCAUCAGAUUUCUGUGGUAUUCUUCCUGCACAUAGUUUCUAUGGCAGGCAGCCAUUUGAUUGAGAUGCUAAUGGCUGUUCAUAAACUUACUCAUCUGUUUUUGGAGCGAGUUGCCUCAGUACUCCCCCAGCCUCCACUAGCUCCACCUCUUUCAACCCAUGCUUAGCUAAAAUCUCUGCAUAGAAUACUCCGAUUUCAUUCAAGAAGUCUAGGCCAGCAACAUCAAUUACUGCUGCUGGACACAACACUCCAUUCAGCAGCAGACUUGUAUCUCAAAUUGCGCAGUUGAGAUUUGACCCUCCUGCUAUGCUUAGUCUCCAGAACAUAUCAUUCAUCUCGACAUCUGCUCCAUAGCCAUCUCUUUCCUAGUCCUUUUCUCAGUUCAAAUAAGGAUGCAUCAUCAACAAUUCUUUGAUUUCGAUAUGAGAAACUCCAUUCCUCAUUGCUCUGAUAGAAACAUGGUAAAGAAUGUUCCCUCCAGCAUAGUUUACACAAAGAAAUACACGAGAAAGAUCCGCCAAGUUUGAGCCAAGGUUCAACACUCGUGAGGUGAUUCAGCCAUUCAAUUCAAGUAAAAACUGUAGCAGUCAUCAUAAGCUGUUGGAAGGCGAUUCUCGUGUGCUAAACGGUAGUCAAUAGAGAGGACAAUGCAUUGAAACGUGACUGAGAAAUCUCAAAGUGUAGCCAAGCCAUAAAGUUGAGCUAAUGCAAAAGCCUCCACCACGAAAAUAAAACAUAACUGGAAUGGAAGUCGACUUACAGAUGAUAAGGAAGGAAAAUCCUUGCUGUUGUUGGCUUGGAUUGAAAUAUUUAUAUUAAAUAUUUUCAUUAUUUUAACUGGAGCCUGGAGGAACUCCAUGUUAGGUGGGUCAUCUCACAUGAACUCUGUAUUCACUGUAAAAUAUAAAUAAAUAAAAGUUAAAAACUAUGCUAGUUAACGGGCUAAUUUGAAUGAUAGAAAUCCAUGGGAUACAUCAAACACUUGUUAAGUAUAGGACAACAAGAAUACAUCAAGUUUACCAUAUCAACACCCCCCCNNNNNNNNNNNNNNNNNNAACAAAAUAAAACCACAUGGACGAUCCAAAAAAAAAAAACAGAGUACCCUUCCAAUAUUUAAAAAAUUUAUACAAAGAAAGGGGGUAAGAUUCUGAAAAUAAAACUCUACUUGGCAGCUUGUUCUAAGAUAGGAACUUUCUUCCAGUCCUCCUCUAAGGCUCUGCUUUGCAAAGGGGGCAAUGAAAACAUGUUCACAGUUGAGCUUCCACUCCGAACCUCCUUAAGGACACGCAACGCUGAUAGAGUUAGCUUCAGGUACAUGUUCUCCAUGUUCUCAAUCUCAGCAAGCUCUUUGGGAACUUCAAUCGACUGCCCCCUACUUUCAGCUGAAGUUUUGGAGUCACAACCUUCCACUUCUUCAGUUUCAUCAGGUGAUAUUGACAGUUCAUUUCUUGAGAAGAGCCGGUCAAGCAUGGUCUCACACUCCUUCACAAGCUUGUUAAGCACAUGAGUUGUGAAAAAUGGCUGCUGCAUAACCUUUUGGAUGAAGGGCAAACGAACCAGAGCACCACUUCGCUUGUCAUAUUUCUUCAAUAUCUUCACAAGUCCUGUAAAAUCAAGUCCAGAAACAAAAUCAACUCAAAGCUCUAGAAUGAGAAUACCAACAUGGCAAGCAAAUCAGCAGCUUAACCUUGAAAUAAGCAAUUUAGCAAAACUUUUCUUUCUUUCUUUUCUUUUUUAACUCUCCUUCCAGAUAACUAAAUAAGAUCAUCAUGGUCUCCAUGGUGCAAAAUUCAACCAGAACAGCUGCUCUGGUUUCAGGAUUUGUCCGAGCGAUAAUCAAGUCCUCCACCAAAUAUCACAAAAAUUAUGCAAGCACUUCUUAUAACAACAGGACAUAUUUAGCACAACCUUAACAAGUCGCCUAAAACUUGGUUCUAAAUAAGGAUAUGAUGAUGGCAUAUUUGGUGAAUCUGGUGCAUUGUACAAACUACUGGAAUUCAAUUGAUGAUAGAAGAGGAAAACCAAAUUUCAAAGCCCCAUUUUUUGUCAACUCACCUGUGUAAUUGAGAGCACUGUAAUUCUCCAACAAAACCAUCUCGCCAUGGAAAUUCACAAUCUCCCUUCCCACUUCCAUCAGUUUUUCAUUUGAAUCUUUGGCCUUUUUAACUCUGUCUUGCAGCUCCUGCAUUCAGACCACAAUCACAAAAAGAAAAAUUAUAAACGAUUGUAUGUUCAUGAAUGCCAAUUUCCAUUUUGCAUACUACAGCAAAUGAAAGGGAACAAAACCACCAAGAAACAAUUUAACCCAUCAAGAGAAACACAAAUGCCAACCCAAUGAAUUGAAUUAUGGGAAUACGUCAGAAUAAAGCAUGAAAAGCUUAACAUGGCAUGAGUUUCAUGUACACAGAACAUUAUAGUAACAAAGAAUGUAGAAAUAUAGCAGACAUGUCUUGGGCGGAGGGAAUAACCUCUGUUUAUUCAGCUGCGGUGCCAAUUGACUGACGUAUAUGCCAUUUAGAUCCAGUUCAAAUUGUAAAAGCAUAUUACAUGAGAAAAUAAAUUUACUAAAGAGUUAACUCCACCCUUAUCAGAUUAAGCCUAAUAUCAGCUACAGCACAGAUUUCAAAUCACUUUGCAAAACUAUAGAAGACAAGAAGGGGAAAAAAUCCCUUUCCUUCUUCAAACUGGGAACUGUUAACCAAAAUUGAAAACUAAUUGGGUAAAUAUAGGUGUUCUCGUCUUCUAAUAUAUAAUUAUGUGCAUUAUUUUCUAUCGAACAUAAAAUUCUCACAUAAUAUCAAAAAAUUUAAAUUUCUUAUAUUGUCACUUAACAUUAAAUUGAAUACUUUUUAUUCCAAAAAUUGAAUUCUUCAUAUUCCAAACAAAAAAAUUCCAUCACAACCACAGCAUCGGGAUAAUUAAUUAAAAAUCAGUAUCACUUCAAUAAUACCUUCCAUUGGAUAACAAAAUCCUCUUCUUUUUCAACAAUAAAGGAAUUAAAUUUCUCCAUCUCGUCCUCCAGCAGCCUAACGAAAUCAAUCACCUCCUUCAUCACCUCACCGCCACUCUCCUCCCUGCGAUACUCACCGUCUUUCCUAUCAGUCGAUGCCACCAUCACCGCCUCCAAUCUCGGCCGCUUAUUCGGCGGCUUAUCGCCGUCCUUGGGGUAAAUUAGCUUGAGUUGUUUCUUCAAAUCUUUGUAGGAUAAAAACUUGUCUCUCCAUUCCGGUAAGGUAUCCUCUAUCAAUAUGCUCAGGCUCUUCCAGAACUUCAUACCUCAACAGCUGAUCAAGACCCCCGUAUAUGGAUUAUCAAUAUUGUUCCGGCGACUGAAUUCUUCAAAUGGUAAAAUAGUAAAAAACAACAUAUUGUGCGAGCUGUGAUAUUGACAAAAAAAAGGAGCGAGAGAAUAAAAAAAAUUAAAAUAAUAAUAAUAAAAAGAUAAAUACGAGAAAAAUGUUGGAGAAUAUUCGCGGGAUAGAAUAUACUCGUGCUGUUUUUGUCCAAGGGAUAAUCCCUCGCUGUCCACUCGGCUUCUUGUUCUCGGCAGCUUGACUCUUUUCGAUUAAUGGAAUUAAAUUUUUUUUAUUUCAGAAAAAUAUUUUAACAAUUGUGUUGCAUGAGCAAAGGUAUAUAUUUUUUUUUAACUAAAACUUGAGGAUUAGGAUCGAAAAGUAAAAUAUGAAAUUUUUUAAAUUUAUUUAAUUAUUUAAUUAAGUCUAUAAAUAUAAAUAAAUAUAUAUUAUAUAUAUAUAUUUAUUAUUUUAUUUUAAUAAUAUAAUUUGAUAUUUUUUAUAACAAAAAAGUUAUAGUACAAAUAUUUUUUAAAUCUCGUUGAGUGAAAAAAAAAAAGCCAAUUUUGAUAAAAGUUGAUGCUUAAAAUUCCACAAAACAUAAUUGGAUGCUUGAAUUUAUGCUGGCAUUUCCUUGCUUAAAGUUCACAAUUAACAUUAAUUAUUUGAUUAAUCUUAGUUAAUCCAUAUCCUUAUCAAUAGUAUUAUCUUUGCCUAUCAAAUUUUGAAAGGUUUGAUAAUCUCUAUCUAUGUAGAAUUUGACUCUCACCAAUAAUGAUAACCUCUUUAUUCAUUCAUUCAGUUUUCAUUGUUUUGUGGAAAAUAUUUUUAAAAAAAUAUAUAAUUUUUAAUAUUUAUAAUACUUAAAAAAUUAAUUAAAUCAAAAAGAUUUUUUUAAUUAAAUAAAAAAUCAAAGUAUUUCAAAUAAAUUAAAUAAUUUUGAAAGUUAUUAAUAUAAUUUAUUUUUUAAAUUUAAAUUAAAUAAUAUAAAAUAAAUUAUUUUGCAUAUAAAAUAUUUUUAUAUUUUUUAUUAUAAAUUAUUUUUCUUCAAAUAAACGAAAUCUUGAAAUAUAUUAUGAUUGAGUCAAAUAGAUAAUAUUAUAAAUUAAUAUAUUUAAAUCGGCAAAAUACAAAUUUGCAAUAAAAAGUUUUUCUAAAAAACGAGAUUACUUAAAAAACAUAAUCAUUACUCAAUGCACUUAGUCCGAGGCGGAGACGGAGUGCAGAUGGCCGCAUUGAUUUCGGUAAAAUAUAUAUAUAUAUAUAUAAUAAAAAUUAAAAUUUUCAGACUUAAUUUCCAUUACAGAUUUAAAAAAAUAAAUUUACAUUUAAUUAUUUUUUUAAUGGUUAGUGAUAUAUUUAUUUAUAUUUUAUAUUAUUGAUUUAUUUUUUAUAAUAAUUUAUCAUAAUUAUUAUAUAUUUUUAUUUUUAUAAUUAUAAAUUCACUUUAAUUGCAUAUAAAUUUUAAUUUGAUUGUACUUAAGCAUUUAUUAAAUAACUAAAAUCUUAAUAUAUAUAAUAUUUUUUUAUUAAAAAUAAGUAAAUUCAUUAGAAGAUGUCUAGACUCAGUAUAAAGGUGGUCGAGCCUAAAAAUUCAAAGGGCCAUAAUAAAAAGACCCUAGCAACAAAUCACACUGUGCCAAAAGAUAAUAAAUCAACCCAAUGUAACCAAAGCCCAAAUGAAUAAACCCUAGCUAUAAACGGGCAAAGAUCCGAAACCAACAAACUCGGGUAAAAUGAAGAAUUAUGCGCCUUAAAUCAUCACUUGGAGUAAUAGAGCCAUUGAAUCUAACCAUUGCUGUUGAAGAAAAGAACUCGACAUUUAUAAGACAUCAAAACCCAUGGUGGAGUAGAAAAGGAACAUGCAAAUCAAAACCAACCACCAACAUAGAGAUAAGUGUUUAAAUUUAGCAAUAACAAUAAUAACAAUAGCAACGCACAAGAAAGAGAGCAUAUCCAUCACGAAAAUAUCAUAUCCAUCAUAAAGAUGUUCACGAUUUGUAAUAAUUUCAACUUUUUUUCAUAGUUUCGACGAGAGAAAAUGAAAUAGUUUCAACUUUUUGUCAUAAUUUCGACGAGAGAAAAUAAAAUGAUAUAACACUACCUUUUAUAUAGUCGAUGAAAAAUCAAAACAAUUCAAUUAGAACAUUGUAAGCGUUCUCAAAAUAACUAACCCAUAAUCAUCAAAUAAAUUAAAAUCACCUUAUAAAGUAACAUGUAACACUAAAAAAAUUAAAAAAAUUAAAAAAAACGAUACUAAAUAAGACCAAAUUGAUGAUAGUAAGAGAGGAUCUCAUUGCUGAGUUCUCUUUUCCUUACUUAAUAGUGAUGACCGUUGGAUUUCUCCGUCCUAUUACGAGGCCGAACCGAUAGUAGCAGCCCACAAUCAGGAAGCUCCUAAACCUCCAAAUAAGUCAGGCCCAACCUGUUCAUCCUCCUGAUCGGACUCCUAUUUAAGUCACUCAAUCGGACCGACCCGGCCCAUUUCAGCCUUAAAACCAGCCCUUUCCUAGGUUCCGAUCCUUUUCCCUCAAAACCGGUCACAAGAAAAAAAGGCUGCGGGUCCAGUCAUUUCGCAGUCCUGUCCACUCGCACGCCGAAGGGAAUUAAAUGCUUGCCUGACAGAGGGAGGGUCCUGGAGUCAUCCGUACGUACGGACCUACACCAAGGAGUAGGUGGUCCUAUAGCGGAAAGGCCAUCUCGCAUGAGGGAGAAGAGAGAGAAUAAAAGAAUUAAGUUUUUUUUAUAAGUUUACAAAACUCUUGUAAAAUCAUAUUUUCUGGAUAUCAGAUCAUCAAAUAGGAUAGAAAAAGACCGAACAUUAGAAAGACAAAAAAGAUUUGAAAUCAUAAAAAAAAAAAGAUUUGAAAUCAUAAAAAAAAAAAGAAACUGAGAAGAAAUUUUCUCUCUGCCGCUGAAGUAGGAAGAGAUAUUUUAAAAAAAUAUAUAUAUUUAUGACUUAAACUUAUUAAUGCAUCUAAUAUAAAAUAUAUAGUAUGUAUAUUAAUAAUUAUUAUAUAUAUGCAUCAUACAAAAUUAACUGAAAUAUAUUGCAUAUAAUAAGUUUAUAAAUUAAAUACAAAGUAUAUUAUCAUAUAAAAUAUAAUUUAUAGUCGGACUCAAAUAUUUAUCCAUUUAAUUUCAAGUCUCAACUAAAUCAAAUUCAAAAAAUUGAAACUGGUAAAAAUAGAUUGAAAUUAGUCAUUUAUGAAUUGGCUAAAAAGUUUUUUCAUUAGUGAGUUAAGUAUGAGUUUUUUUUUUUUUCUUUUUCCUUUGAACCAUGAUUAUAAUUAAUUUGAAUUGUCUAUUCCAAAUCAAAACUAGCUAAAUUCAAAUUUUAUUAAUUUUCUAAAUUAAAUUUACAUUGAGUUAAUUGGCUGCUUUUUUUUAAUUAUAAAAAACAAACAAAGAUUGUAUUAUAAAUAUAAAUUAUAAAAAUUUAUGCAGUUUAAUCUAUAAAAUGUUACUAUUAUGGUUAUUUUAUUUGAAAUAAUGUAGCAAUUUCUUUCUUAUAAAAAUUAAUCAAAUCUAUGAAACAUUUGUAUUUUUCUUUAAUUUUUUUUAAAGGAAACCUGUUUUUUUUAAUAAAUUAUAUAAAAUGUGUAAUAUUAAAGGAAAAAAUAAUAAUAAUUCAAAAAAUAUAAACAUUUAUCUUUUUAUUUUUUAAAUGUAUAAAAAUAAUAUAUUUUUGUAAAAUUAAUUAUUUUGAUGAAAAAUUAUUUAAAUUUAUAAAGAAGUGACAUUUUCAAAUAAUAUAAAAAAUAAAUACUUUAACAUACAAAGACAAUAACAUAUUUUUGUAAAUAGCAAAACAAAAUAUUAUUUUAAUUAAUAAUAAUUUUUUUAAUUUAAUAUAUUUUCUGCAAAAUAAUUACUUUUAAAAAUAAAAACCAAUUUACAUAAAUUUAGAAUAAAAAUAUAGAAUUUUUAUAAUGUUAAAUUUAUUUUUGUAAUGAAGUAAAUUAACUUUAGACUAUAAAAAUUCCCUAAAUUAACACUGUAACCGUUUUUAAUCAUAUUUUAAACUGAAAAUUAUUAGAGGGGUGUAUUCAUCAAUUUAGAAUCGAUUGAAUUGAAUAAAUUAAAAUUUAAAUAUUUAUAAAAAUUAAUAGAAAAAUAAAUUUAAUUUAAUUUAAUUCAGUUUAAUUAAUUAUUAAAAUAUUUUUAUUAUUUAUUUAAAAUAUUUUAAUUUAAUUUGAUUUUAUUGUUUUUUAAUUAAAAUUAAAUUAAAUUAAUUAAAAUUUUAAUAAUAUAAAAUUAAUUUAAAUAAAAAAUAUAAAAUUAAAUUAAAAUUUUAAAUUGAUUGGAUUUGUUGUCUUGUUUUGACUUGAAUUGAUUAUUUCUUUACUAUGAUGCCGCUCGGUUUGAAACCGGCUUGUGCCAGGUCCAACCUUAGCGAGAGAUGAUCACAGGCUUGGCGCAAAUGGGCCUUCUACUGUGUGAUGCCAUCGGCUCAAUCAUAGCCUUCUCCUAAAAGGUAACGACAGUGAGUGAAGCCUCGAGAGUGAGGGGUAACUACUUCACUAGGAAGGCAACCAAAAGCAACUUCUCUCAGAAGGUGGCCCAACCAUUCCUAUUUUAUGGUUCAGUUGCCCAGUCUCUCGUUACUCUCUCUAUCUCGGUUCUAGCUUCAUCAAACGCAAGAAAGGUUAGUCUUUCUUAAUUCUUUGAUUGAUAUUUGUUAUGUAUUUGAUAUCAUGUUCAAAAUUGGCUGUUGGGAUUGUCUGUUUGGUGAUCGAGAAAAUGCAAUUCACUAUUGUUAUUCUUUUUCUUUGAUCAAUGCCUUAACAUUAGAGACCAUUCUUUUGUUUUUUUUUUUAAUGGGUGAAUUUGUGUCCAGUUUUUUUAUAUUAUUUUAAAGUUUCUUUUCUCUUCUCUCCAUUUCUCCCAAUCCAAACAAAGGGUUAGACUCUAUCUUUUUGGGCGAUGUUGAGUUCUUGUCCUGGGUUAUUGGGGUUAACUUUAUUUUUUCUGUCUCUUUUGGAAUUGUGCAUUGUAAUCGAUUAAUGAGUAUGGCUAUGGCAUGAUUUCUUCACAAAAUUUUUGAAAAUUUGUUAGUUUCUAAGCCAUGGCAUUUUCGGGAAACAAUUCUCGGCCAAUACAGCGUGGGGAAAAGAAGGGAUGAGGUUUCAUUUUGAAAUUCUGGGAUCAACUGGAACACUUACCUUAGUUAACAAAAUAGAAUUGAAAACACGUGCUAUUAUAGUUCUUAAAAUAAUUUUUUUGGGUCUGGUUUUUUCAUUAUUUAUUAAAAUGUGCAUUGGGAUUGGGGUCAAACUGAAACACAAUUUGUUUUGCUCUUAGGUUGCAUAUUUAAUUAUUUACAAAGAAGUAUCUUGAAUAUGCACCCAACAACAUUAGAGAGAUCUUAUCAAUUUUAUUUUUAACAGUUACCUUAGGGAUUUGUUCUUUUCCCUUUUUUUGCUCCCCCUAUUUUCUGUUAUAAUAGGAAGUCACAAUCUCUUUAAAUGAAUUAUUUCUUCCUGCUUGUUUGGCUCUUUAUCAAGUUUCUACCAGAAGAGUUUGCUAUGAAAAUAUAUUUUUGAUCUAAUAAUCAUCAGUGCUUGAUAAAGGGGAAUGGCUAAAAAGGAUCUAUAUUGCUAAACCACAACUAGCUUAGAACUAAGGCUUAGUUGUUGUUGUAACCUUUAGCUGUUGAACUUGGCAGAGCACCGGCAAAUUAAUGGAGAUAGAAAAGAAUGAGAAGGAUACAGUGGUAACUCAAGUCAGUAUUGGUGGAUUUAAUAGUCGUGUCAAGGCAAAAGAUCUUGUGGCAUAUUUGGAAAGUGAGAUUGGACUUGUUUGGAGGUGCAGAUUGAAGACAUCAUGGACCCCGCCAGAGUCCUAUCCAAAUUUUGACAUAACUAACACUGCAGGUGUCCAAAGAACAGACGGGCAUAACAAGAUAGAGCCACAUGCGUUUGUCCAUUUUGCCUCACCUCAAUCAGCCACUUGGGCUAAGAAUGCUGCAGGGCGCUGUGAACUUUUCUUGAAUGACAGGCCACUGAAAGUUAGUCUGGGUCCUGAAAAUCCAUAUCACAUGAAUCAGAGAAGGAGAACAACAACUCCCUUUAAAUUAUCUGACGUGCAUGUUGAGAUUGGAACGCUUAGCCGUAAUGAAUUCUUGGUUGGUUGGAGUGGACCUUCUUCUGGAGUUGAUUUUCUUGUGGAUCCUUUUGAUGGGACAUGCAAGUUUUGUUUCACUAGGGAUACUGCCUUCUCCGUGAAAGACACAACUGAGCAUGCAGUCAUUAGAUGUGACUUUAAAUUGGAGUUCCUAGUGAGAGACAUCAAUGAGGUGAAACAAUAUACUGAUUGGAACACUUCAUCACUGGUUAUCCUGUUGCAGCUGGUGUCAGCACCUUUUGUCUGGUAUAGAACUGCUGACGAUGACAUCGAAGUGUUAGCUCCCUUUAAUUUGCUGGAUGAUGAUGAUCCUUGGAUCCGGACCACUGAUUUUACCCCUAGUGGGGCAAUUGGUCGUUGUAAUUCAUAUCGAGUUUCCAUCCCCCCUCGUCAUGGUGCAAAGUUGAAUAGGGCCUUGAACUAUCUUAAAGAACGAAGGGUGCAGCUGGAAUUCCUAAAAAUGCCCCUUAAGAAUUCAAAUGAACCAGAGUAUGGGAUGCCGAUGUCAGAUGCUUUCUUUUGUAUUCAUCACAAGGAAGGGAUUGCUUUUGAGGUAAUGUUCCUGGUGAAUGCUGUCAUGCAUAAAGGAAUAUUCAAUCAACACCAACUGUCUGACAGUUUUUUUGAUUUACUGAGAAGCCAACCUCUGGAUGUAAAUUUGUCUGCAUUGAAGCACAUUUGUUCUUAUAAGCGCCCUGUUUUUGAUGCUUAUUGCUGUCUCAAAGCUGUCCAGCAAUGGUUGCUGAAUAACCCCAAACUUUUCAAGAGCCCUAAACAGUUGGAUGAUAUUGUAGAAAUUAGGCGGCUGGCUAUUACUCCUACCAGGGCAUACUGCCUUCCACCUGAAGUAGAACUCUCCAAUAGAGUUUUAAGAAAAUAUAAAGAUAUUGCUGAUAGAUUUUUAAGAGUCACCUUCAUGGAUGAAGGCUUGCAGACAAUCAACGCAAACACUCUCACUUAUUACGUUGCUCCUAUAGUAAGAGAGAUCACUUCUAACUCUUUCUCUCAAAAAACAAGAGUCUUCAAAAGGGUGAAGGGUAUUCUGACUGAUGGAUUUUACUUAUGUGGUCGAAGGUACUCAUUUUUGGCCUUCUCAUCCAAUCAACUGAGGGAUCGUUCUGCAUGGUUUUUUGCAGAAAAUGCGGAAAUUAGUGUUCAUCAGAUCCGAAGCUGGAUGGGGAGGUUCACCAAUAGGAACAUUGCAAAAUGUGCUGCAAGGAUGGGACAGUGUUUCUCCUCUACAUAUGCAACUGUAGAAGUUCCUUCAGGAGAGGUUAAUCUUUCCCUUCCUGAUAUUGAGAGGAAUGGUUAUAUAUUCUCUGAUGGUAUUGGAACUAUAACUCCAGAUCUUGCGAAGGAAGUUGCAGAAAAGUUGAAAUUAGAUGCUAAUCCACCAUGCGCUUACCAGAUCAGGUAUGCAGGAUGUAAAGGGGUUGUGGCUUGCUGGCCAGCACAAGGUGAUGGGAUCCGUUUGUCCUUGAGGCCCAGUAUGAACAAGUUCCAAUCAAAUCACACCACUUUGGAAAUCUGUUCAUGGACCAGGUUUCAGCCUGGUUUCUUGAAUAGGCAGAUUAUUACUUUGCUUUCCGUUUUGCAAGUUCCAGAUGAAAUAUUUUGGGAAAUGCAGUUUGAUAUGGUCUCCAAACUCGAUCAGAUGCUCAUGGAUGCUGACGUAGCAUUCGAUGUUAUCACUGCAUCAUGUGCUGAGCAAGGUAAUACUGCAGCAAUAAUGUUGAGUGCAGGUUUCAAGCCCCAAAAGGAACCUCACUUACAAGGCAUGCUAACUUGUAUAAGAGCUGCACAGCUUUGGGGCCUCAGGGAAAAGGCUAGGAUCUUUGUUUCUUCAGGGAGAUGGUUGAUGGGCUGCUUGGAUGAGCUAGGGGUGCUUGAACAAGGUCAGUGCUUUAUCCAAGUAUCUAACCCGUCUUUGGAAAACUGUUUCUUGAAGCAUGGCUCAAGAUUUAGUGAGAUCAAGAAAAACCUUGAAGUAAUUAAAGGUACUGUGGUGAUAGCUAAAAAUCCUUGCCUUCAUCCUGGAGAUGUAAGGAUCCUAGAAGCAGUUGAUGCUCCUGAACUGCACCAUUUACAUGAUUGCCUUAUCUUCCCACAGAAGGGUGACAGGCCGCAUACAAAUGAAGCUUCUGGAAGUGACCUUGAUGGAGAUUUAUACUUCGUUACGUGGGAUGAAAACCUUAUUCCACCAAGUAAGAGGAGUUGGACACCGAUGCAGUAUAAUGCUGCAGAAGCCAAGGUCCUAAAUCGCCCUGUCCGUUCUCAGGUAGUUAUUUGCUCAAUUUGAAUAUUACUCCUUCUGUUCCAUAAUUUUGUCCUCUUUGCUUUUUCACACAUUAAUAAAUGCAUUUUUUAUUAACUUUUCAAUUAUACUCAUAUUAAGUACAUUUAAUUUUAUUGAAUACUAAGAAAUAUUUUGAAAGGUUUCUUAGAAAUAAAACAAAAUUAAAUAGUGUUAUAAUAGUCAAUUUAUAUGUUACUAUAGUUUAAAAAAAAAGAAAGUGAACAAUAAUUUUGGAAUAAUAAAAAAAGGAAAAAUGGACAAACAUUAUGAGACGGAGGGAGUAUUUUUGAAGCCUAUUUGACAAUUUUGUUUAAGUGGUACUAUAAUGUGUAGUGGGCAAUUCUUUGUCCCUACCAUCUUCAUUGAACAUUCACUUUUCUCUUAUUCUUUUUCUCCCCAUGCAAAUACUGGAUUAAAUGAUGCCCAAGUCUAGUAUACAGUGAUAGUUGAAAAACUAUUGGUAGGGAGGAUUAUAUGAUACCAAUGCUAAUCUUCUUGAACCAACAAAAUCUAUUAUUUUCGCGGCACUAUAGUAUUGAUAUAUUGUUUGUUUAUUAUUUGACAAUGCAUGAAGCCAUGAACCAUGUAAAUUAUGUGUUGGCAUAAUUUUGGAAUCUAUGAAUAACAUCAUGAAGUUCCACGUCUCCACCCCACCAAGGCAUAUUCUCUUGCUGGUAAUGGCAAUAUUAUUGUGUUGUUACUUGUGCCUAGAAAAUGAUAUUAGAUAGAUUACAGUAUCACAAAGAAGCAUACUUAGUGUAUUCUUACUGAAGAUUCAGAUCCUAGGUCAUUUCAUUAGCCUUUAAUUGAGGAUAUAUACUGUUUAUAAUUCCAAUUUUGCCACAAGAAAAGAUCUGAUUAUUUCUGUGUUCUAUGUGCAGGAUAUUAUAGAUUUUUUUGCAAGGCAUAUGGUAAACGAGAAUUUGGGAGCAAUUUGUAACGCGCAUGUUGUUCGUGCAGACUUGAGCGAGUAUGGGGCUCUGGAUGAUAAUUGCAUAAAACUGGCAGAAUUAGCAGCCACAGCUGUUGACUUUCCUAAGACUGGGAUGCUUGUAACUAUGCCACCUUAUCUGAGACCAAAAAUGUAUCCAGAUUUUAUGGGGAAGGAGGACUAUCAGUCCUACAAGUCGACCAAAAUUUUGGGAAGACUUUAUCGCCAGGUUAAAGACGCUUGUGAUGAUAAUGUUGUAGCUGCGUCUUCAGAGCUCAACAUCGUUCCUGGUGACAUUCCUUAUGAUAGGGAUCUGGAGGUUUCCGGGUCAUCUGAUUACAUUCUGGAGGCCUGGGAUCAAAAGUGCUCAUAUGAUGGACAGCUGAAAGGUCUUAUGGGCCAGUAUAAAGUGAAAAGAGAAGAAGAGGUUGUAACUGGUCAUAUUUGGUCCAUGCCAAAGUACAACAGCAGGAAGAAUGGGGAAUUGAAAGAGAGGCUUAAGCAAUCUUACAGUGGUCUCAAGAAAGAAUUUAGGCAAGUCUUUGAGAAGAUGGAUUUGGAUUUUGAACAACUCUCAGAUGAUGAGAAAAACUUGCUGUAUGAGCGAAAGGCAUCAGCGUGGUACCAGGUUGCAUAUCAUCCCACUUGGAUAAAAAAGUCACUGGAAUUGCAAGGGCCAGAAGCUGAUGACAGUGCAGCAAUGUUGAGCUUCGCUUGGAUUGCAGCCGAUUACCUUGCUCGAAUUAAGAUUAAAUGCAGGGGAAUUGAAGGUGUCGACACUAGUAAACCUGUCAACUCGCUGGUGAAGUACCUGGCUGAUAGGAUCUGAUCAGCAUCUGAAGCCUUUUGGGGCAAUGUUAGGCUUCUUGGCCGCAAGUCCACUCUGCCAUUAUUAACAAUCUUAAUGUUUUGUUUACUAUGCUGUAUCUCAUGGUGGUAUUCAGGCAUCAUGAUUGAACUGUUGUGUUAUGGUGAAACUUGGUUUUUCUAAAUGUUCAUAUAUCGUAUGAUAUAGAUAAUUAUUUCUGGUUGAAGACAGUUUACCCUUCUCAUCACGUGAUGAUGCCAAAUAAUGCACUUGGAAGUCAAAAGAGUGUCACUUCAAGAAAUGAACAAUAUUGAAAAGUGGAAACCAAUCAACCAUGGGAAUGGUUAUUGCUCUUAUAAUUGCAAUUCACCCACCCCAUAAUUAUGUUGAAAGGCAUAGCAAGCGUGUCACUACCUUGUUGAUGGCCAAUCAACUCUGGGCAUUUUUUGAUUGAUAAAGGUGAAACAUUCAUUAAUCGUUAUCCAACCACUUAGAGCUGUGCCUCUGCCUUUUCUUUUUCAAACUCUUUUUUUCUUUUUGUUAGGACUUUGGGGAAUCUUCCAUUGAUCCAUCCUUCUGAAUUUCAGACCACAUACAUGCAUGCAUCCAAAGCUGUCAGCCCAUGAAUAACUUCCAUUUUGAGUAUGUAUAAAAAGUUUACUACAAACACAUGGAUGAUGGAUCUUCUACCCAUGACCACAAAUUUUUUGCCAAUUUAAUCAAACCCCAUUUGUUUGGAUAUUCCUAUUAGCUUCUAAGCUGUAUAAGUCUCUUUCUCGCUUUAGUUUCUACAUCAUCUCAUGUGUCAUUGUCCUUCUAUGCCUUCACUUUCUUACCAAAAUUAGCCAUGAUUUUUAAAGGGAUUACAUCUAUAUUAAUAUAUGGAAGAGUAAGCUCAUGUGUGCUUUGUAUGAGCAAUUAGUUGGAUUUCUCUUUCAAAAAAUAGAAAAUCCAUGUGUUUUUGUCUCAAUCUUUCUCUAUAUUAUAUCUUUGUCUAGUUAAUAUUGUCUCUAAUUCAGGUUUUCAAGCAUACAACAGUUCCCGUAGGCCGUAGCAGUAAGUAUAUACUAUACAUUCCACAAGUUUCCAAGCUGAUGGCCACUUCUUGGAAAGUCUCAUUUUCAGUAUCAAACACAAAGGAGAGAUGCCAUCCAUCACUCAUCAUUAACUCAAAACACCUAUUAUCAAUAAUUAAAAACAUUAAUUUCUAUUACAAAAGUUUCAACAUACAGAGCACACCAUGUCUGUAAAUAUAAUUCCUGAUGGCUCUUCUACAAUAUGAUGCCCAUCAGGAAAAAUAUACAUCUAGCUGACACUAAUAUCAGGUAAACUAUAUAUCUAUAGAUAUAUAUAUGGAUCGAUUUCCUGCUAUAUUAAGUUCCUGAAGAUGUCUAAGGUAAUGGAUUCAUUCGUUAAUCUGAAGGUAGUUUUACAAUCAGUUUCGCUGCAGCACCUGCAGCUCUAGCUAAUUGCCCACCUGAAGAUGAGUUUAGAUAGAGACUUACAGGCGGUCAAUUCCAAUUAAGUAGUUCUUCUAUCAUUUGUGUUGCAAUUAUAUCCUGUUCAUCAUCAAGACCAUGUGCAGGCUCCAUCUCAUGAACUGCCGAUGACGAUGAUGAUGACAGUGAAAAUCCAUCAUCCACCACUUGUGUUUUCUUGUUUCCAAGCUCCACCUUCAUGACCCAAUUCGAUCUGGAAUGAGAACCAGCUCCCUUUUGCCACACUCCAAUGUGAGAAUUGUCGUUGUCAAGCCUUAAACAAGUGAGAGAAGCAGGAGAAGGGUCUUUGCAACACUUGCGAAGCUUGGUGUUGAGCAGCUCAGAGAGAGCCUUGGGAGGCAAUGGAUACUGAUCAGUAUUGCAUUGAUUAUGAUCAUUUCCUGUUUCUUCCAGGUCACUUCUAGGGAAAUUGGUCUUGGCAUUUUGGCCAUUCAUGAGUAUAGCUGCUUGGUCAUAAGCUCUUGCUGCUGCCUCAGCUGUCUCAAACGUGCCUAGCCAUAUCCUCCUCUUCCUACACACACCCAACAAAAAACACAUCACAGAGGAAUAUCACAAACUCCUUCCAUACAAUAACAAUCAAAGCUCUGGCAGUGUGAUACGAGGUAUAUAUAGCCUGAAGCUAAAUGGGUAUUUAAUGAGCAAAAAGUACAAGCUCAUACUAAAGAGAGUGUAAUAAUGUGAGUGGGUGAGCUUACAGUAAAGGGUGGCGAAUUUCGGAUACCCAGGAGCCCCACUGUCGUUGCCUGACGCCUCUGAAUUUCUUUGAUUGUACCAUAUCCUUUUUAAUGGAGAUGAGAGAGUGAGAGUGCGAAAUUUGCAGAGAGUUGAUGAUAAUAAUAAAGUGGGAGAUGAGAUGAGAUGGAUGAUUGAGAGAUGAUGAUGAGGUGGUUUAAGUGUUUUAAUAGAGAGGGAGCUUGGGACAUGAAAAAGAUGAUAGCGUACUAAAUAUGUAAGACAGAUUGUGUGUGUUGUGUCGGUGAAUUGGAUAGAAAAAGUCUAAGUUUGCAUUAAAGAUUUCACCUACACAAACUCUAUAUACGUAAGAACAACCUUUGCCUUAUUCACAACUAAUUACAUCACCUUGCACCCUCAUUUAUUAUUCUGUUUCUUCACAAUUAUUUAAAUUUAAAUAUUUGAAUUUGUUGCAUUUUUAAUAUUAUAUUCUAUCCAAAUAAAUAGUAAUACAACAAUAUUAAUUAUUUUAAGGAGAAAGUAAAAGAAAAUGAUUUUAUCGAAUUUAACUUUAUGAUUUGUAGUUUAAUUUAUGUGUAGUUUAAUUUAUGUUAAAGUCAUAUGUAUGAUAUCACACUAUUAAUAAAUAAUGAUAAUUUUUAAAUAUCGUCAAGAAUAUUAACGUAGAAAUCAUAUCAUAAUAUACUAAUUUGAUACUGAUAACAUAUAAGAUAUAUAAAGAAUUUAGGAGGAAUUUUUUUUUUCAAAUUGAAUUGAUUUUCAUAAAAUUUGAAUAUUUAUAUAAAAGAAAUUAACCUAAAUUAAGAAUAUUUAUAAUAAAAAUAGAAUCUCUAUAAUUAAGCCCUAUAAUCAAGUCUAAUUAGCACUCACAGGUAUAGUCUGAUGAUAAGUGCAUCUAAGUAAAUCUGAGAGGUUUCAGAUUCUACUCUCCCGAUCCUCAAUCCCCAUUUCAAAAAAAAAAAAAAAAUCAAGUCUAAUUAGGAUUCUAAAGAUCUGAAUCCUCUUAAUUAGGAACUUUCUAUGUUGGUCAAUAUUUUCUCUCAAGUUAGUGCAUAGAUAUCACACAUGUCCAACUUGCAAACCAAGGUAUGAUAGAUCUUGUUGUUUGGCUUUUUGGUAAAUACUUCAGCUAACUGUUCAUUGGAAGUCACAUGAUCUAAUCUCAAGACACCAUUUAUUAACUUCUCUUUAAUGAAGUAUCGAUCAAUCUCUAUAUGUUUCGUUCGGUCAUAUUGAAUCAGAUUAUGAGCUAGACUGAUGAUAACUUUAUUGUCACAGUACAAGAGGAGUUUAUCACUCUCCAACAGUGUCAAUUCCUCCAACAAUCUCUACAAUAAGGAGUUCACAAAUACCUUGUGCUAUCACUUUAUAUUUCGCCUCAGCACUUGAUCGAGCAACAACACUUUGCUUUUUUAUUUUUCCAAGUGAUAAGGUUUCCUCCCACAAGUGUGCAAUAACCACCAGUCGACCUCCUAUCAUCAAGGAAUCCAGUCCAAUAUGCAUUUGUGAAUGCGUGUAUACUGAGAUGACCGUGUUUAGAGAAUAGGAGACCUUUUCUAGGAGCAGACUUCAAGUAUCGCAAAAUAUGAAAACAGCUUGUAUGUGAGACUCACGAGAAUCAUGCAUAAAUUGACUGACUAAGCUGACUGCAUAUGUUAUAUUUGGUCGAGUAUGUGAAAGAUAAAUCAAUCUGCCUACCAACCUCUGAUAUCUGCCAAUAUCCACUGACUCACCAAACCUUGCUUGUAGCUUGUGAUUGCUCUCAAUGAGAGUUUUUGCUGGUUUACAACCUAACAUACAAGUUUCUUCCAAAAGAUCCAAAAUGUAUUUUCUCUAAGAAAUAAAGAUUUUCUUCUUUAAUCUGGCAACCUCAAUUUCCAGAAAAUAUUACAGUUUUCCUAGAUCUUUAAUUUCAAACUCCUUAGUCAAAAGUUUUUUCAGUCGAGUCAUUUCUUCAGUGUCGUUCCCUGUCAUUAUUAUGUUAUCAACAUAGAUUAUAAAAAAAGUAAUUUUACCCUUGUGAUGUUUGAUAAAUAAGGUAUGGUCAGCAUUGCUCUGUUGAUAGCCAAAGAAAAUCAUAACUUUACUGAAUCGAUCAAACCAAGCUCUAGGUGACUGCUUUAACCUAUACAAAACUUUCUUUAGCUUACACACAUUUUCUUGUGUUUUUUCAUCAUCAAAUCCAGGAGGUAUUUUCAUAUAUACUUCUUCCUCCAAGUCUCUAUGGAGAAAUGUAUUUUUUACAUCAAAUUAUUGUAGUUCUUAAUCAAGAUGGGCAACACAAGAUAGCAUACUCUGAUUUAGUUCAUUUUGGCAACAGGGGCAAAUGUCUCCUGGUAAUCCACUCCAUAGGUUUAAGUGUAGCCCUUAGCAAUUAGUCUAGUCUUGAAUCUUUCAAUUGAUCCUACUAUUUUGUGUUUCACAAUGAACACCCAUUUGUAGUCAAUUGACUUUUUUUUUCCAGGUGAAAGAGACAUCAACUCUCAAGUCUCAUUUUUUACCAAGGCUUUCAUUUCUUCAAUCAUCGUUCCCUUCCAAUUAAAAUCUUUGAGAGCUUCAUUCCAAUGGGAUAGAUACAGAAAAAAUAGAUAAGGCAAAAGCUCUAUAAGAUGGAGACAAAGAAUUAUAAGAGAGAAAGUUAUAAAUAGAGUGCUUUGUGCAAGAUCUAACUCUUUUUAUUUGAGCAAAGAAUCAUAAGAGAGAAAGUUAGAAAUAGAGUGCUUUGCGCAAGAUCUAACUCUUUUUCUUUGAGCAAUUAGUUUAUUUAGAUCAUCAAUAGGCUCAAGGUUUAGGGAUGAUUCAUCACAUGAAGAAGAAGAAGAGUCAUGACACUGAGUAGGCUGCAUAAUGAUAUUUUUUUACUUCUGUUGUGUCUCUUCUUAAGUAUCUCCUUAAAUCUGGUUUAUCUAAACGCCCAAUUAUCUUUUCCUGAUCACCAAUAAUCUUCCUCUGUAUAGUAGUCUCAUCUAGAAUAAAAUGCUCUAGAAUUAUAGGACUAGGAAUCAUCUCUUCUCUCUCAUUGUUCUCCCCUUGAAAAGGUGAUGGGAUAGUACUGAAGUAAGAUUCAGCCUCUCUCAAUGUAAUAUCCAUACUGAUAAAAUAUUUUCUAGAUUGAGGGUGGUAACACUUGUAACCUUUCUGUAUGGGAGAAUACCCAACAAAUACAUAUUUAAGAGCCCUCGGAUCGAGCUUCCCACCUGUCCUAGUAUGAACAAAACACGUGCAUCCAAACACCUUUGUUAGAACAAUAUAAAUAUUUUUCCUUUAUAGCACCUCUAAAGGGUUUUUAAAGGCAAGAGUUUUGAGAGACAUUCUAUUAAUGAGAUAAGUUGCAGCUAAGACUGCAUCUCCACAAUAUUAUUUUGGAAGGUUUAUGGCAAAAAAGAGAGAUCGAGCUACUUCCAACAAGUGCCUAUUUUUCUUUCAGUAACACCAUUUUGGGCACUAGUGUAAAGACAACUAAUUUGAUACAGUAUCUCAUUAGACUCUAGAUAAGUAGAAAAAUGGUCAUCCAUAUAAUUUGUACCAUCAUCAAUUUUCAAAAUUUUUAUUCUAGUAUCAAAUUGAGUACAAAUUAUCUUGUGAAAAGAUUGAAAGCAAGAAACCAUGUCACUAUUUGCCUUUAUCAAAUAAACCCAAGUUAUAUGAGUGCAACAAUCAAUAAAAGUAACAAACCAACAAUUACCAGAUAGUGAGACCAUUUGAGUAAGUCCUCAAAUGUCAGAAUGGAUGGUCACUGACUGUGCGGUUGUCGAAGCCGGUCAAAAAUAACCUUUUUGAUUAUCCACAAUUUUACAACUGUAGAUAGUGGUAAAAGGAUCGAAUCCACAGGGAAUUAAUACUUACCUAUUUUCCUUAUCAAGACCAAGUAAAUAAACUGAAAGUAAAAUAAAAUGGGGGUUUUGAGAUUGAUGAAUUGAACUAGAAUUAAAAGUAACAAAAUAAAGCAAAUAAUUAAAGUAAAGAAAUUCAAUAGUGAGAAGGGCUCUAGUUGAAGAAUUGGAUCCAUUUCAAUUGUUGGGAUUGAUCAUUGACACUUAGGUUCCUUUAUUUGAUUCAAUAAAUUAGUUAUGGAGGUGGAAGACGUUUCUCACCACCAUAUCCCUCCUUAAGCAUAAAUCAAUUAGGGAACGCCCUCUAAUUAAUUACUAAUCAACAAGUUGACAAGGAAUGUCCUUGGGCCUUUGGCAUCUAACAACUGUCAAUUACAUUAAGAAAUAGAGAGACCUAAUUCUAACUAUCCAAACGUAUGGUGAUAUUGCUAGAUCAUGCAAUUUCCUUAGUUUUUACACCAGGAGUUACUUGUGUUUGAAUGAUUCAAGCAAUUACGGACUUAAAACUAUCCAAACUAACAAAUUAUUACCUUGCAAUCAAUAAUCAAUUGGCCCUAUUGAUCUAAACUACAAAGCAACAAUGGAAUUAAGCAUGAAAUUGCAUAAAUAUUGAUAAACAAAAGAUAAACAAUAUAUGUUUAGAUCUCCCAAUCCAUAAAACAACUAAAGUUUCACCUAAUUUUCAAUUAGAAAAAGAGGUUUCAGCCACUCAUGGCUGAAACAAAACACAAAAUAAAAGAAAGAGAAGAAGAAGAGAAGUGUGGCCGGCGACUUGGAGUGAAGGGAGGUGCAGUCCGAAUGGGGAGAUGAGGAAGAGUGGGGCGACUCCUUAUGUGGUCCUUUUAUAGUUGCAAGCGUUGUCCUGGGUCUCCUUGAUGAGGUGGAGCCUUCUUUUGAAUUUUGAAUUUUGAAUUUUAAAUGUUUUCUUUUGAAUUUUGAAUUUUGAAUUUUGAAUUCUUAGGAGACAAGUGCAUCUUCUUGAGAUUUGGCUUCCUCAACAAGGGAGAGACUUCUUGAAAAUUUAAAAUUUGAAUUUCAAAUUAUUCUGCUGAAUGUACUUUCCUUAUUUAUCUCCACUUCAGCUGCAGCUUGACUUGUGCAAACAUGUUUGUUCUCCUUUAUCCUCUUUUAGGCAGUUUUAAGAACAUUUUCACCAAAUUACCUCUUUACACCAUUUUCUGCAAAAUAAGAUCAAAAUCACAGAAUUAGGCAGAAAAAGUGUAAAUUAACAUUAAUAACAACAUGAUAAAAUGGUCUAAAUUUGGACUGAUCAGUCACAAAAGGGAUCAUACUCCUAUUAUUACUGGAGGGAUAAGAGGUUAUUGUAUACUUAGUAUACUCACAAGCAUCACAAACUGAAGAACCACAUUAAGCCUUGGAAAAUAAAUCAAGAUAAAGUUUAUCUAAAACAAAGAAGGAUGGGUGUCCUAACCGUCGAUGCCAUUGUAUAAUUUCCUAGUUGCAUCUUGAUUUCUUCCAAAAAGAGGCUGAGGUGAAUUCAAACUCAGAUUUUUUUUCAACAUAUAUAAGUCAUUGUACAGUCUACUGUUGUCAAUCCUCUUCCUAGUUUGAAGGUUCUGAAUAACACAAUGGACAGAAAAAAAUUCAAUUUUACAGUCAAGCGCUUUGGUGAAAGUAUUAACAAAUAAAAGAUUAAUAGAAAAAUAAGAAACAUGAAAAACAGAGGAUAGCUUGAUAUUUGAAGUACAAACAAUAGAACCGGUUCCAGAGAUAGGAGUGAAAGAACCAUCGACUAUUCUAACAAUAUCCUUUUGUAGACAUGGAAGAUAAUUAAGAAAAUAUUUAGAGGAGCCUAUUACGUGUCUAUUUGCACUAGAAUCAAUAAUUUAUAAAGCAAAAUCAAUAGAUAAAAUGAAAGCAUUAUCAAAGGCCCUUAUAUUUUUCACACUAGUCACUUUCUUGUCUACCAUUUCAAGGAGAAGAAAAAACUAUCUUUUCUUUUAACCUAGGUAAAGAGCUACUGUUCAUCAGAGAAGCAGAAGUGAUAAGGAAUGGAAUUGGGCUGGUUAGAGGCGCCGCGUGAAGGGGAGGUCGCUGGAAAGGAGUGCUGUCAAAAAGGGUAUUGGAGAAGGACCUGCGUGUCGAAGCAUGAAAAUGACGCCGAGACUGUGGUGGCGCGUGAGCUCAUGCACGUGGCCAACGCAACGCCAGAGAAAGGCCGGAAAACCAAUCGGUAUUCUCUUGGUAUGGGCAAUGUCAGUUAACUCCCUUUAUAGAGUCCCCUAAAAGCUUAACCUAUAAAAAUUCUAACUCUGUGAACAAUAUCAUGAAUCCUUAUACUAAAUAAUGUUGGUAAAACUCUAAUAACAUGAAGAAUUUUGGGAGGAAUUUUUUAUUCUAUUUCAAAUUGAAUUGAUUUUUAUAAGGUUUGAGUAUAUAUAUACAAAGAAUCAACCUAAAAUAGGAAUAUUUACAAUAAGAAUAAAAUCUCUAUAAUCAAGUCUAAUUAGGAUUCCAAAGAUCUAAAUCUUUCUAAUUAGGAACUUUUUAUAUUGGUCAACAAUAUAAGACCCUCUACGAUCAAGAUACGUGUCUACAGUCCGGCCGGCCCUUGACGAUCAAAGAAAACUGACCUUGGUAAACGCUAAGCAGGCCGAGCAUAACCUGAUACGAUUAGAGUAUAAAUACAAACCGUCAAUGUGAUGGUCAGCUCCACUAAUCUUUGUCGAUGUCAUAAAUAUGCGUGCUGUAGAUCAGACUGAUGUGAUGCGGGUGAAAGGACGAGGUAUAAGUUAACCAGCUCCACAUUUAUCAGCUGAUUGCCCACUAUUAAUGAGCCACUUGACAUACCUGUCAAAGGAUAUCCCAUCCAAUUUGAUGGGAUAUGGUGCAGGAGGUACGAGGGUGAUCAGGGUAUAUAUACCUCUAAACCAACCCUAAUUAGACACUUAACCCCUCCAGAGAACUUUACAUUUUCACUACUCCAGGAAUCUUAAACUACCCGAACCAAAGCACUCAGCUCUAUUAACUCUUCAAACACCAAUUCUGAUCCAUUGAUUUCCUCGUGAGAUCGAAUCCUUAUCCAUGUGUGUUCAUCUGAUUAACCCACCGAAUCUCAAGUCAUUAAACCAUAAACUUUGAAAUAAAAAUGAGUACAACUACAUAAUAUUUUUUUUUUAUCCUUAAAUUAAUAAAUAUAUUUUAAUUGACACAUAUAUAUAUUUCUUAACAAUGUCUGAAAAAUAUCAUUGUUUGGUAAUAGUAUGAUAUCUCGAGAUAUUAUUUUGAUAUAAAUUAAACCAUAAAUUUUAAAGUAAAAAUAUUGAAAUCAUAUGUUAUUUCUUUAAAAUUUUCUUUUAUUUUAAUAAGUUAAAGAUUUAAUUUUUUUUAAUUAUAACAAGUAAAUAUAUAAAAUUAACCAUCCUGUUAUGAGAAGAAAAAAAACCCAAAAAAGUUUUUGUUUUAAUCUUUUUUUAUUUUAUACUUAAAAUCCAAAUACUAAUAAAGUUUGAAUAUAUUCAUCUAAAUAAUUAAAAAGGCUCAACAUUUACGUCAUCAUAUAUUUUAAUUCAAAUAUUUAAAUCAUUUAUAUUUGAUCAUAAUUUUAAUCAAUUUUUAAAAAUUAAAAUCUAAAAAUUCAAAUAGAAUAUCAAAUAUAAUAUAUUAUUAUUUUUUAAAUAUAAACUAAUACUAGAUAUGAAAAUAACAUUAACUCAUAAUCAACUAUAGUUAAAUGAUAUAUUUUAUUUUAAAAAAUAAUAAUAUAACGUUUAAAUAUGCAGUUAAUAAAUAAAUUUUAUUUUUAUUAAUAAUUAUAAAAAUUUUAUAACAAAUAUAUUUUUCUUAAUUAUUUUAUAUACACUAUUAUUUUAUAUUAAAUAAUAUAUUUAUUAUAAAAUAUUUAUAAUUAUUACUAUAAAAUAAAAUUCAUCAUCAUUGUUAAAGGUAUUAAUUGCAUAUUUUAUAAUUGAAUUGGUAAUUUAAAUUUUAAAAAUUUAUUUAUUUAUUUAUAAGUUAAAUGUUUGAAUUAAAACGCAAAAUGAUAUAAACAUUAAGUUUUUUUUUUUAAUUAUUUAGCCAAUAUACUUAGUUACGAAAUAAGAUAAGAAGCGAGACCGACUCACCUAGAUGAAUUUUUGAAAUCUCUCUUCUUUUAUGUACAAUAUAAAUGGCAUUAAUUUGCACUUUGAAAAGCAAAUAUCUGGUAUCCUAAAUGGUCCUUUGCAAUUUUCGCCCAACUUACUAGAUUUGGCAUUGUCAUUUGUUAUAUGUGUUUUUUUAAGGAUUAAGUCUUCCACAUUAAAAGCAUGUGGCUUGACUCUAUUAUUGAAUAUUCAGGACAUCUUUUGUGAUUUAUUUAUUUUUUCCUUUACCAUCGAUGGUUCCUCCUACAAUUACAUGUAUAACCUCUAUAGGUUCAUGGUCAAGGGUUGUUUCAGGAGUUAUUACUUCGGGUUCGGACCUCCUCUCCUCUUUUCUCUAUUCUCUAUUCUUUCUGACAAACUUUCGAAGUGUGUCGUCCUUUAUUAACCUCUCGAUUUCGUCUUUCAACUGUCGGCAUUGCUCCAUUGUAUAUACGUGGUCCUUAUGAAAAUGACAGUACUUGGUCAUAUCUCGCCUUUCAGCUCUAUUAGAAUUGAGUUUGGGAGGCCACCUGAUCUCCCUAUCUUUUUUCUUGAUCCACAUUAGAAUACCUAUUCGUGAGUUAUUCAAUAGAGUAUAAUUUUUAUACUUACUUUGUUCGUCCCUUCUUCGGAAAACUAGAUAACCUCUCUGGUUUCUUUCAUAUUCUCGCCUCUCUGUCUUUUGAUUUUACUUUUGGCUUAUCCUUUUAUCAUCUCUCGACGCUUGGACUUCAUCAUCCAGUCUGAUGUACUUCUGGACUUUGUCCAUUAGCUAUUAGUACAUAGCGGUUGAGUUCCUGAUUAGGGAAUCCAUAAACUUGACAUUGUGUGUUCUUUUUUUUUUUUUAAUGCUUCACAUGUUGUUUCAUGAUUUAAUUCCUCCACUUGUAUUGCUUCUAUAUUAAACUGUGAGAUAAAACUUCUUAAAGACUCACCCUCUCCUUGGCAGAUCUUUUGCAAGUCAGAAGAGAGCUUUUUAGGUAGUAUACAAGUAAUAAAUCCAUACUUAAAUAACAUAGCAAAUUGUGUGAAGUUCUGAAUUAAACCUGCGCUCAAAUAUUGGUACCAUUUCUAAACCAAACCUAUGAGUGUUGACGGAAACACUCGGCACCAACACGGAGUCGUUGGCAUCCUGAAACUGCAUUGUCGUUCUAAAGAUCACCAGGUGACUCUUGGGAUCUGCUCUCCCAUCAUAUUUGUCUAAACUUGAGAGUUUGAACUUAGCGGGGAAGGUCUCUACCAAAAUCUCUUCCAAAAAGGACGAGGUAUCAUCCAGGCCAAAGUCCUCUUCCUGCUCCUUCUGAUACCUUUGAAUAGCCCGUAUCAACUUCCAGUCAACAUCCUUUGGAGCCUCGUCUGAUGACUCUUCUUUCUCGAACUCGGUCUUCCCUUUGGAUCGCAUCUGGAUUGCCUCUGUCCGAGUUUUUGGAGUAUCAACGGAGGCAUCCUCCCUUCCCCUGGAAGCAAUGAAUGAUGCCUCCCCCUGAGUUUUGUGAGUAGCCUGCAACCUUCUGAUAUAUUGAAGCAUUUGCUCAUUGUUCAGAUUAUUGAUAUCUGCUUCAUUAACCAGAGAGGGUAUAUUUUGUCCACUAUCACGAGUAAAAGAUGUGAUAACGCUCUCAUUGAUAAUAACCUUAGCAACAGCUCGUGAAUUGUCGGUCAUUUUAAGAGAGAAAAAAAAAGGUUUCUUGUUAAGAGAAAAGGGAUAAGAGACCGGUUUUAAUCCAAAUGAAUCAGAGAUACUUCAAUGGAUUUUCUGGCCAUGGAAUCAAAUGAUGUAACUGAAAUAGAGCUGUGCUACGAUUGGUCAAUCAUGCAAAAAAGAGAAUAUAAGGUGGUUAACACCUAGACUGCUUCAUUAACCAGAGAGGGUAUAUUUUGUCCACUAUCAGGAGUAAAAGAUGUGAUAACGCUCUCAUUGAUAAUAACCUUAGCAACAGCUCGUGAAUUGUCGGUCAUUUUAAGAGAGAAAAAAAAAGGUUUCUUGUUAAGAGAAAAGGGAUAAGAGACCGGUUUUAAUCCAAAUGAAUCAGAGAUACUUCAAUGGAUUUUCUGGCCAUGGAAUCAAAUGAUGNNNNNNNNNNNNNNNNNNNNNNNNNNNNNNNNNNNNNNNNNNNNNNNNNNNNNNNNNNNNNNNNNNNNNNNNNNNNNNNNNNNNNNNNNNNNNNNNNNNNNNNNNNNNNNNNNNNNNNNNNNNNNNNNNNNNNNNNNNNNNNNNNNNNNNNNNNNNNNNNNNNNNNNNNNNNNNNNNNNNNNNNNNNNNNNNNNNNNNNNNNNNNNNNNNNNNNNNNNNNNNNNNNNNNNNNNNNNNNNNNNNNNNNNNNNNNNNNNNNNNNNNNNNNNNNNNNNNNNNNNNNNNNNNNNNNNNNNNNNNNNNNNNNNNNNNNNNNNNNNNNNNNNNNNNNNNNNNNNNNNNNNNNNNNNNNNNNNNNNNNNNNNNNNNNNNNNNNNNNNNNNNNNNNNNNNNNNNNNNNNNNNNNNNNNNNNNNNNNNNNNNNNNNNNNNNNNNNNNNNNNNNNNNNNNNNNNNNNNNNNNNNNNNNNNNNNNNNNNNNNNNNNNNNNNNNNNNNNNNNNNNNNNNNNNNNNNNNNNNNNNNNNNNNNNNNNNNNNNNNNNNNNNNNNNNNNNNNNNNNNNNNNNNNNNNNNNNNNNNNNNNNNNNNNNNNNNNNNNNNNNNNNNNNNNNNNNNNNNNNNNNNNNNNNNNNNNNNNNNNNNNNNNNNNNNNNNNNNNNNNNNNNNNNNNNNNNNNNNNNNNNNNNNNNNNNNNNNNNNNNNNNNNNNNNNNNNNNNNNNNNNNNNNNNNNNNNNNNNNNNNNNNNNNNNNNNNNNNNNNNNNNNNNNAAUUAAUUAUGAUAUAUUUAAUUUUAAAAAUAAUAAUAAUAUAACUGUUAAAUAUAUGGUAGAUAAAUUUAAUAAUAGAUAGAUUUGUUUUGAACUAAUAAUUAUAAAAAUUUUAUAAUAAAUAUAUUGUUGUUAAUUAUUUUAUAUAUAUUAUUAUUUUAUAUUAAAUAAUAUAUUUAUUAUAAAAUAUUUAUAAUUAUUAUUGUAAAAUAAAAUUUAUUUAAUAAUUGAAUUAAUUAUUUUUAAUUUAAAUUUUAAAAAUUAACUAAAAUUCCAUUUCAAAAAAAAUAACUAAAAUUUAAAUAUAAAUAUUUAAUUAAUUUAUUUAAUAUUUAAAUAUUUAAAUUAAAAUGUGAAAUGACAUAAAAAUUAAAAAGAAAAUUUCAGUUUUUUUUUUUCCAAUAUACUGAGGUGUGAAAUAACAGAAGAAGCGUCACCCACAUGAAUUUUUGAAAUCUGUCUUCUUUUAUGUACAAUAUAAAUAGCAUUAAUUCGCAUUUGAGAAGCAAACGUCUGGUCCCCUCCUCAACUUUCCUUUCCUUUCUUUUCCUUUCUUUUCUUUUCUUUUUUCAUCCAUAUUUUUAUUUUCUUUUAACUGAAAAUUAAAAUCAAAAGAGUAAAAUAUAAGAUUUCUCAAAUUCACUCAAUACACUUACUAUUAGAUUAAACCUAUAUUAGAGACUAUAAUUAAAUAAUUUCAAUUUUUUCAUUAUUAUUUUUUAAAAUUUUUUAUAAUAUAAACAUGUGUAUGUUCCACAAAAAUUAAAUAAUAAUUUUGUUGUAGCCAUUAACAUUACUUAAAAAUUCUAUAAAGAUUGACCUCAUCGUGGUUUGCAUGCAACUCCUGAAAUGGUUUACUUAUUCAAAGUCGGCAAGACUUUUAAUUUGGGAUUUUUCUAACAUUUUUUUUUAAAUAAAAAAGAAGAAAGUCUACUGCUUGUAAUCUUGGUGGAAGUUGAUGGACUUGAGUUGUGGAAGAGGACCAAGUCGUCUUCCCUCUUCAUAUAUGUAAUUAUUUAUUGGUGCAGCUGAAAGUUUUGGAUUUGCAUGGGGAUGUCAACUUUCUGGUUAAGCAAAUUUAUAAGGAGGCUUCAUUUUCAACAUUAUUAUUAUUAUUUCUCUGUUUCCUUCCAAUUGGACUGACAUUGUCAAAUGGUUUAAACUUUAAACCCAUUCGAGUUUGAGCCCAAUUUAUCAUUUUGGACCUAAUUUUGCUUUGGAUUUUUAGCUAAAUAGCCCACUUGGCCAUGACAUUUAAAAGCCAAGUAGUUUCAAUUAAUUGUCUGCGAAUAUUAAAAAAAAAUGUUCAUGAUAAUAAAAUAAAAGUAGAAAAAACUUUUUAUUUUUAAAUAAACAAUUUGAUAAGAAUCAACAUUUGAUUGGGAACUAUUAAUUGUUAAGAGGUAAUUGAUUCAAACCUUAAUCAUCAAGAAAACUUAAUAAUAGUCUUGCAUAGAAUGCCUUGAGACAACGAAAGAAAGCAAAGGUGGGAAUUGAUUCUAACCUGAAUUCUAUUGAGAAAUCAAUCUCUUCCUUCAUACUAAAAGAAUGCAUGAGAAUCUCUUCUUCUUCUUCUCUCUCUAUAUCUAUGAGAAAGAAACCUGCCUAGAAUCUGUCAACAGUGCCUCCAUAUUUAUCUACAAGGCUUUUGAUCACCUUCCAAGUAUUGAAUCUUUCCACUGUUUCAACUCUACACUUAAUUUCUUCAAGUGGGUUGGUUGGUGUUUUGGAUCAAUCCUUUGGUUUUCAUUGCUUAAGUGGGUGAUCUCAAAGGGAGCAAAGGAUGCCACUUUUGCUCCAUGGAACCCUUUAUGUCACAAUAUUUGAAGUUGACAAUUUACAAAAUGGCUGUGGUUUCAGUUUCUUCACCAAGGUAAAGGUAUGAUCAUUUGAAGUUUUAAAGCUUCAUUAUUUGAGUUAUGAUUAAAUUCUUUUUUUAGCUUUUCUUCUAUCCUCAAUUUUAGACUAACAUAAGGAUUUCAUUAAAAAUAAAGUAAUAAAAUCAAAUGAUUUGAUCAAAUUUUAAAUUAUGAAUUAUAUUAUAUGCUAUAUUAUAUUACAUAGAUUUUAUUUAUUAUGAAUUAUAUAUUUGUUUUUUUAAAAUCUGGAGGGUGCUGGACAACAAAAUUGUGGGAAAAAAUUUCUGUCCAAAGUCAAGAGAAUGGUGCUCUGCAGGCCAGAGGUACUCAUCUCUUUCUCCACUAAAUCUGAUAUAUAAUUAAAAUUUUCCCCAUGUAAUAAUUAAUAUUGUCGGAUUUAAUGUUAUGCAGAUUGUUGGUUCUAGACUCUAUGCAACAGUUGAUCUAGACAAGGCAAGGUCUGGAAGAACUAGAAUGAUUGACAAUCAACCUUAUAAUCCCCAGUGGUACGAGUCCUUCAACAUAUACUGUGCCCAUUUGAUCUCAAACGUAAUCUUCACAGUAAAAGAUGACCAAGUUGUCGGGGCAACUCUGAUUGGAAGAGCUUACAUUCCUGUUGAAGAUGUCAUCAAAGGAUACAUUGUUGACAGAUGGGUAGAUAUACUAGAUGAAGAUCACAAUCCCAUUGGUUCUAAGAUCCAUGUUAAGCUGCAUUUCGUGAGUUGUACCCAUGACAGUAAUUGGUCCAAGGGAAUCCAAAAUCCACGCUUUGAUGGAGUUCCUUACACAUUCUUCAAUCAACGACAGGGUUGUCGGGUUACUCUAUAUCAGGAUGCUCAUGUUCCUAACAAUUUUAAUGUUAAAAUUCCUAUUGAAGGUAAGACCUAUGAAGCUCACAGAUGUUGGGAAGACAUAUUUGAUGCCAUUACUAAUGCCAAGCACCUGAUUUACAUAACUGGGUGGUCUGUGUACACUGAGAUAACUUUGGUUAGAGAUCCCCAGAGGCCAAAACCUGGAGGUGACAUUAAACUUGGGGAGCUGCUCAAGAAGAAAGCUGAUGAAGGUGUGAAAGUUCUUGUGCUGAUUUGGGAUGACAGAACUUCCGUUCAGGAACUGAAGAAGGAUGGCUUAAUGGCAACCCAUGAUGAAGAAACUGAAAAAUAUUUCAGGAACACGAAAGUUCAUUGCUUUUUGUGCCCUCGGAAUCCUGACAAUGGAAGAAGCAUAAUUCAGGGAUUUGAGAUCUCCACCAUGUUUACUCACCACCAGAAGACAGUGGUUGUUGAUUGUGAAAUGCCUGAUGGUACAUCACAGAAAAGGAGAAUUGUGAGUUUCGUUGGAGGCAUUGAUCUUUGCGAUGGGAGGUACGAUACGCAAGAUCAUCCUCUAUUCAAGACCUUGGACACAAUUCAUCAUGAUGAUUUUCAUCAACCCAACUUUCCAGGCUCCUCCAUCAAGAAAGGAGGUCCAAGAGAGCCUUGGCAUGAUAUUCAUUGCAAGCUUGAAGGACCUGUCGCAUGGGAUGUCCUCUAUAAUUUCGAGCAGAGAUGGAAGAAGCAAGUUGGGGAACGUUUCUUAAUUCCACAGCAACAGCUGGAAGUUUAUACAAUCCGUCCAUUGCCAGUGCUGCAAUCAUCUGACCCAGAUGCAUGGAAUGUCCAGUUGUUCCGUUCCAUUGAUGGUGGAGCUGUUGUCGGCUUCCCUGAGAAACCUGAGGACGUAGCUGCAGCUGGCCUUGUUAGUGGGAAGGACAACAUCAUUGACAGAAGCAUUCAAGAUGCUUAUAUCAACGCCAUUCGGCGGGCAAAGAAUUUUAUCUACAUCGAAAAUCAGUAUUUCCUGGGAAGCUCAUUUGGUUGGAAAUCAAAAGAUAUCAAGGUCGAGGAUAUCAAUGCCUUGCAUCUCAUCCCAAAGGAACUCUCGCUGAAGAUAGCUAGCAAGAUAGACGCAGGAGAAAGAUUUACUGUCUACAUUGUGAUCCCAAUGUGGCCAGAAGGUAUACCUGAGACUGAUUCUGUUCAGGCGAUACUAGAUUGGCAAAGAAGAACAAUGGAGAUGAUGUAUUCUGAUAUUGCUGAGGCUCUUAAAAGGAAUGGACUUAAACAUCACCCAAGAGAGUAUUUGUCUUUUUUCUGCCUUGGGAACAGGGAGACAAUGAAGUUAGGUGAAUAUUCGCAUCCAGAAGCACCAGACCCUGAUUCGGAUUACAGUAGAGCUCAGCAGGCCCGUCGCUUCAUGAUCUAUGUUCAUGCAAAGAUGAUGAUAGGUGAGUGAUUAAUCAUCUUACCUUGCAUAAUGAAUUCUGAAUCAUUAAGUCCUGAAACUUGGUUGUUUUUUCAGUUGAUGAUGAGUACAUAAUCAUUGGAUCCGCGAACAUCAACCAGAGGUCAAUGGAUGGUGCUAGGGACUCUGAAAUAGCAAUGGGAGCAUACCAACCACACCAUUUGGCAACCACACAGCCAGCCAGGGGUCAGAUAUAUAGUUUCAGAUUGGCACUGUGGUAUGAACACCUUGGAUUCAUUGAUCCAUCCUUCGUACAUCCUGAAAGUGUUGAGUGUAUCCAAUUAGUGAACAAGACUGCUGAUGAACUCUGGGAAAUUUAUGCAAGUGAAGCUUUUGACCAGGAUUUCAUAGGCCACUUGCUUCGCUAUCCCAUUGAAGUGACCAGAGAUGGAGCUGUUACCACCAUGCCAGGAACAGAGCAUUUCCCUGACACCAAGGCUCCAAUCCUAGGCACCAAGUCUGAAUACCUUCCUCCAAUCCUCACCACCUAGUUUUAUCAAUAUCACAAAUUGUAAUAAUAUGUAUUAAUUCCUACAUUAUUGAAUGGAUUAUCCCUCAACAUUAUAAGUGGAAAUUCCCUUUUUUAUUCCAUAAGUGGAAUUUAAGUGGUGAGAUAUAAUCAGUAAUUUAGAGUAAGUCUUUGCCUCUUUUAAUAAAUUUAUUCAGCGUAAAUUUAAUUUAGUAGAAGUAAUGAGUUUGGAAUUUGUGUUCAUAAAAAAAACUUUAUAAAUCAGUUGAAUGAGCAAGCAUGAAAAAUUAUUCGUUGGGACAAGAGGAGAACAUAGGUUCAAUCACAGACAAUAAAUUCCCUAAAAUCAUAAGACACAUCAACGAUCAGCAUCUAAUUGUGGGCCUCACAUGUUGCUGUAAACAAAACGGAAAGGUCGUUGUAAAGUACGAACGAGAUGCACUAAAAGAUGGGAUGUUUUACACAUAUACAGAUAAAUGCUUAACUUCUCUUCUGUUAUGGCCAUGGGGUUUCUUGACAGCAACAAAUAAAAAGGAAACCCCAAGGCUAUAGUUGUUGUGCAAAGGAAAAGGAGAUACUGGAAGGAAGGAAGAAAUAGAGCCCUUUGGUUGAAUCUGUAACCGCAGCCAGAGGGUUGGAAAUAUUGUUUCAGAAAGGAAAGAACAACCCUUAAUUAUCUGUCUCCAAUCAUGCCAUUGUUGAGGUCUCGCCAAAGCUUUUUUUUUUUUUUUGGGUUUGUUUUAACAACCACGACAAAAUACAAAGUUUUGAUUUUUCUUGGAAAACAAACAGGACCCUUCUUGGCUGGUUUUGUUGAACUUGAUUUUUCUUUUCCUUUUCCACUGCAUCAUUCUUUGUUUUUCUAUUUCGCAAUGAAAGGUUGCAUGGGAGUUCUUGUUUUACCUAAAAAAGUUGUUUUUUUAAUAGAUUUAAUCGAAUUUGUUGAAUGCUGUGCAGGAUUGUUAGGACUCUCCUUCCUGGAUUUAGGGUUUCACAGCUAAUAUCUUUGUUGCAGCGCUUGUAAAUGCAUCUCUGCAGAUUGCUUCCUCCUUGGAUCAGUCAUAUUAUUGCAUGCAUGGGGUAAGCUUUUCGGUUCCUUUCACUAUGUUAGUGCAUUCUGUUUGAUUCUGGAGAAGGAAGUCUUGAUUUUGCCUUUAUCAACAGAAGAUUGAAAGCCUAUAAUUCUUUUUUGUUCUACUUUGCUCGCCGGAGCUUUUUGGUUCUGGAUCACUAAAACAGAAGGAUUGAUUGUGUAGGUUGAGUUUACUUUUUGUUUGGUUUGGAAUCUUUUGUGUUUUUCUUUUUGCUUAAUCUGUAAGCUAGGUUGAGUGGAGUGAACAAAGAAACGUGCUCUGGCGUUUAUUCUUUAUCAUUCAUUCUUUCCUUGAAGUAAUGUCAAUCUUAUACCCUACAGAUAGGAUUAUUCUUUAGCAUAGGUUUCUGUAGCUUUGAGCAGAAAGCUUGCUGUUCAUUUGUAUUGUUUUCUGGUGCUUGUUUCUGGGCUCUCUUGUUUGUAACUAUGGAAUCAUUGAAGAAGAAAUUCAAGGCUCUUUUCAGUGUGAGGAAAUCUUUUUAUCUGUUUUCUUUGUUUUCAGUCUGAAUUUAAAUAGUAGAGGAUUUUUUUUUGGGGGGGUUGAGUUGAUACUUUGUUCAGCAAUAGCAAAUUAGCCUGCCUUGACUGGAUUUUAUUCCACGUGUGUGAAUUUGUAGCAAUUAUUCUAUCAGAUGUUAUAUGUAGAUUGUGUCCAUCAACCUUAAGCUUGACAGACACAUUUGCCUAUUGCAGGCUCAAACUGUUGUAUUACAAUUUAAUUGGCUGUGUCUUCAUAGACCUAAUAGAUAGUUUUUUUAACAAAAAAAAUUGGUGGAAAAUUCUGCAUCUCUAGUGAUGAAUGCAAUCGUAUUGUUCAUUUUAGUGGAUAUAGGUGUGAAGAUAAUUUUGGUGAAAAAUUUUUCUGCCUUUGAUUGAUAAAGGAUAUGUAUCACACUAUCAUGUCUCUUCUUCUUCUUCUUCUUCUUCUUCUUCUUUUCUGAUCUUUUUCUUUAAUCACAAUGAUUAUACUAUGAUUUAAUUUUCUCUAAAUAUCUUCUUCAGAAGUUUCCGAAUAGAGAUUUAUGCUUGGGCAAAAUGAUGAGAUUCUAUAAUUCAUGGAUUUUUCCAGCCACUUAUCAACUUGUGGAAAGUGUAUAAUUAAACUUUUUUACCUUGCAACUGUUUUCUAUUGUGAUCGAGUGAAUUUUAUUUAUCAAAUGAUACUUUGAUGUUAUUUUAGUUAUGGAUUUAUAUUUCACUGCAUGUUGACGCAUAUGGAAACUUGAGCCCCCUCCCCCUCUUCCCAUCUCUCUUUUGGUGGAGGAACCCAGCAAUGGGUGGAGUCCUUUUGGAAAAGUAUAUGUGUCUACCAGGAAGCUUAAUUUUAUUCUUCUUGCUGAAAACUCUUUGUUGCCUCAUCAUCGUUUUAAUUCAAGAUGCUAAAGUAGUGUGAUUGAGUUUGUUAACAUCUGGUGCUAAUCACUUUUAAGGUGAAUCCUGAUUUGUAACAGAGCAGAGGUUGUUUUGGAUGCUGUGCUAAACCUUCUACAAGUCUUUCUGUUGAUAAUGGUCUGAAAAUUGAAGACCGAACAUCAAAGCAAGACAGGAUUUCAGAUGAUUUUUGGAGCACCAGUGCAGGUGAAAUGGACUGCAGUGGAGUACAAUCCCAAAGAAGUAUUUCGUCAAUCAGCACCUUGAAUCAGCCCUUUGAUCCCUGUAGUAAUGCUGGCAGCACAGGCAAUCCUUCUGAAUUUGUAAAUCAUGGCAAGUUCUCAUCCAUUAGCUUCUUCAAUAUGUUACAAUCCCUGAAGUAUCCACGUUCCCCUUGCUGUUGAAUUCCUCAAUUUUCAACACACUUUUAGCUUAUCUCUUUUAAUAUAUCUCUUCCUUAUACUUGUUAGAGUCGUGUAGCUAGUUGCUCUACGUGAGUUUUCUGGAAAAAUACUACUUGAUUUGUUUGCAUCUGCAGAAUGACUUUUAACAAUGGAAGCUUGUUGGAUGCAGGCCUUAUUCUUUGGAAGCAAACAAGGCAGCAAUGGCUUGCAAAUAAGAGGUCUCCAAACAGGAAUCAAGCUCGAGAACCAGCAAUAAGGUUAAAUAUCCCCUUCCCAUUAUGACACUACAAAUCCUAUGAAGCAUUAACUGCUAACUUGGCAUGUAGUCAUUUCAGAACACAAAAUGCUACCCACUUGGUAAUUUGUUUAGCGGACAAAUUGUGUUUGCUGAAGCUGCUUCCUUUUCUGCUAAAUGGGAUUUUUGUUAUUUGCAAUUUGGCUGUUCUUGACAACAAUUUUGUUAAAUGCUGGAGUUUUUGCAGUUGGAAUGCCACUUACGAGAGUUUACUUGGAAUAAACAAGCCCUUCCACCGUCCCAUUCCUCUGCGUGUAAGUUAGCUGAUUUUGUUCUUCAAGGCAUUGUUUAUUAUGAUAUGCAAAGCUCGUUCCUCUUCUGAUGGUGUUGUGGGAUAUCAAUGGCAGGAAAUGGUGGAUUUUCUUGUGGACGUUUGGGAACAGGAGGGUUUCUAUGACUAAUAAUAAAAAGCUGGAAAUUUUACAAGUGCUUUCUCCUUCCUCAAAAGUAUCGCCUGAAGUUUGCAUCAUCCAUUUAUAUACCCUUCUGGAUGGAACAAAUAAUUGUAGCCUGUUUAUUGAUUUUAUGUUUCUCUAUCAAUUAAAUGAACUUUUCAAAGUUAAUAAUUGAAAAUAAUUUUUUUAUUUUUUAAUUAUCAUUUUUUAUAGCAACUCCAAUAAUAAUGCGGAGUAAAUUUUCAAUUCAUUAGCAUAAUUGAUUAUUUAAUUAUUUUAAUAUAAAUAUUUUAAAUUUUAAUGUGACUUCAUAUUAAAACGGAUAAAGGAGGCAACAUGAUUAAUGGAAUGUAUAGAGGCGUUCACUUGGUGGUUCUAGCUUAUUUCUCCCCUAUUUAAUACCUCAGCUUGAUCCUCUCAUAAUUAACCAAAUAAUUACUGUAGAUUGUGUUUUUCAUGCACAUUUGUAUUGGGGAAAAAGAGAAAAAAAAAAUGUAGACGUGUGGAAAGGUGUAAUGAAAUUAAUUAAUGUUAUAAUACCACAAAAUUAAAAAAAAGAACAAUUAUUAGUUUCAGAGUUGAAUUAUAGUUAACAAAAAUAAAAACUAAUUUCACUAAUUUAAUUAGUUUUUUAAAAUUGAAAAAUAAAACUUUUAGAAUCACAUUUUUUAUUAUUACAAAACAAGGAAUACCAGUGCAGUUAUUUUACUUAUAGUAUAUUUAUAAAGUGAUCAGUGAGUUGAUAAAAUAAAUUAAUAGUAAUUACGGGAUGAUUAAUUAGAUGUGACCCACUAAGUAGACUUUAAAGCAAUAAGGGCAUCAGCCCUCUAUGUUGUCAUCUUUCACGGAUUCAAAUUUAUUGACCCUAACUGAUUUUUUUUAAUAAAAAUUGACAUAACGUUGAUGGGAUCAUACAACUUGAAAGUUUAGGACCCAAUUUCAACGUAUUUAUUUAUCUACGUUGAACAUCAAGUACAUUUAACUAAGAAACUUGAAAUCGGGAACAUGAAAUAAGCUUUUACCCGAAUACCUAAUGUAGAUUAUAAUUUAUUAUAGAAUUCUAUUUUAUUGUAAAUGCAAGAGGAAUAAAAAGACACAAGGAUUCCCAUAAUACAACAGAACAAACCAGUCUUCAUCAUCAACAUUCAAUUGUUCAAUAGAACGGGUUCAAACGGACAGCACUUUCCGAUCUCAAGUUAUCUAGCAUCAGACUUCUCUUGACAUUUUUCCAAAAAUAUUUUCAAUGCAAACGGCAAAAAGAUGCUUAACGACGUAAUUAGGGUAAUUUUAAGCAAAUGUUAACAUACAAUGCUGCAAGCAGAAUGAAGAAUCCUAAUGAGAAGAUCAGCAACCAUGCAGGCAGUCACACAAAUCAACCUAUGCUGCUGACUACUGACAAACAUGACAUCACUAUCCAUACUGCAAUACAUUCUUCAUUGCUUCAUCGUGAGAUGAUUCAAGUCAUAACCUCUUAUUUACGGAAAUGGAUUCAAGGCCUUUGUAGAGCAUCUGAUUCUAGUGCUGCUCUGAUCAACACUCAGGAUGCUAUAGGUUCUCGUACUAAAGUCGGCUGAGCUUGCUGCUCUCCAACCACUGGCUUCUCGUCUUUGUGUGUCAGAGAUUCAUCUUCAUUUAUUUGAUCGGACGAGGUAGUAUUUUCCUCAUUUGUUACUUUAGAUGGUGCGGUUUUUUCAUCAUUUGUUCCAUUUGAUAAACUGCUCUUCUCAGAAGGCAGUUUAGGGAGGGACUUCCGCUGUGGCUUCUUUGAAUGAACAGGAGAAGGUCCUUUGGCAGAGUUGCUACGAGACACUCCCUCAUCUAAACUUAAUCGACCAGGUCGACUACUUUGGCUAUGGUUUCCUUCAGAAUCUACAGGAGAACUCUUUCUUCGACCUAACUUAGGAGAUUUUGGUCUUGUUGGGGGUAUCUGCAUACCAAUGCAAGUAAAAGAAACUAAUGUCAACAAAAAUUUUAAUAGCCCCACUAGCUACUUUUCUACAAUCAAAGAACAUUUUAACUAAAGAAUUGUCAGCACCGACCAGUCUCCUACAAUCAAGGAACAUUUUAACUAAAACAUUAUUGCUACGACAUAGAGACAGGAUUAACCACAUGGAUCAUCAAAAUGCCAACACAAGUGCACAACCUUGGAGAUAUCCUAAACACAGCAAUAUCUCUUGCAAGAUUAAUUAAUUAAGUUGAAAUGCGCACAUAGGAGUCCAAAAAUCUUGGUAACUUCAGGAGGUUUACCCCGAUAACUUUCCCAAAUGUACCUUUUAAAAGAAGCUUAACUUCCUCCAAUCUUUAGUAAGACAUUCAAACAAUAUGAGGUAAGUUUUAACUUCAAUUCUUCUGUUUUAGUUAAUCUUUUCUCCUUCCUUUUCCUUUGCCUUGGAUCUCUGGUGCCCCAACAGUGUAAAUGAUUGGUAGUCACCCAGAAAUUUAGGGUUAAAAUGAUACUAAAGAGUAAGAUGGAAAAAAUCUGAGGUAAUAAAAAAACAGCAUAAACAUGCAUAUUGUAACAAAAACAUCAUGCCAUACAGCAGCUUAAACUUUCAAUACUGAUGAUCAAAUUUCUCAAGCUCAACUGAAGGAAUUAGACAUAGAUGAAGUGGUAAAAUCAAGAGAAAAAGGGGAAGGGGUAGGAAGAAAAAGCGAAAUAAUGUAAUUCCCACUUGGGUGCUCCUAUACAUUCAGGAAUUACCAACUACAGAAAAGGAAUGCUAUGUUCAGAAUUUUCAUUCACUACCACAAAAAUAUUUAGAUAGACUAGGACUCCAAACUACAUAAUGUACAAGUAGUCUACAAGUCCAAUACACCAAAUUUCAAAACCUUAAGAAGCAGUUGAGGGUCCCCAUUGAAUUGCCUCAGCUACAACAACAUAGACCUUUUGAGUAAAUUCACUAACAUUUAAAAAUGAACAAUAUACUUGCCUUUUUUAGCUCCACCUUAGGUGGUGGAGGCUCCUGGUAGAAGCUAGGCAUUGGUGUUGCUUUAAAGUUCAAACUCUUUCUGAGCAACUUGAUCUCAGCUUCUUGGGUUUCCUGUAGGAGGAUUUUGCCAUGAUGGAAAAAGUUCACACAGAAAUCACAGUGAGUCCACUGAAAUCAUAAUUAAUUCUAGUAUUCUAUACCUUGGAUUUUGCUUGUAAGGUACUCUUUUCUACUUCCUUGGCAUGAAUCUUUUCCUCAAGUUUAGAGUAAAACUGCCCAAUGAUAGUCAAAAGAUAAUGUGGAUACAUUAAGUUGCUGGAGAAGCCAACAAAUUGACUCUAGAAGGUUCAAGAAUAAAACAAACCUCUUUCCUUUUCUCAGCUCGUUCAUCACACUUAAAGCUAAAACCAUAAUUUGGAAGUGCACCCACCCUUCGAUUUUUGGCCUCUUCUGAAGUGGGACUUCUACAGGAGUAAUUAAGGAUGAACUAAACGUAGAAAGAUCAAAUGGCAAAUGAUAGUAUAAAGACAUAAAUAAAGAUCAUACACAGUCAAUCCAAGAGAAUAAUUCUAAAAUGUUAAAAUAAAAAGGAUACAAAGGAGUUUGUGGCUCCCCUUCAGCUUUAAUAUGUCCUUUCUUCAAAGCCUUCAAUUUCGCCCUCUCCCUGUAUCCAGGAAAUCACAGUUCACAAAGAGCUGGAAGAAGAGCAGUUAUCAAUAAAUGCAUUUAUAAUUAUUUACAGAUGCUGAAAAAUAAUCAAAUAAUUCAGAUCCAAUUAGCCACUCUUUAUCCCUCUUCUCUCCUCUUGGAAUUAAUAUAGGAACGUGAACAUGUGCAAUCAAUACAUACAUGAGGCCUUCAGAGGAUGUCACAUCAGACUUCCCAGAAUGCUGUUAGGAAUAGACAAAAUCAAAUACAACAUAAGCAACUUUAACACCAUAAGUUAGAGUUAGACAUUAACUUUAACAAUAAAUGCAUAUCUUUGAUGCCUGAACCUGCUUCUCAUUGAAUGAUUUGCUUGUCAAGGGCUGCUUUGACUGUGAAUUUGAUGAAAGUGCACCAUUUGAAACGGUUGGAGGUGCCCCAGCGACUUUUCCAUCUUUGCCCUUCUUCAUCUGAGCGGCUGAAACUUGUUCCCGGUUUGAUGGCUUUUCAUUCUUCCCCUUUCCAGAACCCUUCAAUGAUUUGACUUGUUCUGAAUGUUCAGCAUCUUUUAUUUCCCCUUCCUGUAUAACAGAUUAACCAGCUUCUAAGCAGCCCUAAUUUUAUCAAUUAUCCAAACAAACAUCUUGGAAUGCUAUUUACCUUAGAAUCAGUGAAUCCAUUGCUUCCCACAUGCACAUUUGAACCUUCCCUUAACUCACCAGCAGAUAAAUUAUCAGUAGCACAGUCUUCUAACUUAGUCCCAUUUAUAUUAUUUGUACCAACACCAUCAGCAGGGGCAGGAAUUUGCUCAUGAACACCAUUUUGAUGGGCCGUUUCAGUCCCAUCUAUCGGAACAAUAUUAUCGAAAUCCAUUGGAUACUGCACAAUAAAAUAAAUAAACAAAUAACACAUAACUCACGGGGGCAAAUUAUUUUUGAAAAACAAAGGAAAGCACAUUGAGAAGGGAAAUUCCAUAGUGCUACUCUUAGUGAAAAAAUGAUCAACUUAUAUUGAAAGUCAAACUUCUACGCCCACACCCAUUAAAUUCAAUUACUAAAUCAUUGCUCAAAUGUAUAUUGUUUUAGAAACAGAAUUUCCACAUAGAGUAAAGAAAUUAGGGCACAUAAUAUCCGUAAGAAACAUGUGAGACUAACAAAUAGGCAACUUGUUAGAGGGCUAAUGCAAUAUUCUGCAAAUAGUUACAGGAAUAACCUGAAUUAGGCAGAUUAAAAAAAAAAAAAAAAAAAAAAUUAAAGCUAGUUGUCCAACUUAGUAGAGUCCCAGCCAAUAGGAGCCUAGAGGCCAUUCUGACCAUACAAGAAAUCCACUUCAAUCUUUAUUUUAUACUACGUUUCCUCCGGUUAGCAAGCAACCAGACAUUUAAACAAAAAAGAAAGAAGCUCUUGGGGACAGCAAUCAGUUCCAGCAAACUAAAUUUCGACUUCAGAAAAAAUAUAACCAAAUCAGGAGACUCCAGUCAGCAUAAAAAAACACAGCAAAAAAACAUUAAGAUUGGACAAAAUUAAGAAUCAACAAAUCAACUGAAAAAGAAAAUGAGAAUAAACGCAUUUAAGGGGCAAAUCCGUCAUUUGAACACUGAUCUGCGCAUAGCAGAAACAUGCAAACAAAACUUGGAAUAUGAAUCAACAAUUAGUUGGUUAGUGAUUGGUGAAACAGAAAGUACUAAUUAUCUGAAUCUAAGUCACAAUGACACUUCCGUUAUUGAAGUAACAGCGCAAACGACUUACGAUUUAGUUUCCCCUCACUUUCUCAGCAACCAAAGCAAAGAAAACAAACAUUUUCGAAAAUAUACCUCCAUAACUGCGAGAAUCAGAGCGCCAUGAAAACAGAUUCGAGCAGAUAGAGGAGGAGAUUCGUAGAUGCGUGCAAAGGAUCUGAGAGGGCGAGAGUAGAGCAGAAACAGAGAGAGGGUCCGGAAAUCGGAGGAUCCGAACCGGAAAGAAGAGGAUCUACCGAAUAGUGUGAAUUGAAAUGGAGUUAAGCGUUUAGGAAGCUGAGAAGCGUUUUAAAAGAGCGGGUUUGAAAUCCAUGAGAAGGGCCACUGUCUGGUUGUAUAUAGUAGGGAGAGAAGGAAGGGUAGUGUGUGUUACUGUUUGUACAAGCAGACCACAUAAAGGCAUAUGGCAUACACCAGAUUAGGCAAGUUUUCCUCUACGGUUACUUUUAACUAACGCGGUAACUACUUAGUUACUGAAUGUAAUUUUUUUAAGAGAGAGCCGAAUUGAAAUAUUCACUGAUUUUUUAAAAAAAUAAUUAAAUUUAAUCAAAACUAAAAUAUUUUAUAAAUUAUUAAUUAUAAUUAUAAUUAAAUUAAAUUAAAUUAAAAUAUUUUUAUAUUAUUAAUUAAAUAUGUAGAUAAAUAUUUUAAAAAUACUCUUCAAUGAAGUCGAACCCCCUAAUGAGUAAGGAAGAACAAAGUUUAUCCUUGUAAAUUAGACUUUUUUAUAAAAAAAAAAUUGAUUAUUUUUAUUUAUUACAAGUUGAUAGUAUUUUUUUGCCUUAAUAUUUAUCAAUACAUUGCUCUAUCUUUGGCGUCCAGUAUUUUUUUUUUUGAUGUUUAAUUAAAAAAUUCCAAUUUUAUCUCCAAGGAAAAAUACUUUAUGAUAUUAACAAUUAGGGUAUUAAUUGUUACCAUAUAAAGAAUUUGCCUUUUCUUAUUUAUAUUAGGUACAAUGAACUGAGCCAAUAUUGUUAUAGUAUAUGAAAUUAAUUUUUUUUUUUUUUAAAUCUAAGAAAUAGUCUCCUGCUCAAAUUUGGGAGUUUUAGAAUCUCCGAAUUAUGGGUAGAAAUUUAUGUUUUCUUAGUAGUUGGUUAUUCUUCCGAGAUUAACGUAAGAAUGUGGUUUGCAAUUUAAAAAUAAACAAGGGAAUUUAACGUGAUGAAAAAUAUAAAAAAGAAAUGAAUUUCUAAAGAGUAUAUGAGAAUAAAGAAUUAAAAAUUAAAAAAAAUGGACUUGAAAGAGAAAUUAAAGUGAAAAAUAUAAAGAAAACAAAAUAUCCGAAGUGAAAUAAAGCAAAUGGUUUACUUCUAUUUAGCCUACAUCGCUUUGGUUAUAAAUAAUAAACUGAACUUAACAUCCGAUCAUGACUUGAGAAUUUUAUUAAUCAGGACUGAUACCCGAUCGUUAGCUUAGCGUGUAUUCUUCUAGUACCUGGUCGUGACAUGUGUCACGGUCCUUGAAUGUAAAUCACACCAACUGUCCUAGUCCGGAUGGCUUGACGAAUUCUCACCUUAUGGCCUAAUAUGAGAUGUUUUAUCUUGCGGGACUAACACCAGGAUAGCCUGACAGAUUUUUGGUUUGUGACUUGACAUGAGAUGCCUUUGUCUUGCGGGACUAACACCCGGAUGACCUGACUGAUUCCAUCUUUGUGGCCUAACAUGAGAUACCUUUGUCUUGCGGGACUAACACCUAGAUGGCCUGACAGAUUCUCGCCUUGUGGUCUGGCAUUGAAUGUCUUGUUUAGUGGGACUACUAUCCGGCAUGAUAGAUUCCCGCCUUAUGGCAUGAUAGAUUCCCGCCUUAUGGCAUGAUGGAUUCUCGCCUUAUGGCAUGGUAUGAGAUGCCUUUAUCUUGCUGGACUAACACCCGGAUGGCCUGACGGAUUCUCGCCUUGUGGCUUGGCAUCGAAUGCCUUACUUAGGGAAACUAACACCCGGAUGGUCUAACAGAUUCCCGUUUUGUGGCUUGGCAUGAGAUAACUUUGUUUUGAGAAACUAACACCCAUAUGGCCUAGCAUGAGAUACCUUUGUCUUGCGGGAUUAACACCCAAAUGGCUUGACAGAUUCUCACCUUGUGGUAUGGCAUUGAAUGUCUUGUUAGUGGGACUACUACCUAGAUGGCAUGAUAGAUUCCCGCCUAUAGCAUGAUGGAUUCCCGCCUUAUGGCAUGCAUGAGAUGCCUUUAUCUUGCUGGACUAACACUCGGAUGGCCUAACGCUUUGGGGCUUGGCAUCGAAUGCCUUACUUAGGGAAACUAGCACCCGGAUGAUCUGACAGAUUUCCGUUUUGUGGCCUGGCAUGAGAUAAUUUUGUUUAGAGAAACUAACACCCAUAUGGCCUGAUGGAUUCUCGUCUUGUGGCCUAGUAUGAGAUACCUUGUUUAGCGGGACUAACAUCUGGAUGGCUUGACGGAUACCCGCCUUGUAGCCUGAUAUGAGAUGCCUUUAUCUGGCGAGAUUAACACCUAAAUGACCUGACAGAUUUCCGCCUUGUGGCUUUGCAUGAGAUGUCUUGUUUAGCAAGACUAACACCCGGAUGGCCUAACGGAUUCCUGCAUUGUGGCCUACUAUGAGAUACCUUUGUCUUACAGGACUAACAACCGAAUGGCUGACAGAUUUUUGCCUUGUGCCUUAGCAUGAAAUACCUUUAUCUUGUGAGACUAACAUCUGGAUGGUCUGACGGAUUUCUGUCUUGUGACCUAGUAUUGAAUGGCUUGCUUAGUGGGACUGACAUCCGGAUGGCCUGGCAUGAUAUGCCUUUGUCUUGCGGAACUAAUACCCGAAUGGCCUGACGGAUUCUCACAUUGUGGCCUGGCAUCGAAUGUGUUUUUUAGUGGGACUAACAUCUGGAUAGCCUGACAGAUUCAUGCCUUAUAGCCUGACAUGAAAUGCCUUGUUUAGUGGGACUAACACUAUGAUGGCUUGACAGAUUCCCACCUUGUGGCCUGGCAUGAGAUCUGUUGCUUAGUGGAGCUAAUACCCGGAUGGCCUGAUGAAUUACUGUCUUGUGACCUUUAAUGAAUACUCUUUAAUCCUUUUGAAGAAGGCAACCCCAUCAUUCCUUGUUAUUGAAUAAUGCAUGAAAAAUACAUCGUUAAUUAUUAUGGAUAAAAUUUUCUCAAAUAUUCCAAGAGUGGGGAAUAACUCGGCCAGCUUAUAAGACCCUAGACAACUAACCUUCGAGACUCUAAAUGGCCAUUUCCAGUUUUCGCUUAGCUUACCAGACCCUACAUUGCCGCUUGUUACAUAUAUUUUAAGGACUAAGUCCUCCACAUUAAAAGCACAUGACUUGACUCUAUUAUUCACUAUUCUGGAUAUUUUACUUUUGUAAACCGCCACUCUAAUUGCAUUUCUUUAGAACUUCCUGAAAUCUCAGGGUGCCUACAUGCGCUUGACAUUGAUGACACCUCUGCACGAGUUAUUUUGCAUCUUGCAUUAUUAUUAGUCAAUAGUAUUCUUAUCUGAAUGAUUUUUGGGUGAUCGUUCGAGCUCCUACGUGAUUCCCAUUAUUACAUUCAUGAAUAUUUUAAAGGAUUUCUCGGCCCUCCUCUUCCAUUAUGCAUCGUAGUCAUGGUUGUGUUGAGGAUCUCCUGUACAAUCGACCAUUAAUUAGUGCUUUAUUUGGAGGAUUUUUUAAUUACCUAUUUAGUCAAUCAUUCAUCAAUUGAUAGAUUAUCCUGUGUCAAAAACUUGUACACGGAUGUCAUCCAUAAUUCUUCUUCUUCUAUCACCACCAUUUUGGCUAGAAAAUCGACCUCUUCUUUAUCAUCUCUAGUCACCUGGUGAAAUUCGCAGUUGCCCUCAUUGGUAGUAACCUUAGCAGCAACUUAUGAAUUACCGGCCAUUUCGAGAGAGAUAAAAGAAAGAUAUCUUUUUUAUGAGAAAGUGGAUAAUAGACCAUUUUUAAUUCAAAUGAAUAGAAAGAAUUCAAUAGAAUCCCAUAAAUGUAAUCAAAUGAUGUAACUGAAAAAUAUAGUUGUGCUGUGAUUUGAUUAAACCUGCAAGAAAGAGAAUGUGAGGUGAUUAGCGCCUACGGCAGCUAUUCCAACGCUCAGGAGAAUAUGACGAGUAUAAAAAAUUGCUUAGAACUCAAGUAUAGUUGUAAAAGAAUUGUGUACCUUUAUCUCUGUAUUCACUAGUUUUUAUACUGUAAGAGGAGGGAGUCAAUUAUAGCAUCUGACAAUGAUGUGAUGUGGUCAGCUAAUUGAUAAGAGAUCUCAUUGACUAAUUGGUCGAUGAUCCUACGAUUACAAACGUAAUGAGAAUUUAUUGGAUUGUCCUUACUAACGGUAACUUUAUGCGAAGAUCCGACCUUUUAAAUGGAAGACGAGCCUUGAUGAAGAACCGAAUAUUACGGUAUUUGAUUUUUUUUUUUCUACAGAUGGAAUCGCGUCUGAUUCUAUCAUGACCACAAAUCAUGAUAUAUUUUAAAUGAUUAUUACGUAAUAUCAUUUAUUUAUUUUUUUUUAUUUUUUAAAAAAUAUUAAGAGUUGUUAUAUUUUUAAACUGUUAACUAUUUUAUUUUGUUUUUAUAUUUAAUUAAUUUGUAUAAAAUAAUUAAAAUGUAAUUAUUUCUAAUUAAAACUAUUAAUUUAAAAAUAUAAUUAUUUUAUUUUUAUAAUUUUAAAUUUUAACUAUUCAUUCCAACGGUUGUAAAUAGUUAAUAGUUUGAAAAAAAAUUAUUUUUUGCAUUUGAGAAAAUAAAUAGUUAAUUUCACUAAAAAUUAUAUGAGCUAAAUAAUAUUUUUUUAAUUUAAUAAUGUUAAAAUUAUAAAAAAAAUUGCAUAAAAUAAUUUAUAUUUAAAAAAUAUUUUCUUAAAAAAUAUUCUUAAUGAAAUAAUUUAUUUUUUAUUACUUAUUUUUAAUUUAAAAAGUAAAAUUUAUUAAACAAUUUAUUUAUAAAGAUUUUAAUAAAUAUGUUAAUAUGUGAAAAAUAAUUUUUUUUAAAGAAGUAAUUUUUUAAAAAAAAAUAUUUCCUGUUAAUUAAAUAAAUUUUUUAAAUAUCCUAGAUACUAAAAGAUAUUAAAAAUUUUUUAAUAUUAUUUAGAUUGGAUUCUCAAACGAAAAUUUUAAAAAUUUAGCAUACAUUAUGAAUAGCUUCACAGCCCACAGGGGACGCUCAUGGCCACGGGGCAGAGAUUCUAAUACACCGAACCCCUUAGCCAUGUUGUCGGGGCUGCGGCUCUGCCUGAACAAACCAACGCGUUUCGCGGAACACCACCCACCCUUCAUUCUCCAACCGGUCAUAAAAACAGAUACAAAUUUUUUUUUUUAUUACAUUACUCAAUUUUUCAAGAAUUAAUACAUUAUCAUACAUCAAACUCAAAGAAAUUAUAUAUACAGAUAUUCACCAAAAAAUUUAUAUAUUUAAAAUUAUUUUUUCCCCCAAAAAACUUUAAGUUUAUUGUAUAUUUUAACAAUAUUUUUAGUUUUAUUUUCACAAUUGUGCUUUUUGCAAAUUUUUUUAUUGUUUUUUAUAAAUUAAAAACUAAAUAGUUAUAUAAAAUAUGUAAAAACUCUUCUAAAAACGGACAAAAUUUAUGUCAAACCGGUUCGAACUGAAAUUAUCUCAAAUCCGAAUCGAUCGGAAUGGUGAAGCGAGCCAAACCAAUGGUUUGGGGCCGAAACAGAGGCAGAAUGGAUUGGAUUUUAAAUGGCACAAAAUUGCGUGGCAAUUGCACGUGUAGUGUGGGGGAUGUGGUUGAAUCGAGUGGGUCCCAACACGUGGCAUGUGGGAAGAGGAAUGGUGGUCAAACCCAAGUAAGCGAUGCCUGUUGGAGUCACCAACACCCAUUAUCAUUUUGGUUUUGCCUUGUCUCUUCUCCUUCUCCUUCUCUAUCAUUGAAGUGGUAUUCUAAUUUAAUAAAAUUAUAACAAAAAAUAUCUUUAUAAUUUUCUUUUAUAUAAUUAUUUUUUAAAUUUUAAUUAUAUAUGUCAUAAAUUAAUUAAAUUAAAUUUGAAUUUUUUUUUUUAAUUAGAAUUGCAAACUUUUUGUUGACUAUCAAAUUUAACUUUCAAAAGAAAAAAUUACUUAUAGAAUACAAAUGAAAAAUAAUUGAAAAAUUAGAUAUAUAAUUUGAUAGAAAAGCAUCUCUAUUUUAAAUACAAAUGGAAAGCUUUUGCCAACAAUGGAGGAAUAACUUUCAAAUAAUGGAGAUGGUGUCCAAAUUAUUCAUUUUCUAAAUUAAACUUCUGCUUAAUAUUAUUCGAGCUGUUUAAUAUUUUUGAAAAAUAUUUAAUACUAGUAGAAAAUUUCUUAAAAACAAAAAUACAUUCUUUUCUCUUUUUCAGACAAAAUGAAAAUAUCUGGACAUUAUAUAUAUAAAAGCUUAAAAAUAAAAAAAACAUGUCACGUCAGGAGUUGGAAAAUGUCCAAAAGGAUAUGCAUUGAACCACUGUAGAACUUGGAGUAGUCACUAUUGUUUGGGACAUGAUGAGCUGAAUGACCACCUUCUGUCUUCACACAAUAAUAAUACACUCUAAUUCUCUCAUCUAUCCUUCUCAUACUUUGUUUUUUCUUUUUCCAAAUCCAUAAUUUGUACUCUUUUAACUUCUUCCAAAUAAUUAUUUUAUUCCUUUUACUCCUUAAAUGUUAAGUAAUAUCAUUUCCUUCAACUUUCGAUUAUAGAAUAACUUAACCUCUGUAAUGGCGGCAGCAGACGAAUAUCACGUGCUAGUUGUAGACAGCACAGAAUAUCAACCCUUACUGAUUCUUACCUGAAUAGAAAUAUAUAUAGUGAUGACAUACAAAGUUGUAAAGGUGUGUUCAAUGAACAUCUGGGUAAUCUUGUUCCAAAAAAUGAGGCUCCCAGAUCUUUUCAUUCAAAAUGAAUGCAGUUGAAAUUACAACUUUAAUAAAUGGGGAUUCUUUUCCACUAUAUACAACCAAAAUCCAAUGAAAAGAAAAGAAAAGAAAACUUUUUAAAAGGUAUCACAAGCUUUUCCAUCUUGCACCAGAAUUCACAAGUUUGAUAUACGCAUUCUUGAAAUCUUCGAAGAAAAUAUCCUGGUCAUCAGCAUACUUUUUGAUCCAUCUGAACCAAACAUGAGUUUUCUUUCAGUGUUGUGAGCCCAUGUUUAUGCUAUAAUGUCAUGAGUUUCUUUUUCAGACAAGCAUAUAGAGGAAGCAAAAACUAAGUCUAACAAUUUCACAUUUGCUUGACUGAUUCAUUAUGGUGCAGUUCAUGAGUGUUUAACACAGAAAUGGGAGGUUUCAGAAGAUGACCAACCUUAAGCAUUCAUCGUCCUCAACAAGUGCAUGAUCUGAAGGAAGUCCAAUCAUGCUUGCCAUUUUAUCUGCAAUUAAAGAACAGAAGCAAUAGUGAUAUCAGAUCAUGCCGAAAAAAUUUCAAAGAAAAGGGACCAAAAAUGUGGUAAAUACUUUAAAUAAAUGCUUGGUUUAGUCAAAAGGACUAAUGUAAAGAACUUGGGAGUUUUGACUAGUGAAAUGAAAUGGCAGGAGAAGUCUUCUUCCAUGGCUGUGGACAAAUGGUCAUUUGUUGUGAUGCAUACUAUGCCAGCAGUGUAACAGGGUUCUCAGAUACCUUAAAGAUGAACAAUUUGAGAUUAUAAAAAGAACUAUCUAAUACUAAUACAGCCAGAACAAGUUGUUGAAUAAUCUUUACCUGAAGAGUUCCAUGGCUUUUCCAAGAGAAUUUUAUAGUAUGAAUUGUCAAAAACAAAUGGAUUUCCAAAGCCUUUACUCCCAAGAGUAUGAGCUCCAGACAGGGCAACUAGUACUUGUGUUCUGUGAUGCAGGAAUGGUUUCCAUCAGACUGUGGAACAGUGUACAGUCCAUAAUAUAUCAUUGCACUCCAUAUCUUAACAUAAUCAUGACAAAAAAUCGAAAGAUUGUUAAAUUUUAUAUUUUCUUUGGUAAUUGCAACAAAACCAAGUAUAGGGCAAUGAAAGACUUUUUAAGGUAAUCUCACAUGCAAUCAGUAAUACCAAAUGAGAAUGUUGAAACAACAAAGUCAAUUUUGAAGGCCAAAGAAAUUGGUUUUAAAAGCUCAAAUUCACAUAGCAAAUGGAGAAUUGACAUGUUUAAACAGUUUUUUACAAUUACAUAUGCAAAAUGCCAAUGAAAACACGGACGUAAACUCACGAUAAGCCUUUUCUUUUAAAACAUUGCUUCAAAGCGGAAGCACCCAGAGACUCUUCAGGAAGUCUGCCUUCAGCAUCAGGCUCCCUGUAAAGAGAUAUUGCAGCUAUUAAAGCCGAGAAUUUAAGGAGGUACUGUUGAAAAUUCCUACUUUCCUCAUAAUUUUACACUAAAGCUGCAUAAAUCAAGACAUGAUUUUCAAUCAAGCUUAACAAUAUUUGGCAAGUUUUUCACAAGCUCAUUUGAAAGGCUUGUGGAUAACUCAACCUUAGUAACUCAGUUCAUAUAUCUAAUACCAAGUCUUAUUCCAUUUUAAACUGUCUUACACUGAAUCUCGUCUUCCUAAUAUAACUGGAAUUGUUGGACCUCCACAGAUUGAAACGGCUUCAGCUCCAGCUACAGCAAUCAUGUCUGCCCACGAUACUAACAACGGAAAAGAAAUUGUUGCAUCAGCAAGGAAACAUACAUCUACCAUUAUUGACCCCUUUCAUACAGCACCAUAAUAACCACCUGAUUGUUUUGAAUCCACUUCGCUCUUUGCUUUCUGAAGAAUCUAAACAACAAUGCACCCAGUUUCGUGUUAGCUGGCAGGAGAUCAUGCACAAUUUGAGAGCAUUUCACCAAAACUGAGUUCAAAGAGUAUAUAUAUAUACAUAUGGAAAUCUGUGAAAUUGAAAAAUUUUCCAAAUCAGGAUUUUUUAGCCACGUGAACAAGGUGAUGGCCAAUGCCACUAGUCAUAGAGGUGGUAUUGCUCAUGUUAUAAGUUAUAGAAAGUAAAUAUGUUAAUAUAGGAAGUAAAUAUUGAUAGAUGGGUCAGUUGCUUAAUUUUAGGGAUUGUAUAAUCAUAGGCUUGAUUUUGAUACCGUCUCUCAUGUAUAAAUAGGUUGUAAUCUCUAUUGUGAUAUACAAUAAAUAUUAUCCUUCUACAUAGUAUCAGAGCCUUUCUCAUAGAGAUUUUUUUUCUCUUUUCUCUCUCGUAAAGUUUUAAAAUUUUUUUUGGAGACUUAGGGCUCCGUUCAUUUGGGUUAUCCAUAAAGGGUAACAUUUGGAUCUAACCAUCGCUGGAGUCACCACACCGACUCCUUGUCAGAUUUGAGGUUUGUUUAACGUUCGGGUGUUGGGUGGAGGUGUUUUAUUUAGUACUGUUCAUCGGCACUGUUCACGGGUACUGUUCACCGGUACUGUUCAUCGGUACCGUUCACGCCGGGUACUGUUUUCUGAUUCUGUGUUUCUUUUGUUGCUAUCGUUUUUGGGUUUGUUGUCCUUAUGGCUGAAGUUAAAACCACCACCGUAACUGAUGUGAUUCCUAUGAUGACUAAAAUCACGGAACACAAAUUGAAUGGAUCUUCCGAUCAGGGAAUUUUGAUAUCUGCAUAUGAGUAUGCACAAUUCAUCCAAUACCAGGCAUCUAUAAAAUCUUCUAAUUCCUCUUCUAUCACUGCAAUUGCCGAGUCAGGUAACUCUACUGCAUGUCUUGUGUCUUCAUCCUCCAAAUGGGUUAUUGAUUCUGGUGCUACCGAUCAUAUGUCAGGUAAUUCUACCCUUUUGUCCAAUCUUGAGUCUCAUACAUUGCCUUCUUAUGUUACUCUUGCUGAUGGCACUAAAUCGUCUGUCAUGGGUUCUGGUCAUGUCAACUUAACCCCUUCUCUUUCUGUAUCCUCUGUGUUAUGUCUCCCUAAGUUCGCAUUUAAUUUGCUUUCCGUGAGUAAACUCACUCAUGCAUUGAAUUAUUGUGUCUCAUUCUUUUCUGAUCACUGUGUUUUUCAGGAUCUUUCGACGAAGCAGAUUAUUGGUAGAGGAAGUGAGUCAGAGGGUCUUUACGUCUUGGAUCAGCAACUACCUCGAUCUCCUCGAUCUCUGGUAUGCUCCACGCGUUUAACACCUUUUGAUGUUCAUUGUCGUUUAGGGCAUCCUUCUCUCUCGGUUUUGAAGAAGUUAUAUCCACAGUUUCAUUCUUUGUCUAUUCUAGAUUGUGAGUCUUGUCAAUUUGCCAAACAUCAUCGUUUACCUACUUUGUCUCGAGUCAAUAAACGGGCUUCGUCUCCCUUUGAGUUAGUCCAUUCAGAUGUUUGGGGUCCUUGUCCUGUUGUGUCUAAGUCUGGCUUUAAGCAUUUUGUUACCUUUGUUGAUGAUUUCUCUCGUACUACUUGGUUAUUUUUAAUGAAGAGUCAUUCAAAAUUAUUUUCUAUUUUUUGUGCAUUUUAUGCUGAAAUCCAAACCCAAUUCAAUACUUCCAUCCGUAUAUUGCAGUGUGAUAAUGCUAAAGAGUAUCUCUCUGGGGAAUUUCAAUCUUAUUUGUUACAAAAAGGGAUUCUUCAUCAGUCCUCUUGUGUUGCCACUCCUUCACAAAAUGGAGUUGCUGAAAGAAAAAAUCGACAUCUUCUUGAAGUAGCCAGAGCCCUCUUAUUUCAAAUGAAGGUACCUAAAUGUUUUUGGGCUGAUGUUGUAUCCACUGCUUGUUUUUUGAUCAAUCGCAUGCCUUCCUCCGUCCUUCAUGGUGAUAUCCCUUAUAACAUUUUAUUUUCCACUAAAUCUUUAUUUCCUAUUGAGCCACGUCUCUUUGGUUGUACUUGUUUUGUUCGUGAUGUUCGUCCACAAGUUACUAAAUUGGAUCCCAAAUCACUCAAAUGUGUCUUCCUUGGCUACUCUCGACGUCAGAAAGGGUAUCGUUGUUUUUCUCCUGAUCUGAAUCGGUAUCUUGUGUCUGCGGAUGUAACAUUCUUUGAGUCCACUCCGUUUUUUCCGCCAUCAUCUGUUUAUAACACCCAGGAGGAGGAAGAUGACCUCUUGUUAUACACUGUUCGCUCUUCUUCUCCUCAGACUACUCCUACACAUUUCGCUCAUGUGCCAGGUCGCCCUCCCAUCUUUCAUGUGUAUUCCAGACGCUUAGAGGACUCUGACUCCGUUCCGCUACUCGCUUCUUCGUCGACCGAUCCUACUCCUACUGAUCCUUCAUUGUCUGAUUUGGAUUUGCCCAUUGCUCUUCGCAAAGGUAAACGUACUUGCACUUAUCUUAUUUCAUCUUGUGUCUCUUAUGAUCAAUUAUCCUCCUCUUCUCGUUGUUUUAUCACUGCUUUAGAUUCUAUUUUAAUUCCCAAAACUGUUAUUGAGGCUUUGUCCCAUCCUGGUUGGCGUGCUGCAAUGGAAGAGGAAAUGAUGGCCCUCGACACUAAUGGUACUUGGGAGUUGAUGUCCUUGCCCCCAGGAAAGUGGGCUAUUGGGUGCAAAUGGGUGUUUGCAGUGAAAGUAAAUCCUGAUGGAUCUAUUGCUCGCCUCAAGGCCCGUUUAGUGGCCAAAGGUUAUGCACAAACUUAUGGAAUUGACUAUUCUGAUACAUUCUCCCAGUUGCCAAGCUCGCAUCUGUCCGAUUGUUUAUUUCCUUGGCGGCUACUCAUGAUUGGCCUUUGCAUCAACUGGAUAUUAAAAAUGCUUUUCUUCAUGGUGAUCUUCAGGAGGAGGUUUAUAUUGAGCAACCACCUGGUUUUGUUGCUCAGGGGGAGUCAGGUAAAGUUUGUAGACUUCGAAAAUCGCUUUAUGGCUUGAAACAGAGUCCUCAGGCAUGGUUUGGCAGGUUUAGUGAGGUGGUCCAACAGUUUGGAAUGAAGAUGAGUAAGUGUGAUCACUCAGUGUUUUAUAGAAAUUCUGAUAGUGGAGUAAUUCUGCUUGUAGUAUAUGUGGAUGAUAUCGUUAUCACAGGAAGUGACAUUGCUGGCAUCACAUCCUUAAAAGAAUUUCUUAAAACACAGUUUCAUACAAAGGAUUUGGGUUCCUUGAAAUAUUUCUUGGGAAUCGAAGUUAUGCGGUGUAAGAAAGGCAUCUUCUUGUCUCAAAGAAAAUAUGUUCUUGAUUUGUUGGCAGAAACAGGAAAAUUGGGUGCUAAGCCUUGUAGUGCCCCAAUGACCCCUAACCUUCAACUUACCACAGAAGACAGUGAGCCAUUUGCAGAUCCUGGAAGGUAUAGAAGAUUAGUUGGCAAGCUGAAUUAUUUGACGGUGACUCGUCCUGAUAUUGCAUAUUCAGUGAGUGUGGUAAGUCAGUUUAUGUCUUCUCCUACUGUUGCCCAUUGGGAUGCUCUAGGACAGAUUCUUUGUUACCUUAAAGGGGCCCCAGGGAGAGGCCUAUUCUAUGGUAACCAUGGGCACUCAAAUAUUGAAUGCUUUUGUGAUGCUGAUUGGGCAGGCUCGAAAGUUGAUAGGAGGUCAAUUACUGGGUAUUGUGUUUUUGUGGGAGGUAACUUGGUCUCAUGGAAAAGUAAGAAGCAAAAUGUGGUCUCCCGUUCUAGUGCUGAAUCUGAAUAUCGAGCUAUGGCACAAGCCGUUUGUGAAAUCUUGUGGGUACGUCAACUGUUGGAAGAAGUUGGGUUCACAAAUUCGGUGCCUGCUAAGUUGUAAUGUGAUAAUCAAGCAGCUAUCCACAUUGCCUCCAAUCCAGUAUUUCACGAGAGGACUAAACACAUCGAGAUUGAUUGUCAUUUCCUUUCUGUUUAGUUACUGUCUCUCAUGUAUAAAUAGGUUGUAAUCUCUAUUGUGAUAUACAAUAAAUAUUAUCCUUCUACAGCUCACAACCACCAUAAAUGGUUAUUGUCAAAUUCUGAAAAGACUACUCUGAGUUAAUUUUUCUUUAACUUGAUUUUUUUUAAUUACAAAAAGUUUGAGUGAAACUACUUGGUCACUAAAAGUAUGUUAUUUGACAUAAGUAGUAUAUAUUAUGAUUCACCACUACAAAUUUAUAUUAAUUUUAUAAUUUAGAGUAAACAUAUUUAUUAAAACUGCUAAAACCACACACUCAAACUUCAAAUAUGCAUUCAUAUACAAGCGAGCAGGUUACAUGUUGGUGUUUAUAGAAGAGAAAGCGAGAGAGAAAUACCUUCAAAGAUUUCUUUAAACCUGCAUUUUCAGGUCUAUCAAGUUCAAAAACUAUAGAACCAUUCAUACCCCCUGCAGAUAUAAUCAUAGUGUAGAGUAAGUCUAAAGCAAAAGAGAACAGCACUAUACCUAGUAAGUUUGAAUGUAAAGGAAUAAGCAAACAAGAAAAAGAACAAACUGCAGCAUAAAAAAAUAAUUCACAGUAACUGAAUGGCUUCACCCGUGUUCACAUACCAUUUCAACAGAACCAAAGUUAAAAUAAUAAUUUCCACAGCACCUUGAACACCAAAGGCAUCAACCAUCUCAAGCUAUUCAAAUGAUUCUACAGAAUUACUAAUGAAUGAGCUUAUUGAUUGGCAUAAAUUGUCUUAGCAGGAAGUAGCUUUGGCAGUAAUCCUCCAUGAAUUAAUUUUAAGUGUGCAUACCCCAGACAAUAAAAGUUCACAUCAUAACAACCUAGUUACAUAAAGUUUUACUUAAAAGUUUUCAUUAUAUUACAAAGGUCCAAUAAAACAUCUUAUCAAACCAUUUGAUGGGAAUUCCUAAUACAAAUGAUAACUAUAAUCACUUUAAAAUCAUAUGAUUUUCCCAUGAUAAAUACCUGAAUUACCAUCCGUUUCAAAGGUUCCUGCAUCAUGAAAAACAAGUCGAAGUACGCCAGGAGCCUUGCCUUUGGACACUACCUUCCUUACUUCUUCCUUCAUGAGCAUAUAUGUGGCAUCCAAUCUUCAGGAUCAACAGAGAAAAGAAAAUCAUAAAAAUAAGAACAUUGAAUAACUAGCAUCUAGUGAGGCACUACAAGCAGAAACACAUAUAUCUACCGUGGACACACUUAAGAUUACACUAAAGCAUCUAAGUCACAAACAUUGAGGCUGUAAGUAGCUGAGCACUCACAUGUCUGUGACAUAAAAAAUUCGAGGAUCAUCUUUCAAGAUAAACCUCCACUAGAAAAAAAGGAAACAUGAAGACAGUAGAAGUAUAUGUCAACAAUCCUCCUAUAGUUGCGGAACAAAAUCAUAGUCGUGUAUUGUCUACUUGAAUCAAACGUUUACAAGUAAAAGAAAAGGGAUUCAAAAUUGAAGCAGCUGAACCAAAGAAAAAAAGCGAGGGAUUUGAUUAACUCACUCAGCUGCCUCAGCACUAAAGCCCUCGAAGGAUUCUCGAAAAUGAAAUAGAAAAGGCAGUGUGGAAACACAAAUGAGGUUUCUCCUCCUCUUAGAAACCCAGUCAAGAUUCUCGCCUGUAGACCCCAAAAACAUAUUAGAAAAACUAUUCUUAUCUUCUUCUCUUUAUUAACAUAUUAGAAAAACUACUCUUAUCUUCUUCUCUUUAUUAUUAUUAUUAUUAUUUGCUUCGUUUUCUCAGCAAUCAAACACACCAUGAUAAAGAGACGGUACAGUUUACCAGAAUCUUCAUCGCCAGUGGCCGGAAUAAAGCGAGCCUGGAGAGGUUUGAGUCUAAAUUUGACAGUUGAGAGAGAGGAAUGUUGUAAUUUGACGGGAAAUUUGAAUUCGAGAUGGGAAGAGGAGGAUGGAAUGGAGCUAACAAGAGGAGCUUUGGCGGGGAGAAUGGUUAAAGAUGCCAUCUUUAACGGACGGUUCAGAAAGCCUAAAGCUUGCUUUGUGCAAGAGAGGUUUGAAGUUGGAGAGAAGGUGUCAAGUGCGAUUGGGUUCAGCGCAAGUCAAAGAACCAAAAGGCCACAUCCUAUUGGUCCACUGCGAUUGCUGGGGACAGUCCUGAGGCCCAUUAAUAAUUUCCAAGGUCAAAUGUGGUCACAACCCACUGGAAAUUUCCAACUUUUGUUCUGCAAAAGCUCGUUCUGCUGCUUCUGUACACUUCUCAAGAGUCGAUAUGAAUGAUGACAGGACUUGCGAGUUUCUACUGUUAAUACCUAUUAAGAUCAUAAGCUGGCUGUGUUUAUGGUAACUUUCACAGAAUUCUAGAGAAGUUCACUCAAGAUGAGGUUUUGAUGCAGAAAUAUGUUCAUUUUGCGUCACUUGUUUGUCAUAAACAACCUUCAUUUACAGAGCAAGAACAAGUGACAAGCUAAUUGCUAGAGUAUUACAAAAAUUUUUUAGUCUAAUUAAUAUUAGGAGAUGUAUACAUGAGUAUUUCAACACUAUAAAUCUAAAGAACAAUCCCCCCAAAUUGUGAACAACUGCUAUCUUGGGCCAGAAAGCUGCACAGAAGAAAGGUAGGCAUCACUAUUGCAGUCUGAAGGUCCUGAGGAAGUGCCCUCUUCGCUUAUUGAUUUAAACAAACCUGAAUAAAGGCGAUAGCCCAAUGGGGAAGAAAUUGGUGGCUGAGGAACAGGGCAGAGACCUUCAAGCAUUUGAACAACUUUAGGCAUUGGUGGCCUUAGAUGCAUAUCAUCCUGCACACACCAUAAUGCAACUUUAAUAGCAGCGGAGACCCUCUUGUCGUUCAUAUCUAAAUUCAACUCUGAAUCAAGGAUUUCUCUCACUUUCCCUUCUUCCAUCAUCCUAAAAGCAUAGGAUGGAAAAUGGGAUUUCUCGGAAGAAUAUGAUGGAUCAUAGUUUUUCCUUCCACCAAUAAUCUCAAGCAACAACAUCCCAUAGCUGUAGACAUCACUUUUCUCUGAUAUGGCAUAAUUUGUGAUCCAUUCUGGCGCAAGGUAGCCCCUGGUUCCCCUUAGGGUCGUGAAAACAUGGCUUUGCUCUCUAUUCAUUAACUUGGCCAAACCAAAAUCUGAGACUUUGGAAUUGAAAUGAUCAUCAAGAAGCACGUUUUCAGGUUUUAUGUCGCAAUGAAUAAUCUUUACAUCGCAGUCUUCAUGGAGAUAAGCCAGUCCUUUUGCUGUUCCCAAUGCAAUAUUGAAUCUUGUAUCCCAAUCCAACAGGAAAUCUUCUUUGUUUCUCUUGAAGAUCCAUUUAUCCAAAGACCCAUUUGCCAUGAACUCGUAAGCAAGCAUGCGGUGAGAUCCUUCAGCGCAGAAGCCUUUCAGCCUAACCAAGUGGUGAUGAUGAAUACUACCAAUGAUGCUAACUUCUGCUCGAAAUUCUUUCUUUCCCUGGCCAAUGCCUUCCAGCUUCUUCACAGCCAGCCGUGUUCCAUCCUGAAGAACCCCUUGAUAAACUGAACCGAAUCCUCCAUGUCCAAGCUUCACUGAGAAGUUGUUAGUUGCAGUUUGAAGAUCCCUGUAACUAUAACGGAUCGGCAUCCCAGAUAAAUUCUCCAAGAAAUUAUCAUCUUCUGAAGACUCUUGGGGAUUUUCUAGCAAUCUUUUCUUGUUCCUGUAAUACCGAAAUGCCACAUAAAGUAGACCAAAAAUGAUAAGCACUGUUGCAGCAACAAUUAUCACAACAUAAGGAAAACCCAUUUUGCUGCUUCCACUGCCCCCAUUGUUUGAGUCACUCAAGACUUUAAUGUAUGUAGCAAAAUUGGAGCUGGUGCCAGAGUCUUGGAAACUUCCUAUUUGGUCAAACAGGUAGCAAUUCCCUGUACUGUUCUGGAAGAACAAAGCAAGACAGGAGCAGUUACUACUGCAAGAGGAUUUGCAGCCUUCCAAACUAGUUUUGGAAGAGGGUGGAACAAACCCAAGUGCAAAAUAGUUGAGCCCAUUGCCAGCACUUACGAGAGCAGAAGAACCUGUUGAGCUGUUACAGGAAGAGACAAUACCCGGUUUGCAAUUUGGGAAGGUACUAAGAGCUGAAGGGCAUUGGCAUACCUUGUUACCAGAACAAACAUAAUAUGCAUCACAAGGUUCUGGUACGCUGCACGGAUCACUUGGUAUUUUUGUCUGUGAAGCACUGCCUCUAUCAUCAAGGUUGUAGAAAGAAAUAAAGCCAUCGUUUCCAACAACUGCAAUCCAGGUAGCAUUGGCAUCUUUCUCAUCUGCAAACUUGAAUUGCCACAACAGAACUUUAUUGCUGUCAUAAAACCUCCAUGAAUUUGCACUGAGAGACGCCAAAGUGACUUCCCCACCAUCUUUAUUGAUGGUCUUAUCAUUGUCAUUUUGCAUGGACCAAUAAGGCUGGGGAGUUCGGAAUCCAGCAGAGAGAAUCAUGUCACCGGAUUUGAUCUCAAGUACAUAGGUCAAGUUAUUGGCGCUAGGAUCACUAACCAGUUUCAUUCCCUCUCGAAACUCCUGAUCUGAUAUUAGUGUGUUUGUUGGAUGGCUAAAGCUCUGCCAAAUUACUCGACUGUCAUUCCCAAGCAAAACCAAAUUUCCUGAAUCUUGCAAUUCUAUAGCAGAAACUCUUUUACCACCAGUAUCAGGUGCCCAGACUGGACGGUCCCCCUUCUUUAAAGACACAGUACCGUCUUCACCAAAGGAGAAUAGAUCAGAAUUUGCAACAGGGGAGCCUCUAUUUGCAGUCCAUAUGACAUCUAAACUUGUGGUGUGGAUGAUAACUAAUAGAUAUAAUGUGACAUCUGGAGUAGGGUUGAAGCCCAAAGCAAAAUUUGAAUUAUUAGAUAAAAGAAAGAGCCCACUCUUAUCAAUCCAAUUCAUCUGAGACCCUUGAAACCCAGGAUAAAUCUUGCCAAUGCUUUGUAUACCAGCUAUACAUGAUUCAGAUAGAAUGAGAAUAACCAAGCCCACAAAACAAAUCAAACCCCCACAAUCCAUGGCUGCACCAGAAGAGACAAAGAAAAUCCACUCUAGAAGAGAAGUGCGAAAACAACUGAUGGAAAGAAAGGAAAAUUUGCUGCUAAACAGAGGACACAGACAUCAGCCUUUAAACACCAAAAUUAGCUGUAUGAAAGAUGCAGAUUGGAAGACAUCCAAAGAAAACAAUUCCUAAAUUUAAAGAAAUUUUGAGGAACUGAAGAAAAAAAGAAUAACAAGCUAUGGAAUGGAGAGGAUAGAAAUGCAAGGAAAAGAAGAUUUAGUAGUAUGAAUGGACGAAAACGAAAGCACACCGAUGCUUCCCAAUCACGGACUUCUAUUUGGCAUUUAAACCCGUGCGCCCCUUCAUUUCAAACACCAAUUGGCUAGUAAAAGAAGCAGACAUGAUUCACUCAGUAAUAGAAUUUACAGACAAAUUCAGACCUCAAACUACUAGGAAACAAGGAUUCAAAUUGUAUCAAGACUACAGAGAACAGAAUCAACAAAAAGAAGUGAUGGGUAGCCUUCAGUGGUCCAAGAGAUAGCUGCUAGAAGAAGAAGAAGAGAACCAAGUGAUAAGAACUCCUUAAUUGGCCCAUAGCAUGAGAACAAGAUAGAGAGCAAGACGUGUGAGAAGAGCCAGAUUCAAAGGAACUGAAUUCUCCUGUAGCAAUUAAAUUAGAGAGAGAAAUAGAGAAUGAGUAAAUGCAAGAGUCAGGAAAAUCUCACCUUAUUUCAUGGGUGAGGUUGUAGGAACAAUAGUGGAAUUACAGGCAGAGGUCCAUAGCCUCUUUCUGGAGAGAUCUGAGGUGGGUUUUAUCUUUCAAGGUUGUUCAUCAAGAAUCAAAAUUUUGGGUAAGCUGUGGAUUGACAGAUUCAUCAAUUUCUUAAUUUUUUAAAUGUUGUGCAGACGUUUGACUCUCUGGGAAAUGGAGGAACUCCCCGCCACCAGAGCCGGUUCGGGUUCGGGUUCGGGUUGAAAUUAGUGAUUUCAGGUCGCAGAAUGAAUGAUCGAUCUGAUUUUUACGGUUUUGAUUUGAUUAAAUUGGUAAAUUUAAUUAUUGAUUUUUUUUAUUUUUUUUUACAUGGGUUUAAGUCAAUCAUAUUCACAAUCUGAGAAUAAAAAUAAAUCCGACAUUUAAUCAUAUUCAUCUCACAAAUACAAUUAUUAUAAUUAAAAUUAAUGAAUUUUAUAUUAUCUUUACUUACAUCUUCUUUAUUCAUAUUAUUCUAUUACUAAAUGAUUAUUAAAAUUAGUAAAUUUAUUUUUUACUAUUUUAAUAAUUUUUCCAAAAAAUAUAUUAAAAAGGUAAAUUAAUAUCUAACGAAAGGAAAUUAUCUAGAAUUUAAGACCGAGAAACAAUAAGAUUAAUUUGAUAAGACAAUAGCGUAACUUUAGUUUAGCCUUAGAUAUAAUUAUCAUAAUAUUAUUUAUAAGAUAGAUUUUACCAUAAUACAUUCAACCUUUUUUCUUAUCCUUAUAGUUAGAUUUUGUAGAAUGUUUGUGGCUAUAUGAUUAUUAUAUUAGUAUUGUGAUUAUAAUUUGAAAAUAUAUAUUUAUUUAUUAAUUUAAUUAGUAGAUCUGUUAAUAUUUUGAUAAAUUUCACCAUAAAAUAGGUUUAUGAAUUUUUUUUUUUCAAAUUAAGUUUUUAUCUAAAGUUAGAUCACAUUCUGUUUAGCAAAUUUGAUGUAUUAAAAUUGUUGCACUGUGUAGUUAUGCAUUUCUAUGCAGUUUAAAAAAAUAUCUAAAAUUUAAUUAUUAUUAUUAUUAUUAUUAUUAUUAUUAUUAUUAUUAUUAUCUAACAGAUUUAAGUCUAGAUCAAUUUGAAUGGGUUAAUAAAUUUAAAUUAAAACCUUAUCCAUAUCAGAAAAGUCCAAUUCAGACCUCAUAUGGGUCCAAGAAGGGGUGGGUAAAUAAAGGUUUACCAUUUUUCUGACCACGUUUUUUGAAUUCUUAACGUUCCCUUCAUCCCUUCCCUAUGACAGAGGGUUGACCUUUUUUUUUCUAACAGAAAAUUAACAUUUUCUUUUUUUUUUUCUUGAAAGUAUGCUAUGAUUUUUUUUUUUUAAAUUCCCAUUAUUUCAAAAAAAAAUAUUUUUUAAGAAUUUAUUUUAGUUGAAUACAUUAUUUAUCUAACAAACUUUUCACAAAAGUAUUUUUUCCAUUAUUAUUUUUUUAUUUUAUGUACUAUUCAUUACUUAAUCAAAUAAUUUUUAGUGAGUGUAUAUAUUCUUUUACAAAUUAUUUUACGACAUAAACCCUAAAUUAAAAUUUUUAAUAUUAAAACUAUAAAUUCAAAAGCUAGCAUGUGGAUUGCUUUAUUAUUUUUUUUAAAUAAUCUAAUGUGGAUUAUUAAAAUAUAUUAGCAGUAUGCCUAAUUAUUAUGGGAUCAUAACUUGAAAUAUUUAAUUAAUAAAUAAAUAUUAUAAAGUCACAUACAUUGAAUAAUUCUGAUUCUCACCACUAUUUUAUCAAUUAAAUUGUGUACGUAGCAUAAUGUUAUUAUAUGAUUAUUAUUUAAAAUAAAAUAAAAUAUUUUUUUAUGAAAAAGAAAAAUCAUUGAUUAUAAAUAUAAUUAAAUGUGAAUUAAGUAGAGAAGGGCAUGACUUUUGAGUGGCGAGUGGAGAGAAAUUGGUGAAAAAUUAAUGUAUUAUUUAUAGUGGAAUUAUUAAAUAAUUUAUGGGAGACUAAUUUAUCAAAAAUUAAUUUCCAGUUGGGAUUACUUUAAUGCAAAGUAGGACGAAAGUGAGGGAAUGAGUCAAAAGCUUGUCGUGAACCACCUCCAACUCAUACCCAUCGGAUCUGGGUCCGCGGUUCUGUAGCAACUUGGUAUGUGGGUCCGCUUCCCAAAUCUUUCAUUUCCAUUUUUACCCUUCUUCUCUUUAGGUCAAUGAAAUUGAAACCGACCCUUCUAGCCACGUGACAUGCAUCAGCUAACAUGCAUCAGCUAUGCGUAGGCCUUAUUAAGUUAUUAUUGGCUGAUUCAGAAUAAUUUUUUUUGUUUUUUUAUUAUAAUUAUAUUAUUUUAAUAUAAAUUAAAUUAUAAAAUUUAAAAUUAAUGACAGAUGAAGUUAAAAAGUUUUUUUUUUUUUUUUCACUUUCCCAAAAUUUUAGCUGGAAGAAAAUCGAAGAGUAAUGUACAAAUGGAAGCGAAUAUGUCUAGGAGCAAGCAGUGAGACAAAUGGACAAAGAGAUGAUUCUAUACUGGCAUUGCAGCCAUGAGUCGCAGGAACCUUAAAAAGCUGUAAGAAUUGGUUAAUUAAUAGAUUAAUUAGUAUCGAAAAAACAACCUUAAAAGAUAAUUAAUGAAGAAAUUUACAGGUGUAAUCAACAUGAGACAUUGAUAGGUGGAGUAAGGUUGGACAAGAUCCUCAUUUUGUGUUAUAUUUUCCAAUUUCCUAUAACCCAUUUGAUUCAAAAUAUCCAUGACUGAUCUCAUCAUUCCAGCCACCUUUGAUCCUCUCUUCAAUAUAUUUUAUCUCAUGUAUAUUUUCUGAGAUGGAUCUCAUCGUUGCAAACAGCAAAAUGGGUAACCAAUUAAUACGUAGGCUGAGUGACAGCCGCAUGAAUAUUCAAUGUGCCAACCAAAAUACACCAAAGCUAUACCCUACACCCAAUACGAAAUUUACUUGCUACUAUGAAACAUCCGUUGUAUUUUUUUCAAAAAAAAAAAAUUUCCACGUGACAAUAUGACAGCACUUCAUGAUCUCACAUGCAUCCCAUUAAUUUUUAUAUGAUAUAUUAAUAUUUUUUAUGUGUCCACUAACUCACAUGCCAGAGUGUCCGAGGAAAAAACUCCACCUUAAAUAUUUUUUUAAAUAAUAAUUAAAAGAGUAAAAUUUAAAAACUCUUAAAUAUAUUGAAUUAUCAUCAGACUAAAUUUAUAAAUAUUCAUUUUAAGUCUUUUAUAUAUAUAUUUAAUAAAUAAAUAAAUAAUAUAUCAAUUAAAAUUAUGAUUAUUUUGAGUAUAUAUUUUUAUAAAUUAAAUUUUGAUCUGGCUUAAAAAGUCUUAGAAUUAGGAUUUGGAUUUGAUGAAAAUUAGGAAUUAUGUAAUUAUAUACAUACACAUAUAUUGAAAGUAGAGCAGAAGGUUAUUGGAUUUGGUAUUAAUUUAUGAGAGCUUUUGACUUGAGCAAAGCAAAAGCAUGGAUGCGUCAUGAUUCUGUCAAACCUGUAUCAUCACCUUAAGCUCAUUUUUAACAUUAUCACCUUCAUUAAAUUUUUAUUUUUAUUUUUAUCGCAGUAAAGCAUAUAUUAUUGGACAAUACUUGACUAUUUGGUAACAUUUUUUGCAACUUAAUUAAUUCUAAGUGUCACUUCAGUUUGAAAAUUGCCUUCAUUUAAAAUUCAAUCAAAUCAAAUAAAUCCAUCCCUGAAUGACCUACCUUUGCUCAACAAAAUAAAUUUAGUUAUACUCAAUGAAAGGACAGUUGAUUGCCUUUUUUUAUUGGAAAGCUGAUAACAUAUAAAAUUAUAAAUAUUAUUUUAAUUAAAAUAUAAGUUUAUAAAAAAUGUAUCAAAAAAUAUAUUUAUAUUUUUUAUAUAUAUAUAUAUCUUAGCUUCUUGUUUUUCUUUAUCUUAUUCGUUAUUUUUCUAUAUUUUUCUUAUUAUUAAAAUUUUAUUUUAAAAUUUUUAAAUUUAACUUGAAUAUUAAAGAGUUUUCUUCAGAUGUAUUUUCGAUAGAUUUUUUUUCUUUAGUUGGUAGAGCCCUUUCAACACAUAGAAGGUUGAGAGAUCUCUAUUAGAAAGUAAGAGAAAAUAUUUCUUUUUUUUUUUUAAAUAAUUUUCUAAACAAAAUCAAUGUUGAAUUUAAUUAAAAUAUCAUAUAUGAAAACUAAAAUUGUCAAAAAAUUUGCUAUAUAACACUUAAUUUUCUUGAAUUUUGAAUUAAAAAAACUAACUCUUUAGCCGCCCUAAGACGACUUUAAAAAAUAAAAAAUGAGUUAGGUAAUCCAAAUAACUUUCAAGUUUCAACUAAAAGGUGCAAAUUUUAUUUUCUUUUUUUAGGUCACAUUUGAUACAUUGUCCUAAGGCACUUAAAAAAUAAAAUAUUUAUUUUUUUAUUUUCCUUUGAUAAUAUAAUUUGACUUUUAAAUUUAAUUGUUAAUUUAUAACACAGUAUUAAAGAUUUAACAAAAUUUAUAAUUUAGUUUUUAUCAUUUUAAUAAUAAAUAAUUUAAUUAUUAAAUUUUUAUUAUAUUAAUAAAAUAAUAAUUUUAUUAAAUUUAAUAUUAAAUUAUAACAAUUUAAUUUUUCGUGAGUGAAUCUUUUUAGUUUUAAUAAUUUAUAAUAAUUUAGAAACUAUACUGUGAAUUGCCUUUUAUUUUAACAAGAUAAAAGCGAGUUAAAUUAAUUAAUUAACGCUGUUAUAUAUUGGGCCGUGUUGGGUUAUGAUUUGGGCCCAUAGUUUACUUAAUAACUUGCAGAAGAAUAUCGUAAUAAUUAAUAAAGCAAUUGCUAAUGAGAAUUAUGAACCCCAAUUUAUAGUGUGUGCAUUCAAUAUCUACGGCGGCCGGUGAGAGAAAUCGCAGGGAAAGCGAAAAGUCAGAGUAAGUGAGAAAGCGGUCGUCGAUAUUGAAGGUCAGCGGGGUUUUGCAAGAGUAGCGGUUGUGAGUGAUAACCUGUUAGUCUUGUUUGUCUUGAGAGUAAUAGCUCUGUUUUCAUUUCUUGCGGGAGGACCUCUACUAUUUGGUUUUCGUUGCUCGAGAUCGCACGCUACGUCCGAUGGAUAAUGUUUCUAUAGGCCGAUGACUGAUUGAGCUUGCUGCGCCUCCUCCCUCGCAGUGGUUGUUCUUAAUGCCAUCUUUGUCCAGUUGAUCUAUCCAAGAUUCCAGUGUUGCAUGCAUGCCUCUGACUUUAAUUUCUGUUGUUUUUCGUUAGAGAUACUGGAGACGGAUUUGAAUUUCUCUGCUUGUCAGUUGUCUUAUCUGUUUGGUGUUGCGAUUCUCUGGCUGUGGAUGGAUGGUUCUGCAUGCUGAGUGUGUUGGUCCGAUUGGUGACCUUGGCUUGGGUUUCGGGUUGUUCUUCAUGGGUUUUGGGCUGUUUGGGCUUGGACUUAAGCUGUAGUUGGUUGCUCUUUUUCUUGGGUUCUUGGAUUUGUUUAUCCCUCUUUUUGUAUAUAGUUUAGCCCACUAGAUCUUGAAAAUGCAAGUUUUAUUGUAUUGCAAAAAAAAAAAAAAAAAAUUUCACAAUUUAUAUAGGAACUUUCAGUAAAUUUAUUUUUUUUAAAUAAAAGUAAAUAUUAAUUAAUAGUUAUUAUUGCAUAAAAAAUAUCAUUUAAUGAUAAAAUAUAUAAAAAUUUAAAUAAAAUAAAUUACCAUCAAAAUAACUACCAAAGACACCAUUUAUCUAAACAAUAUGGAGCAAUACACAUGUUUAUUUUUUAUUUUUUAUAAAUCUUUCUUGAUUUUAGAAAACUCAAUGCUUUAAAAUUUAUCAUCAAAUGAAAUUCUCUCAACCCCUAUUUAAAAAAUAUAUAUAUUUAUUUUUAAUUUGAUAAAGUUAAAAUAUACAAAUUAUACCUUUGAUUUUGGAAUUAUAUUCAUGAUUUAAGGGGUGAAAGUUAAUUUAUUUUUAAAAAUUUAUUAAACAAAAUUUUUUAAGAAAAAUCAGACAAAGAUAUAUUCAUUUAAUAAAGCUAAAAUAUAAUGUAGUAUUGAUUUUUAAAAACCAAUGGAUAUAUUUUAAUUAUUUUUAUUGAUAUAUAUCAUAUAUUAAGCGUUUUAAAUUUCAUGUCAUGUACAUUAUAUUAUUAAUUAUGUAAAAUUUUUGAAAUUAUACUUUUUGAAAAAUGAUGAUAAUCUACAAUAAACUAUACACAAAAAAGAGUUAAUAUGAAAAAAAAAAUUAUAAAGCGAUUUUUUCUUAUUAAAUGAUAAUAAUUUUUUUUAAUAAUAUUUAAAGUAUUUCUUCCCUAAAAAUAAAAUGACGAAGAAAUACACAGCAGCCUAAGGAUUGGCAAAAUCAGUUUCCGCACGUGUGGAGAACGAUAAUUACAACACGUGGCAACAAUACGACCAAGUAGUUUCUUUUCUUCGAAGACCAGGCUCGGCUGUUCAGUUCGGACAACUCACUCCUCCCUUCAACUCCAGCGCGUAUCCAACGUGUCAAAUCGUUGUCUGUUCCAGUUGACGUGUCACCUCCCCAACUCCCAAUCCGAGGAUGAAUCAGGUGUAGGGCGUUUCUAGAUAGACGAAGUAAUUCCAGCAAUAACAAACUGCCAGACAAGCAAAAAUAUAAAAAUCACGUGACUGAAGACGCUCACACGCGGCUAACAAUUUCCUCGUUUGGACAUGGAACGUUCGUUACAAAACCAUCAAACAAACUAACUAACACACAAUCUGCUCUUAAUUGUUAUUUCCUCUUUUAAGCAAAUCUCUUUAUACUUCAAAUCCCAAUCAGUACUUUUAGCACAUAAAAUCAUUUGAGUUUCGAAAGAGAGAAGAUGAAGAAGUAGUCGUCAUAGCUGCCGACUCCAACAAAGAAGCUUCACGUGAAGGUGAAGCCAUUGAAGCUCGAAGUCGUCUUGCGGGAGAGAUGACGAAGAUGGAAAAGAAGGAAUAGUUGUUAUUAGAUGAAAUGGAAAGGACCCUGAAGUAGAUUUGUUCCAUGUUUGAAGAGCCAAAGAAAUUAUAGCAAGGUAAAUAAAUUAGUUAUAAUCGGAUAUUAUUAUUUACAUAUUUUAAAUAUUUAAUAUAAUUUUAUAAAAAAAAUUAUUUAUUUUUAGUAUUUAUUUAAUUAAAUUAAAAAAAAUAAAAUUUAUAAAAUUUUAUUAUUUUAUAAAAAAAUUAUAAUACAGUUAUAAUUGUGAAAUUUUUAUUAUAUUUAAGUAAUGUUUUUAAAUAUUUUUAGUUGAUAUUUUUAUUAUAAUUGGAUAAUGAUUAGAUUUAAGUAACGUUUUCAAAUAUUUUUUAUUGUUGAUAUUUUUAUUAUGAUUGGAUAAUGAUUAGAUCCAUCGCGAUUAAUACAUAUUAUAUUUUUUUUUAAAUAGUAAUUAAUUUCAUAAAUUGAAAUAUGUGAGAUAUCUAAAAUUGAUAUUUAAAACUAAUAUGUAUGUACUUAUUUUAUGAAUAAAUGCAUUGAAUUGAUCCAUUUGAGAAAUUCAUAUGAAAAUAAUAUGUGUUUAUGGAUUAUUCAAAUAAUAAUUUUGUAAAUGAUAUUUUAACUUGAAAUCAAUAAAUAGUCUUAUAUAUGAAUUUUUAUAUUUUGAUUCAUCUUACACGUUGUUUAGUUCAUGAGUAACAAAUGAGAAUGAAUUAAAUAUAUUAGGAACUAUAUGAAGGUAUUUAUACGAUUAAGAUAUAAUUUAUCACUCUAAAUUAAAUCCUUGCGCAAGGUGAAAUGAAAUUAGCAAAUAAAAUUUGGAAUUUCAUUUAAUAGAUUAAUGGCUAUUAAAUGAGAACUAAUAUGAUUGAUGUUAAAAUAAGUUUUUUUAACCUCAAAAGUGCAAAAAGCCCAUCUUCGUAAACCAUAAACAGCUUGGUCUCCUCUUUCUUUUCUGCAUAAUUGACUUACUAAUUUUGUUUCCAGCAAUAUGCUUUUACAUACCCAUAUUUUUCGUAGUAAUAGUAUUGAAUACUGCUUCUGCUAGUUAUCUGAUUCUCUGUUCUUUGUUCAUGCUGCUCUUUUCUUUUUCCAUCGCCUCUAUUAUGAUUGUUUUUGCUAUGACCUCUGUUUCUGUAUCUUUAUUUUCUACAUCUUCUGCUAGCUACUUCAACUUUUACAUGAAAGUCUUUCUUCUCAUUCUUUUCAUCUCAUCUGUAUAAUCUCGCUUCAUGAGAUUGCAAGGAUCAUCAGUUCAUCAAAUGAGUAUGUAGCUAAGUCUUUAAACUCUUCAAUGGCUGUCACAAUAUGAUCAAACUUUGGAUUUAAACUAUUUAACACCUUUGCAACAAUAAUUUGAUCUAAUAUUUCUUCUCUAUAAUACCUCAUUUAAUUAACAAUUGUAGCUACUGAGAGAAAAUCUUGCACUGCAUCUCCACUCUUCAUUUGCAAGGUUUUGAAAUCACAAUGAAGGGAUUGAAGUUAAUCGUGAUUACCUUAAAAUUGGCUUGGUACAUCAUAGUUGCGCUGCAAUUUUUGAAAAAACUAACUCGUGCACAAUUUACUGAAUGAAGAAUAAUACUUUAGAAUCCUUCUUAUUUUCCUUUAACUUGGUCUCUUCAUCUGGUUCAAUAUACUUUUUCUCAAGAGUUACUCACAACGUUCUCAUCUUAAUUCUCCAAAUUCAAAAUUUUUACUUUUGAAAAAAGAAAAUUUUGGUUGUGAGUAUAUUCACAACGUUGCCGUUUGAUGCCAUGAGUUAAAUCUAAUAUUCUACGCCAAAAAACAAAAAAUAAAAUUAAUUAUUUAAAUUUAGACGAUAUUGAAAUUAAAUAAUAUAAUAGCUAAAAAAUAUAGUUAACUAAAAUUAGUAAACUGGAUUUGAGAAUCGAGACUUUAUUUUAAUAUUGCAAUACAUCUGAUAGUUUUAUCUGCUCUACACUUCAAUACACUACAAUCUAACUUAAUGACUCAGUGCCUUUGAUUGGCAAUACAGGAAAAGUGUUGGGAUCAUCCCGAGUUAAGAGACUCCAUGCAACUCUCGUCUCAGAGUGGGUGGAAAAAAGAACCAUUGAUCGAGAAGGUUAAUGCAGAGUGGGUGGAAAAAAGAACCAUUAAUCGAGAAGGUUAAUGCAGAAAAUGAUGUGGUUGAAAAUAAAAGUUGCCUAACUUCGAUAAUUCUGAUGAUGCCCAACAAGUAUUUUCCUUUAAUCUAUGAUAUUUUCUUAGAAGCAGAAGUGAAUCUUGAUAAUAUAUGAGGCAGAGAUGCCUAAUGCAAUUCUGGGAUACCCAUUUGCAGAAAGAUAAGAGCCGCAUCAGAAGUGACUGCUGGGAGUUGAAGGAAUUAGUCAGCAGAGAUGGGCAAGCAAAACUCAAAGCCAGCGUGUUCUUCGCGUCCUUUGAUCAAAGAAGUGAAAAGGCUGAUGGACACAGCACCUGCAGCAUUGGCUACAGUCAUUGUCCACUGGCUUCAAUCAAACCAAAACUUCAUGCCAACGGCAUCACAAUUUGAUAGCCUUAUAGCAGAAGGAUCCUCUGAGUGGUGCAAACUCUGUAAUGAUCAGUCCUAUAUGAACUCCUUCCCGGAUAACCACUUCAAUCUUGAGACGGUUUUGAAGGCUGAUCUUAGGCCUUUAAUCAUAUUGCGCAAUAAAUCUUUACUGGGAUUUUUAGCCCAGAAAAGUUUGAAAACUUAAAGGGAGCCAAGUCUUUUGAUGAUAUAUGGAAAGAGUUGAGCAGCAGUACUGAAGCCUAUGACCAGAGGAUCUAUAUUGAGACUUGUAAUGAUCAUUUCUUUGUGUUGAAAGCAGAUGCUGAUGCUUUCUACAUCAUUGAUUCCUUAGGAGAGAGGCUCUUUGAGGGCUGCAACCAGGCAUACAUCUUAAAGUUCGACGAGUCAUCGGUGAUGUAUUGGAAGGUGGUGAAAGAAGAGGCCGACUCCAAUGAAACAGUAGCAGCAGCGGCAAGAGAAAAGCCUAAAGAUGUCAACGAAGAAAGUGCAGACAUAGUUUGCAAAGGGAAAGACUGUGGUAGGGAGUUCAUUAAAAGAUUCCUGGCUGCCAUAACACUUAAGGAACUUGAAGAGGAAGAGAAAAUGGGAAAAGUGACUACAUUCUCUCCUUAAAGAGACUGCAGAUUGAUUUCCACUAUUGCUCUUCUUCAACCUCCUCUUCAUCUUCAUUUGCAUCUCCUACUUCCUCCCAAUACUCAAGUGAUGAGUGCAGUAACUAGUGCAACUCUAUUGUGUACAGAAUCUAAUUUUGUUUUACUUGAAGAGACUACAAAUGCUUCUCAUAAAUGGCCUUCUGCACACAGUAAUAAAGGGGCUCCUGCAGAAGUUCCUGAUUAUAUCAAAAAGCUUCAAUAUUGUUUUAAUCAGAUAGAUUAAGGCCUCUGGUUUCUGCAAUCAAAAUAAUGAAAUACAUGUAAAGUCUCUAGUUUUUUUUUUUUUUUUGACAUUCUUCAAGUACAAUACACAAAGAAAAUUUGAUUCUCUCUCUCUUUCUAUCUUAUUAGCAACCUUUCCUGUGUGUUUAAGGAAUUUUCAGAAUUCCAUCACCUUUUUCACCCACAUUUGAAGAUGCUGCUGGUUCCCCAAGCACUAUCAUGUAGUUUAAGCAAUUAUAGUUGCUCAAGUACAGGAGAGUGAACCUCCUCCAUCCAUUUUCCUUGGCCUACCUAAUUAUUAAAGAAAAACUUGCAAAGACCAAAUAGCCCACAAAGGCACAUAGAGAGAGCUAUGACCUAGAAUGAAUGAGAAUCUGACCCUAUAAACGGCUGAUAAGCACCUAAUGCCCACAAAUGUUAAUCACCAACCGUACAAACAAAAAGUCUUAUACCUACCUAAUUAGAUCAAAUAGCAAAGGGUCCACAACAUAGCCCCAAAGCACAUAUCCAAGGUUAAUUGGAAGAAUUGGCAUGAAACACUUUCUUGUCCCCCACUAACACUAACCAAAACCCUAUCCAGUUAUUCAUUAAUCGUCUCUUUCCCACUUCUUAAGCAGACCACUUAGACUGGGGGCCAGUCACCCCAGAUCAUUUCUCAUAAUAGUUAAGUUUAAGGUUUACUGAAGAGACACUACUUUGCCCCAUCCUUCCCAUAUAGAUAUAUCUUACUCUAUCAUUACAUCCCAUGUGCAACAAGGAACUGGGUUUGAACAUACAAUGACUUUGGCUACCCAAUUAGCUUCUUUUUAUAUAGAUAAAACAAAAUAAAGCAUGAUAAUAGCCUAGUUCCAAUUUCAGGACUAUGUUGCACAACACAGUUCUUAGCACAUUGUAAAACCACAAGCCUCUUCUGUUAAUUCCUCCAGGAUCAUUUCUUCUAAUUUACAUUUGGUUAUUUACAACUAACAUUCUUGCGGCAACAUAGCUAGCAGCUUAGCACUACCCAAGCAAACUACAAAGUACAGCUGGAUUACCAAAAAUGCUUUAGUAAGGCAUAUCCUCACUAAGGAAUGCCAAUAAUUGAAGAAACAAACAGAAGCAAGAGCCUGUGGGUCUACAAACCUACAAUUUUCAUUCUGCUGGUUAAGAUUCUCAUCAGUUUAUGAACCUGCACUUUUCAUUCGGCUAGUCAAAUCGUUGCAUGGAAGCUUUGGCUGCCAACAAUAUGCCUGAUCCUCCACAGGGUAAACAAAAACUGCCUUGCGCUUUUUCAUCUGCGCAUCUACAUUUACAUCUUCUCUCAAUUUGCUUGGACAUGAAUCUAAUGAGUUAUCCACAUUGACUGUAGUAAACAAAGAGAAUUCUUUAUCAGUCUGCGGCAUCCGAUGGCUGAAUUCACUCCUCUCUUGUGAAUAACCAGAACCAACAGCUUCAACAUCCUGGAGUUGACGCUUUUGAACACUUGGCAAAGAAGCUGAAAGAGAGCCCAGCCGUAGAGACAAAUCACACCCAACUUCAUGCUGCUCCAAUAGACUAUCACUGGGAUCUGAUUGAUUGAUUUUAACAGCAGGAUCCUCAUUAUAGGAGAAGAGGUUUUGCUCAAUACCACUCACCCUGACAGGUUCAGCAGCUUUAGAAAGAAUUCCCAAGUCUUGCUGGGGCUUUAGGCAACUUCCGUAGUACAAGGGAUAAACUGAGCACAUACUUGACACAGGACGAUUCUCCGCUGGUAAACAUUGGUUAUAGUUAGCUAGAUGACUGUUAUCAGUUGCAAAGAGAAAUUUGUUAGGAGUGACGGCGACAUUCUUGUAAACAAGGUUUUGCAACUCAGGGCCCAAGAGGGUUGAAUUAAUAAUUGUGGGUGUUAUGAAGUUUGCAUAAUUAGGUAUGCAUGGAGGGCUUGUGGUAUGAUUUGCUCGUGUGGUGCUAUUUACUAUGCCGGAAGAGAAAGUGUUGGGCUCUUGAGUGCCAGGAAUAAGGUAACAUCUGGGAUUACAAUUUCGUUGGCUCCUGGAGGCUCUUCUUGGAGUGCAUCCCAAAAUAAGAGCAGCUGGCAGUAAAAAGUGUAGCAUUACACAAAAAGUGAGUUAUCUUAAAAGUGUUAUUCUUAGAGAAAUAAUUGCAUGAUUUCAUCAAAUUUAUCAUAUCUCCCUCCUAUCUUUCUUCAAAGACAGUUCACUUGUCUAACUAAUCUACAUUCAAAGUACCACAUGUUGAAAUCAAUAACAAGCACUGAAAUCUGAGCCAAGAUUAUUUCAAAGCAGCAAACAUCUCCAUUGCAGAUAGUAAAAUCGGGGUGAGUACCUUCAAUGCAAGGUUGAAGAAGCUCUCCAGUUUCAGUACUCUCAUCGCGUCGAAUGAUUGUAUUAAUAGCAUCAUUUGCUCGGUCCCAAAGUGUUUUUAGGUCCAUAUAUUCAGCCUAUGUGAGAAUCAGAAGCCAAUGCAUAAGAUUCAGACAAACACAGUAACUAAAUCCACUAAACCAUGGAAAGCUUAUUGUCCCAGAAACAUAUAAAUGCAUAAAUUGUUCAGACCCAAAGCACAGAACUUCAGAUUAAGCUUCAAAGACAAAAAACUUGACUUCAUGGGUUGCUAAAAUUUUAUUGAUUUUAUAAUGAGCAAUAGACAAGAACCAGAUGGGGGCAAGAAACUUCAGUCUAGAGAGACUGACUAACUGAGAGGAUUGUAUGGAGAGAGAGAGAGAGAGAGAGUUACCUCGGAAUUGGCUUUGGAAUACAUAAUUUCUUCUGCUUUCAAGACAACAACAGGUAGCUUCUCUUGCCAUUCCUUGUUCUUCUUAGUUGCAGAGCCAUGGACCUCAUUGACAACUCUAACCAAAAUACAGAGCAAAAAAAAAAAAAAUGGUGACAGAAAAAAAGAUACUAAACCACAUGCCCAUACUUACAAACCCGAGAGAGAGAGAGAGAGAGAGAGAGAGAGAGAUGAGGGGAAACCUGAAAAUUUCUUGAAUGAGAGAACCUCUAAUGGGCUGGUGUCUAUCACUGUGCCAAGCUCUCCUAACACAUUCAUAAGGUCUGGGGCCUGAUCUGGGCAUCUUCACCAACGCUUGGAGAGAAAAAUAAAACAGAGUCUUCUGUUUCCUGAAAAAAGAAAAACAAGGUCCAAGCACUGUGGAAGUGGAGGUAGCUUCUGCUUUUGGUUUCCUUUUGCCCUUUGCUUGGCUUGUGACUCUCACCCAAGUCCCACACUACUCUACAGAAGCCAGUAGUACCAAAAAUAUAAUGAAUGGGAAGUGGAGAGAGAGACAGUGAGGGGAGAGGGGAGUUUUUUGGUUUGAUUUCUUUUUCUUUUUCUCUCUCUUUUCUGCAAUGAACUCAAUUAUUCAGAACGGGUUUAAUCGAUGAGUUUGGUGUGUCCCCCAAUCAUCCACAUGCCUGCUUCCCCUAGCCCCAGGAGUCCCUCUCUAUAUAUUUUCUCUUUCAUUAUUAAGGUUUUGGCCUCUCCACCUUUCAUUUUCUUUUUUACACACUCUCUCUUACAACAUAAUUUUUUUUUGCUGCCAUUUCCUUGUGAAACCUUACAGCGAGUAGAGGUUGGGGUUUGCUUAGAUACCACCGACAGCGACCAUAUUUUCAGCUCUCUUCUCCUGCCACACCAUGAAUGGUGAAUAUAGAGAUCAGGGAAUGCAGUGAUUUUGGUGGGGCUCAUCUAUUUAACCACAUGGAAAUUGGAAAUUUGCUUUUUCUUAAUCUACCAACUUUGAUUUACACUAAUCAAAUUCUUUCUUUUUAGUUUAACACUCCAAAUUGUCCUAAAAGCUUCCAGCUUUGAUGGGUUUUGGUGGUGAAAUUGAACUAAAGCUGCACAGAAACAGAAUGUUAAAAUGAGCUUUUUGGGUUUGGUUUGGUGUUCUCACCUUGACCCAACAGCAAGCAAUAAUAUCAACCUCCUCCUAAUUUGAGUAGAUGACUUGUCCCAAUAAUGACUUCAAAUCUGGUAAUUAAAAAAAAAAAACAGAAAAAAUAAAGAAACGAAUCCUUCUUUGUUUGCAUUGACUGAGGGAGGCCAAGCCAAGCAUUUGUCACAGUCACCACUUUUUGAGGCAUUCUGAGCUUGCAGACAUGUGGGGUAAAUGACACAUCUCCAUUUAGAACCCAUGACCAUCCAAAGCUAAAGCUCUGAUAGUACUGCAUCACAAAACAAAAUUUAUUGAAACAAAGAAAAGAAAAGAAACAGCAAUCCACCUAAGAAACCAAGCUUUUGUUGAGCCCUGAGGCUGAGAAUCUUCUUGAACAUUUAUGCCAUUAUUACGUUUCUUCUUUUCCAUCAACCUUUUGGAGAGAUGGCCUCACACACGCAGCCAUCAAUGAGAUGUUUCAAUAAGUACCCUCUGCUCUCAUCCGUGAGUGGAAUUUCUGCCUCUGCAGCAACUCAUCUUUUUUCAAGCAAUGCCAGCAAGUGAAUCUGGGCAUUAAUAACAAUGGAUUUGAAGUAAAUAUGUUAGUUAAACUUCAUUAAUACAAGACCCUCGAAUGUUAAUCUCUUGUAAUGGAAAUCUUGAUUUACCGAUGUAAAGAUGGAAAAAAGACAAAGUGUUUUUUUGGGGGAAGAAAAAGACAUAGGAGGCAGGAGGUCAUUUCUUGAAAAGAAAAGGAAAAUAGUACAGUAGCAAUAAGCCAUAGCCACUUGUACAUGAUGAUUUGGCUCUGGGUGGGUGGCCUGCUGCUAGUGACAGUACUCUUUGGUUCUUCUUCUUUAUGUGAACCUGCAUAAUUGGUUUUCUGUAAAAGUUGCUGCCAAAAUCUAAAGUACUUGUAAUCCAAUUUGUUUUUUUCUCACUCUUGAUUUAGAUUAAUGGCAUUUUGCAUAAUAAUAAAUCACAAUUUUUUUUUUUUUUUUAAAAAAAAAAAACACAUGUAUGUUUUGUUAUUCUUAAUUUGAGAACAGAUAUAUUACUUGUACUAAGUUGUAUCCAAUAUUACUUUAUUUUUUAUUUUCAAAACCAUAUUAUAAAUUUCUUAGUUGUAAAAUUAUAAUUAAUUAUAAUUUCAUUUAAGUGUUAAUAUAUGAAUUUUUAUUUAUAUUUAAUAAAAAGAUAUAAAUAAUAUAGCAUUUAAGGAACUAUUUUAGUUAUUUUUAUGCACAAUUUCCAAAAAAAAAAGAUAGAGAAACACACAUACAUGAUGUAGCAAUUUUGGAAAUAUCAUAAUUAAAAUCUUAAAAUUUAAAUAUAACUAAUGAUUUUUAAAAAUAAAUACUUAAAUUUAUAAAUAUAUUUUUAGUAAAUUGUGUGUGUGAUAAGAUACUAUAAUAUUAAUUAAUAUGUGACUAUUAGAAUUCCAGUGACAUGUAAUUAAGAAAAAAAGAAAGAAAGACAGAAAGAAUUAUUUAGUUAGUUAACGAAACCAAAUUUCAACGACUAUUGAAUAUAAUUUAUAAAACGAAUGAAAAUAUUUAAAUAUUAAAUGAUAAUUUACACUAACUAGAUAUAUAUUAAUGGUCUAUAAAAUCAAAUUUUAUAAAUCAAAGAAAUGUAUUUUUUACAAUAAAUUUAAUAAUAAUAAUAAUAGUAAAAAACUGCAUCAUCAUUUAGUCAGUAAAAAAAAAAAAAAACAUCUAAAUGGGGUGCAUCUAGAAAUUUCUUUUUAAUUUUUCGAAAAAUCAAUAGUCUUUUUUUAUAUAAAAAAAUAAUUUACUUCAAUUUAAUUAAAAUAUUCGUGACUUUUCAGAAAAUAAUAAACAAGACUUAAAUUUUAAAUUUCUAUCACCAUUUUCUUAAGAGACUCCUAUAGUAAAUUGGAAGAGCUUAUAUGGCUUGUGUAUAGAAAACGGGAACUGUGAGAAAAGAUGGGUUCAAAUACAUACACUUUUAAUUAUUAAAAUAUCUAAAAAUAUUUUGAACAAAUAAAUAAUUUAAUUAAAACAAAAAUUUCGGAUAGGUCAUCAGGAAAUUAAAAAGUAAAAGAAAUGGGAAGGGAAUAUGAGUGUGCAUCAAUAAACGAACAAACACAAGUAGCAAUAAAGCAUCAAAGCUUAACUGGGAGGUAGAGGAUUUAUUGGCUUUUUUUUGUUUGGUUGAGCAAAUGAGAAUAAACUUUCUUUUUCUUUUUGGGCUUUGUUUUUAGGCUUUAAAUUAAGUUCCAGUUUGGUAUUAUAUAAUAGACUUUUAUAGUUAUGGGCCUCGUAGCCCAGCCAGGAAAGUUGAAUGUCUGUCUGCAAAUGUCAAUAAGUGGAAGUGCUCUCUGGCCGGCCUAUCUUUGCAUUCAUGUGAUCCAAUUCCAAUUUCCAAGUUCCAAGUACAUAUUUGAAGGCUUUGGGACAAUUUAAUGCUUCACUGGGAGAAAGGGUGGUGAAAUUGUCUCAAUCAACUUUCAGCCCAAUCACCUUAAUCCAAGGCCCAAUCUAUCACUUGUGAUAUAUGAUUGCCCGUUGAAAAAGAUAUUAUAAUAACAAUUAUACAGUUGUAUUGAAAAUGAGACCCAACAACCACAGGCUUUUGUAAAAAAAAAAAGAAACAGGUGGAGCGGUGGGACAGUCGACCUGCUUUGGUCCCACUGGAGCCCAAAUAUCCAGUAGCCUUUCAUGUACAUAUGGUAUUUCUUUUGCUUUAUCUUGCGCACACAUACAGCUAAGGCCAAGCAGUUGACAUCUCAAUUCCGAGUUUGAUGGGAUUGGAAGUGUUAGGUAAUCAAUGACAUGUUUAUUAUUUUGACUAAUUACCUAUUCAAUUCCUUAGCCAAUUCGAGAAGCUGCACAACAAAAAUGGAAAAUGUAGGUUUUGGCUAAGCAUUAAAUCCACAUAAACCACUCAUGUACCAAUUAGGUAUUAGGACAAUUAUGAUCCAGAUUUAGGUUCCAGUCUCCUGCUGCCGCUCUUACUCUUAAUUUUCAUUUGCUUGUCCAACAAAACACACCUUCUAAAAGGCUCAUGUUUGUGACUAGCAAGGAAAAGAGAAAAAGUUGCCAAUGUGCUAGCAAAUGGUGCAGCAUUCUCCACGGGAAAUAACAACAUAAAAGAAGAGGGUGUGGGGUCAUUGGUACUACGGCUCCUAAUGGGUUGCGGACAAAGUUCCACGGAUAGUUGUUUUCAAAAUAAAACAUUAGCCACCCACAAAAGAAGACAAUGAAAUAAGUCUUGUCACUACGAUCCAUGCCUAAUAAUGUUUUAGUAUCAUCAUACUGCUAGAGUUUACCAGGACCAUCCAUUUUCUCCCAAGUGAUGGAUCCACACCCGGUUUAUGAACUUGUGCUUCUUUUGGGUCCCAGCCUUAAGAAGGAAAUAUCGUCCUAAUUAAUUACACUGGUACAUGUGGCCACCUACAAUUUUGGUAACCCACCACCACCGACACCCAACUCCAGGGUGCUUAAUGAUAAUAAAGAAAUAAGGAAUUACAGGUCAAGGAAUUAACAAAGAGCCAUAAUGAAGCUUUAAAAAUGCAUGGAAUCCAAUGCCAUUCCUUUGAAUAACAAAAAGCAGUCACUUCAUCAUUAUGGAUUGAUCCUCUUUGGUUCUUAUCUUACACACUACUUAGAUAAAGCAUGCCGUUUGAGUUGGAUUACUGUGUUUCCACUAGAAAAGGAAACACAAAAUUGCAAAUGCAACAGACACGUAUCCUAUGAUGUCGUAUCAUUACAGACAUGAGGUCGUUUUCAAUUAGCCCUCCUCUAGCAUACUCUGUACGCUUCAAUCUGCAUUGUUUUAUACUUCAUCGUUAUCGACAUUAGCUUCUUCUAUUUCUGAUAAACAAUUUACUUCAAGCACACUCAUAAAUUCAAUCCCAAUUGUUUUUAAGCGAUCCAAGGUACUUUUGUAUGUCCUUUUCCUAAACCUUGUCUCCCUUGGUUGUUUCGAAAUAAGAAAUUCAGAUGUCAAUUUAUAGUAACACAUCAUCUUUCGUCAACAUCGCCCAACUACGUUCUGGUUGAAGAUUGGUGACUGUAUAUAUCCAAAUUGCGGUUCAGAUAAUCAAGACAUAAAUAUUUAAUUAGCAACUGCAUGUUGCAAAUGGUCACUUACAUGGUUAAACCUCCAAGACAGAGCUGGAAUCAAGAAAGUUGCAACUAAAACUACAGAUAUAUAAAACUGUUUUCUGAUACAGCUGUAUGAUAAUAACAAAGUACUUCCAACAGGAACUUAGUUCCUUAUCACGAAGGGAAGCCAAGCAAGUCCAUCCCACACCAUGUUAAAUAAAAAGAAGAAGAAGAAGAGAGAUAUUUGGGUUGAAAUAACCAUCAUCCCUUACGGUGGGGGAUAUGAAUAUCUCGGCUUCCCAAAUUUGGAGGAUUAUUUUCCUCUUCCCGUAACAGCUUCCAAGCCAAGAAAGGACAUGAAUUAGCAUUUUGUGAAGGUUAACACAUAACUUCUCUAUUCUAGGCAAGAUUCCCCCCUAAGACUAUCACAAAGGCUUCAUAAAAAAGACCUAACCAAUAAAGAGCAAGUGUUCUCCAUAAUUAAUCCCAAUAACAAAAAUUUCGUUAAUGCUAGUUGAGCUUUAUGUUCUUAAACAGAGAGUAGCUCAGACCAUCAAGAGGUGUCAAAGAAAGUGCUAAUAUUACAAAAGCACAAAGAGAUGCCAAGAUUCCAAUUACAGGUUCCCCAAACAUCAAAUUCCCCACAAUCACUAGUGUAUCGAAUUCAGUCUCUCCUCCCUCCCAAGCCCAUCUUUGCACAAAUAGCAGGAAUAACAUCAAAACCUUUUAAAAGGGUUAAAAAGGAAAAACUAGAAAGAUAAAACAUAACAUGAACAACGAGAAUUCGUCUAUGGAUAAACAGAAUAAAGAAUCAGUGAGGAGUGUAGUAAUACCCAGCCGGAGGGCCCAUUCCGUUCACUGGUGGCAUUCCAUAAGGCAUCAUUGGCAUAGGCCCUGGUGCUGCAGUGUAAUAUCCAGUGCCGUUGAUCUUGGUCAAGCUAGAUUCACCUCGCAUCCCAUCCUUCGAAUAUUGCUGCCACACUAGCUGCUCCUGGACAAGCAAAUGUUGUUUCUUCUCCAUAUCAGCCAUUUGCACAUAUGAGGGAGGUGGAACGCUCAAAGAAGCAGCAAAAGGAUCCUGAUUAACCGUAUGAACUGUUCCAUCUGGAGCUGGAAGAGCCAGAACAGGUGUUGCACUCUUCCCUGGCCCUGGCAAUGCCACACUGCUGGAACUACCUCCGCUCAAUUGUGCAGUGUUAGUAUAUUGCCUCACCAUUCCUUGAUCAUACAUGCCGUUUAACAACAAUGGAUCAAACCCACCACCCAACGUCGCCUUUUGCUUUGACAAAUUGCUAGCCGAUUCAACCAAAGCCAAUUCCCAAUCUGCUUUGUCCGGUUCAGCAGCUGGGUUCUGCCAAGCUGAGGUUACCUGAGUCUCUCCAUUAGAUGGGAAUGCUUCCCAUGAUCCAUUUCCAUUAUUAGCAGGUGGUCCGGCAAACAAAGCCAAAGCCAAUCUAUUCCCUUGAUCAUCUGCAGUAACACCAUCAUCCCUUAAAUUCACCAAAUCUUCAGUGACCUGUGGUUGCUGAGGCUUAGGCUCUGGCUGAGGAGGGGGAGGAGGAGUGUAAUUCUCCGGAGGAGGCAGUGCCUUAAUUUCAUUCAUAUCGGGUACAGGCUCUUCCUCCUGAGGCUGAGGAGGAGCCUCCUCUUUUCUCUCAGGACUCUUGGGCCGUUUCGCCCUAUCCCUCACAAACUCCUCCAACGUUUCCAAUAACUUGCUUGUGAUCUUCUGCACAUCUGGAUACUCUGACGAUCGAGCCACGCCAGUAUCCUUGCACCAAUUGUAAAAAGCAAUCAGCUCGUCAAUCUGCUUAGCGGAGCUAGCAUAAGCUUCAAAAGCCUUAACACAAUCGGGGUACUCCAUGUCAAAGAAUUUGUCCAGCAAGACGGCCAAAACCUCACACAUGUCCGCAUACAACUGAAAACUCUCUCUCACAAUUGGGUACACCGCAAUCAGUAUCAUCCUGCUGUUCUUGGCUAAUCCUGUGGGCCGACACGACAAGAACCUGUCCAACAACCUUUGCAAAUGAGCCAUCUUGCCAAAAAUUCUCUCAGGCUUCAUUUCCCUCAAUGGAGUCACCGCUUUUCUCUCUUCUCGCCCAUCUCUCCCCACGGCUUCACUCAUGUCUCCAAAAGACCUCGUCCUCCUAGUCAUUCCAUAACCUCCAUGCCCACUUUCACCCCUAUAGUCCCCAUAGUCAUUAUACUCGUAUGGUCUCGGUGGCGGUGAUCUGAAAUCACCUCUGGCUCCAUAUCUCUCAAUAUCACCAUGAGAACUGCCGCCGGCACUGCCGCCUUUCCGUUCAAAUAGCAUCAAUUCAAGUCGCUGAUCUAAAUACAUAGCAUAGGUCCUGACAAACGCAGAUUGAUCCCAGGAACUGGAGUGCGCCUCAUCUCUAAAAUCGGACAUGUUCAAAAGUCUCGUUCCUCUCCUCGUAGCAUACAAAAUCUCUUCUUGAAACAGCGGAUCUCCCUCGUUUAAGAGCCUAUGGAUCAGCAUCAGAGCCUUGAGCGCCACAAUCCAGUCCCUUGUCUUCCCGAGCCGCUUCGACACUGCCGCCACGCAAGCGUGCACGUAACCACGAGAAUAAGAUGUCAAGUUCAAGAUCUCCCUUGUGUAUUUAUCGUUCGCUGGGUCAUCGUCGUGGCUCGUCGCCUUAACUAUCGCCACCUCCAGCUCCGGUGCCAUGUUACUCGCUACCUUGGCUAUGCCAAUGCUGGUUUGAUCCUUAACGGUCCCAAUCGCUUUCCGGAUCGUGCUCGGCGCCAUCUCGACCGUUAGAUUGAACCGUAAGCCCUUAUUGUAAACCGAUCUAACACCUCACCACUGUAAUCUUGAGCGUAAAUAAACGAACAAAUACAAUUCAGUUGCAAUCAAGGAAAGUUAGUUGUAAGUAUGAUUAGUGAAGUAAUUUAAUGGAGAUUAAACCUUACCGUUGACUUUUAACGUCGCCGGAUCUGCUAACUACGCCGACAAAAAUGGACUACGGACGAAGUCGUCAGAUUGAAAGAAGAAAACGGCGAGCCGUUUCACUCUCUCUCUAGAUUCCCUGUGUGUGUGUGUGUAUGAGAAUGGAGAAGAAAUGGCAGAGAAAGAGAAAAAGGAAGAUUUAAUAGCGGGUUGAGAUCCGAAUGACACGUGGAUAAAUAAGAACCGUCGAUUAAAAAGAGAUCUGGAAUGAGGAAAGAGACAGCUAUAUCACCGGAACUGUCGGGGGGCGUAUGGUUGUCUGAAAGGAAAGCAUUUUCUCUCUAUGGAUUUAAGGGGGUGAAGAUGGAGGAAAAUGGUUGGUUUUGUUACGAUGCGUGUGGGAUUAUUUUAAUUACCAUACUACGCGUACGGUCUACGUUGAUAAUGACUCUGUGAUUUCCAGUUCGGGUUAUGGGUUGAUCCAGUCGCUUGGUCCCACAGAGUCUUGGAAAAAUUAAUUGCGAGUAGUAGAAGCUUCUAAUUGAGGUUGAGACUGAGAUUACACAACUUUUAGAGGUCAAAUAUGCAAAUACCAAUAAUUGCAUCUCUAGAAACAUGGUCAAUCGAUUACAGCCGCAAUCAAUUAAAUUUUCAAAUGUCUCCGCAUUUAAAUAUUUUUAAAUUUAAUUUAAUUUUAAGUAAUUUUAAAGUUUUAUUAUACUUUAUCCGUUUAUAUUUUAAUCAAAAAAUUUAUUAGAUAUAAUAGUUACAUACUUAAAAUAAUCUCUUUUUAUUUAAUAAAAUUUUAUUAAUAUAAUUAAUAAUUUUAUUUUCAAAUAAAAUGUAAAAUUAUAAAAAGCUUUAACUCAAAUAAAAAUAAACUUAACAAUCAUUAAAUUAAACAAUUCCGUUUAAAUUCAUGUAUUCAUUAAUAUUUAACUCAUUAAUAUUUAAUUAAUUAUGUACAAUUUCAAAAAAAAUAUUUAAUUUAAUGAUUAUUAAUCUCGUUUUAGAUGAAACUUGUAUCAGACAUGUUUUUUUUAUAGAGUUUAAAUAUAUUUUAUUAUCAAGUUAAAAAAAAAUAUUUAUAUAUAUAUUUUAUUAAAAAAAUAAAUAAAAAAGGAGUGGAACUUGUAUUUGUGAAAGCGAGAAUAUAUACUCCAAUAGUACUGAAUAAUCCCUAGAAAAAUAUAACUAAAAUUCAAAAACCUAAUGAAAAUCUCCAAAAUCAAAAUAUAACAAAAUUCUAACCAAUAAGCAAAAAUAAACAAUCAAGCAAAGGGCCAUUGGAGCCACUUUUAUUUUUCUAUACAAACCUGUUAGGUCUUCUUUACACCUAACACAUUGCCAAUAACCCCAAUCUUCACAUCACGUUAGGAAGCAUUAGAUAAUAUUCCCACAGCAAAUCAACCAUAACUGAGACUGAACAUUGAACUUGAAAUCCAAAACCACAAUUGAACAAUUAUAUAUAUAUAUAUAUAUUACAAGAUGAUGAAAGUUCAUUGGCUACUCAUGGGUGUAUUUUGCUUCUGGCUUCAUCAUUUCCCAGGUGAUUCUCUUUGAAUUAGGAUGUGUUUGGGUGAAUCUUUUGUCCACCAUAGAUAGAACAGAGAAGAGAUUAUCACUAGCCCAGCUGCACAUCCUACUGCUAUCCCAACAAGUUUCCCUGCUUGCUUCUUGUCUCGCUUGGAGGAUUCUGUACCAUCAGAGACUGAAAAAGGUGGAGCUAGCUAGUUAGGAAUGAAAAAAAAAAUUGCAAUCCAAAAGCAGAAACUGGAAAGGAAAUUUGCAUGAGUGAGAGAGGAACCUUGAGAGACAUGAAUUGCUGACACUAAAGGUCCAAAUGUGCUUUGAAAUGGUAUGCAGCAAGUGCCUUUCCCAGCCCAAAAGAAGUGAAUGUCCAUGAUGGUGUUUGUCACGUUUGCCUCAAAGGUCUUAAUCAUGGCUCUUUUCGAUCCACCAGCUUCCUUUUGAAUGUUGAAGUCCUGCAGAACUCUCUUUCCCUGUAACCAAUCAUGAGUUAUUAUUAAGGAAACUAUUCCCUUUAAAUUACAAGGAGGUUCAAGCUAUCAACAUGCCUGAAUGUAAACAUCAAAUAAACGCCUCCCAAGGCCUUUCCAAGAUUGAGAGACAUCAUCCAUUACUAUCUCCGCAAAGUGAAGCUCAACGCUGUAUCUCCCAUUCUCUAAGCCAAGACCAUAGUACCUUAGCGAACUUGGUGAAAUCCUUGCUGUCUUGUACAGCUCAGACUCCAAGGUUUCAGUGAUUUGAGAAUCAGUCUGUGCUAUAAACUCCGGUGCAGGGUUUGAGAUGAAAUUCCCAACAUUGCUUACAGCCCAAAGAUUGUCGGAACUUGCUCGUUGUGAGGCAGCUCCCAGUGUUUCAGAAUCAUCGUCAUAUUCAAUACCAGAUGCAGAUGUUUGGCCUGUGCCUCCACACUUGAUAGAGAAUGAAGCUGCAAUAGAAGUACCAGUGUACUUACUCCAUUAUCUCGGAACUGUGUUAAAUCCCAAUGUUAUAGAUAUGUUGAAGUUCCAAAGAUUUUACUUACAGGAUGGAAAUUUGUUGCUGCAUUUUAGAUCGGCUUUAAGGCAUUGCAACAUCCCAGAAACCUUGCUGUUUCCAUCAUUAUUCAUUUGAUUAGAUUAAAAGAAAAAGAGUGGCAUCCUAAGAAAUAAAGAAAAAGACUAACUAUGUCAGGUUAAGAAAUUGGUGUUAGAAAUAAGUGGACUCAAAAAAAAAAUCCAAAAGCAAGCUGACAAGUUUUGUUGUAAGAACCCACAAAUAUUGAUAAACAGUCUAAAACAAUUACAUAAAUUAUUUAAGAUUCUCAAUUCUAAAAAGGACCAUUAGAAGUAGACAAAACAAUCAAAUCAUGAACCAAACUUAUCAUUUUCUCAUUAUAAGCAUUAUACUAUCAAUCCAUUAAAAGUGAAAGUAAACAAAGGAGCCUGAAAAUCCCAACAGGACAUAGAAAUCGCAUCACUUGAGUCUCCAAAAUAGUCUUACCUGUCCUGUAAGCCAUUAGCAUUUAUGGAAGUUCCAACGAUAAUCCUGAAAAUUAAACAAAUUUGUUGCUAGAUGAGUUGCUGCGCAAGCAUUUUGAUAAAAAUAUUGCCUACCAUCACUGGAUUGGAGGCAUAGCAUAGAAAAGCUUUAGAAGAGGAGAUUAUAAAUGUUAACUUACAUGGAUGAGCCAACUUUUGCAAAAUUUUGUGGCAAAUUUCCAGAAAGAGGAUUGAAUGAGACAUCUCUGCCAUGAAAUAAUAAAUAAAUAGAUAUGGCCAGAAUUAAGAAACAUAGUUAACUUGUUGCAUUCACAUCAAAGAAACAAUGAAAUCAUCAUAUUAAUUUCCAUGGCAACUUUCAUUUGAUAUCAAGUGGCUUUGCCUGAUUGAUCUAACUUAAAUCAGAGUUGGCAACAACAUCUAUCCAUGAUGCUAUUUCCUUGAUUAAUUUCAACUUCAAUUAUAAUGGAUUUGCAGUUUUCUGUUUACAAGUUCAUGCAUUCACUCCUGAAAUUGGAUAAAUGUAAACCAAAAAGGAGAAACUGACUCAAAGUCGGACUCACAUUGCGUUGAGCUGAGGACCUAUGAUAUUUGCAGGUAGCCCCCCACUCAAGUUGUUAUUCCCAAGAUACCUGAGAUAUGAUAUCAAAUAAGUUAAUAGAACAUAAGUUCUCCAACAAGUAUAAUAAGGCCUUAUCAGUGGAAAAGAAGGCACUGCUUUUGCAUUCCCACAUUUCAUGUGUAAUUCAAUAUGAAGCAUUAUUUCCAAAUAGUACAAUAAGUUAAUGACUAAAUAUUAGCUUCAUAAAAGAAAAUAAUAGAAGUGAUAGUGGAGCAGUAAAAGUAAAAAAUUACAUGUAUUGUAAAGAAGCCAAAUCUUGGAAUGAGGUGGGAAUAUGGCCAGUCAACUUGUUGAAACUCAAGUCCCUGCCACAACAAAUUCCCCCAGUUACGCAGUAGCAGGAAGAAAUUGAGAAACUUCAUAGAUGAAUGAAAGGAAAUACUAAAAAUUGUUUACUGUCAAGAAAUUAACAUACUGAAACCUUAAAUUGACAAGAAAAGAAUCAACCAUAUCAAUAUUUCACUUCGAUUUGAAAGUGACUUACAACAGUUUCAACUUAGAAAAUGUGCCAAGUUGUUCUGGAAUUUGUCCUGAAAGUAGGCAGUUUCUCAAGAUCCUACAACCAAAAUGGAUAAUAGCAUGCAGUGGGUGUGGUAAAGGGAAAGAAAGGAUCUUAGGAAUUUAAUAUGUACAAGAAUCUUACAAUAUGGAUAAAUUUGUUUGGUUUUUCAGGAACUCAAGAGAAGAAUCUUCACCACUAAGAUCACCAAUUCUCCUAUAAAGGGCAAACAGAUGUCAAAUUUUCUUAUUUUGUACAUCAUCUCCAAUGAGAAAUGCACAAUUUGUGCGAAAGAAAAAGCCAGAGAAUAUCUAGCAAACUCAAUAGUCACAUUACAAUGUAUCGCUUGUUAUUUCAGGGCAAAAAAUACAGAAAAUGUGAUGCAAAAGAUGCAACUCAUAAUUUAAAGCCUUACAGGUCCUCCAGGUUGUUUAGAGCACUAAAACUGCUCGGUAUUGGACCUUGAAGCGAUGUACCUUGAAGUCGCCUAUGAGUAACAAAAUGCAAAAGUUCACAUAUGCAGCAAAAUUAGCAAACAUAAAUGAUCUGUUUCUUGAAGUAUAGUAGUGGAGUUUUUAAGGAAAAUCAUGCAUACAGGACCCUGAGCUUUGUAAGAGUCCCAAAAAAGUCUGGAAGCUUUCCAUUAAAGAGAUUAUCAGAUGCCCAUCUAAAAUGAACAACAGUUACAAAAAUAAGCUUGUGAGCUCAUUAAUAAAGUCCAAUUGUCAAAAACAGUGUUCAAUGAUCUACAGAGAAGUACAGAAUCUGAAGAGAUUUCAAGUUUGCAAAUUCUUGGGGAAUCUGUCCACUUACUCCACUGCUAUCAAUAUACCUAAAAGGAAAAUACAGUCAAUUAGUAAUCAGAUUGCACAUCCAAAAAGAAGAAUCAUGCUUUAAACUUGCAGCUAGGGAAACAAAUGCUACACCUCUGACUUGUGACUACUGUAGUCAAAGGUGCAGCAGAGAAAAUAUUGAUCUGUUAAAAGAUCUAUAAUUUAGCUUUCAUACUAUACAACUUACAAUUGCUCUAAGGAAGUCAAAUUUCCAAGGGUAAUGGGUAGCCGUCCAAAGAAAUUGUUUGAGCUAAAACUUCUGUCACAAGAAAAUUAGUAUUAAUUCAAAUAAAUGAAUCGGAAGAUUAGUAUCAAACACUUAAAAGACUGUGGGAUGUGUAUAGCACUUAACAGAGAAAGCAACUUGGUUAGAUUUCCAAGCUCUGGAGGUACAGGACCUGAGAGAUUGUUGAUGCCUAGACUACUGUUUCAUUAUCAUAACAUGUGGAAGACAGUUGUGAAUACCAAACAGUAAAAGGAAAUUCUUCGCAUUUAGUGAAAAACUUAGAAGCUCUACAAAUUACAAUCAUGUGAAGCAUAAUUACAGGUAUUGCAUCUUUGAUAAAUGUCCAAUCCCAGGAGGGAUGGACCCGUUUAAUACAUUUUGACCCAGAUUCCUGCAUCAUAAGCCAGCAUUUAUGAAUCAAUAUUAGAAUUUUAGAAAGUGGAAGAAAGGAUGUUAAGAAAAAUAGCGUCUUACAAGUCCAUCAGCUCCUUAAGCACAAACAAGUCACUGGGGAUCUCACCAGCAAUGUCCAAAGCAUAAAUCUUCCUGAAUUAUGUGCAAAUGGAAACAGUACCCUAAGCAUAAAUUAACUAUUCUAGCUAAGAACCAAUACAGAAAGGAAUGGUGAUUAUAAACUGACAGGUGAGUGAUGUGGCAGGUGUUGCCAAGGCAGUCACAAGCAACUCGAGGAUUAGCAUUUUCAUUAGCCCAUGUUGCAUUUUGAGCACAAGGAUCAGUAGUAAUAUUUAAUUUGCCUCUCAAGUUCCAGUAAUCUAUCAUCUUACUGAGGGCAGCCACUGAACAGCAAGGCAAAUACAGAAAUAAUUAAGAAAUCCCAUUUAACUAAAAGGAAUUUAAACUGUUUCAGAAAUAGAAAUUAAGCAAGACCUUCAUUAGGAUCAGUGGUGGGCUGUGCAGUAACAACCUGAAACACCCAAACGACAAUGAAAGAGAAGUUCAAGAUCCUCAUCACUGAGCAGCAACAAAUCACACACAUACACAGAGGGAGAAGGCCAGCAUCAAACUUAUAGAUGAAAAGACAAACCCAAGUGGAGAAAUUUAGAUUGUGAUUUAUUGAAGAUUCGUAUCCAGUGCAAUACCAGACAACAACAAAAAGCCAGUGAGGUCAAAAUUUCCAGUUUUAUAUAGUUAUUCAAUUUCAUGAGAAGUAUUAUCUUGACAAAAGCGGUGUGUCGUGUGCAUGAAAGUGAAGGCUGAACAAAAAAUCACCAAAAUGGGGUGGACUUUUACUCUUAAGCCUUUGACGUUUUCAUAUUGGGUACCAAAAGGUUGAGGUGUAGCAUUCUACUUCUGUAAUGGCUAAUCUAUUAUAUCAGCAGAAAAAGAUGCUUUUUGUCCCUUCUCUCUGAGUCUCUCUCGAACACAUGACCUCUUUUGACUCGUCUAAAUCUAGAAUCAGCAUGACGAAAAAGGGCGCAAAUUUCAUUGAAUUAAGAAGUUGGAAUUGGCAAUGGCAACUCUGUUAGUAUUGGGGGCUUGUCCCGUGGAAAAGAAAAUAAAGGGAAAAAAAAAACAAAUCUCGACUAGUCAAGCUACACGUGAAUGACUUCAGCCGGCAAUGAAUCUUUCUUUCUUUUUUUUUUUUUUUUCUAAAAAUAAAAUAGUUUAUUAAAAUAAUGGGCUUUUAAAAGUCCAAGUACUCGCAACAGAGCCUAAGGGUUACAGAUGUUCUAUAACUAUAAGCUCAUAUCCAUAUUACGGCCCAGUAAACAUAAAUUCUGGAAACCUGGAUUCAACUAUCCGUUAGAAAGAAUACGGUGGUCGUCUUAAUUUAUAAAUCGAUGAAAUUAAUUUAUAAAUUUUAAAAUAAAUUGUAAAAUAAUUAAAAUUUUAAAUUUUUUCAUUUUAUAAUAAAAUAAUUAACGUUAUGUUGCCUUACCAUUUUAAAUAAUUUUAUUAAUUUACGGAAUUGAUAGGCAUUUGGAUAAGAAAUGUUACAAAAAUAUAUAUGUAGCUACAUUGCUCAAUUUACAUUCAAUACAAAAUACUUAAGAAAAGCUUUAAUAAUUAAUUAAUUAAGCAAAUUAUUCUGCUUUUCCCCACAAAUUCUAGGGCUAGGUUAAGCACUUCUUCCCCACAUUCACUCAUUUUCUAUAACUAUUUAAUUAAUUUAUUCAUCAAGCAAAUAUAUAUUACAUUACAAAACAAGGCAUAAUGUAAUUUAUCAAAGAUUGCAACUCUCUAUAACUUCAACCUCCAUUCCUCAGCAACUCCAGACGAUGCACUGAUUCUAUGAAACUCCUGCAAAACCAUCAUUUUCAAAUCACUACGAUUUCAUUUCAAAUCAAUUAAAUUGAAUUUAACUUUUUUAAUGACUGAUUUUGAAAUCGAGAACUAUCAAGCAAAAUUUGACUGAUUUCCAUUGAGAAAAUUUAACAAUACUUACUGCCAUGGAAUAUCUCCUGCAAGUAGCCAAUCACCAUCUUUGUCUUGGUAUGCCAAUCUGUAAUUUGCAUUAUCUUUCUCAAGUUGUUGGCCUGUAUAUGGAGAGGAAAACACAGAAAAAGAAAAAGCAACCAAUUAAUUAAGACCUUGUUUGUGUACUCUGCAAAAUGUUCAUGACUGCACUUGAAUUUUAAGGCAUAAUCACUCACAUUUGCCAAACAUGGUGAUCAAGGAUCUUGUAAGUGUCUGAUAAGAAUGGAAAAGCUUAAGGUCAAUCUUCCUUGCAAUUGCCACUCCUUCCAUCUUCACCUUUACGUACUUGGAAUUAAUUAAGUCUGAUCCACCACCACCAGCCACCCGAUUAUUGACAAUCCGGCCGCCACUUGGUUGCUGGCGAAGCACCUUCUUCCUCCAUGAUUUAAUGGGCGGCCAGCCUACCACAAGAUCAUCUCCCUCCAUCACCUCUUCAUUCAUUCUACGUAUACGAAUUAAAUCAAACCGUCAAAUUCUAUAAACAGAGAAAAAAAAAAUCUGCAAGUAAUAAUGAUUAUCACACUACUCACUUGCUAAGACGGCAAGAGAGCCUCUUCUUUUCUCUCUUUUCAUCAUCUUCGUCAUUAGGAUGUCCACUCCAUAGAAGCAAAGACAAAGCUUGUGGUGAAUCUUUAAACUUUCCAAAUGCAUCUUCAAAGCUACGCUUCUUGUCCAACAAACAACCAUCAUGGCUCCAUGGCUUCAAACCCAGAAUUUGAUCAUGUGGGUCGAACCCUUUGUUGUUUAGGUUAGAGCCAUCAAUAGGAUUGUGGGUCGUUGAGAGGGAAAGAUCAAGUUGAAGCUCCAUAACUCAAGCAUAUAAAAACACAAACACAGAGCUCAAAGUAAUGAACAUAUGAAGAGCAAAAGCAGUAGAGAGAUGGUUGGUUAAAAGCUAAAGGUUAAACCAAUGGAGUUCGUUGUUUCAAACUGUGAAACACACACAUAUAUAUAUAUAUCGAAGUGGGAGAAAUGAAAGGGAGACAGACGAGAUUGGGGCUUGUCCUGAGGAAGGGAGGAAGUUAGGGACAGCAUGGAAGUUGGGUCGGGAAAAAGCCUGGCAUUGAUUCAGACAGGUAAGAAAAGGAUGCACCAGCGUAGUAAGACCGCUGAGCCCGGGCUCUAUGAGUCAUCUGCUACUCUUCCCAGUCUUUAGCCCUUUGUCUCUGCGUCCCCACUUCAACUUCAACGACCACAGCUUGCCUCUCUGUCUUAAUCAAUGAGAAAGUUAAUUAACUCCAAUAUAGUUCCAUACGUAAGAUAAAUGUUGUUUCCAUGUUUUCCUUUGAAAUCAAAAUUGAUUAGGUAAGUUUUCAACCUUGGAAAAAAUAUCUUACGUCUUUUUUUAUUAAAGACCACAUUCUGAAUUUUAAUGAAUAUUUUAGAACACACAUUUAAAUUAUCUAUUUUAUCAAAGGAUUUAUAUUCAUGCUACCUUAUGUUAAAAUUAAGACAUUAUUUUAAUUUCAAGCCCUGAUAAUGGUGUAUUUAGCUUAUGUUAAAUGAACAAAGGCAAUGUGUGUAGAUUAAUGAGAGAUCAGUUGGACGACAUAGAGAUAAAGAUUGAGCACAUGAUUCAGUUUGUAAACAAGUUGAAGAUGUCGGCAAACUUCCGUCAAACGUAUCAUGAUGCAUGAACUCUAUGAUUCAACCUAGAUCCAAAAAUAAUGGCUGACCCAGAGAACAUUCUCUGAUCAUCUUCUCCAUCAUAAUCAUAUUCUAAACUGACUCAAACUUCUUCUAUUAUCAUAAUAACGAUUCCCUCUGUCGGGGUUUACUUCUACAACUCUUCAACAGUCUCAGCUCAAUAAUUUCAGAGAGGAAUGAACUUGGACAACAGAACCUAAUAAUAAUCUACAAGUGUCUCUAUGUGUGUGUGUGUUUUGUGGUAGGGUUCCAAUAUAUUAUCAUAAUGAAGCAGCUCACGUUUGAAGCCAUGGAGUGUAGGCUUGUGAAGUUCACGUGACGGCCGCCGUGGGGAUGGGGUGCUGGCUCCGGAGACCCUGCAAGGACAGGCGUGGGUGGAGACUGGAGACAGGUUUAAACCAGUUUAGGAGGAAUUCUUUUUGAUAAGUCAAUCAAUCUGGUUUCUUGUUUGUGGUGGAACCCAGCAAGGAAGAGAGUGAUCUGUGAACAUUGUAAAUUUUUGCAUGUAGUUUUACUGUUGCCUAUAGCUGGCACUCAUAAAUUCAAACCUAAUAUUGUACAAGCUCUGGGACUUGGCUGUCUGGUUGGAGUUCGUGUCCGGGAAUUCAAUAGUUCAUCUAGAUAUAAAAUUGAUAAGAAGGUCAAAUCUGUCUCUGCAAAUUAGUAUCAACUUUAUUUGAGUUUGCUUGACCAGAGGAAGAAAGUUGAAAUCUAAUAUAUUUCAGAGUUAAAUUUGACAUAUUAACCAUAGAAAAGCUUUCUGAACAAGUAAAAUUGUGUAAUGAGGAAGCUUCCACUAAUUAGGAAACCACGGUUUAGGUUGAGUGGUUAUUGUCAUUUGUACAAUUAUAUUCUUCUUGAAAGAAUUUAUAUCUUUUUUUUUUUUUUUUUUCUGAGACAUUAUUAUGUUUGAUAAGCUUCACAGAAACAUUAUAGUUGUGUAAUUAACCUGUCCCAUUCAUUUGCGUAAUAAAGAUAAGCAAGUGAAACUAGGUUGUCACGGGCUGAUUCCGUGUCCAAAUUAAUGAUUUUAUUUUAAAAUUAUUAGAGUUGAAAUCAGAAGGAUUAUCUUUAUUAGAUCAAGUUUUAAUUCAAUUUCGAUUUGGAUUUGGAUAAUUUAGAUUUUGAAGUAUAUAAAAAACUUUACCCUGGUCCAUAGACAAAUGGAAGGACCCACAUGCUUUGAAACGCAAGUGGGCUUGCUCUUUGUACUCCAAAAGCAUUCAAUGUUGUAUCACCUCAAGAUAAGGUCUCCUUGGAAGAAAUCAAAAAGCAUUGCUAAAGCAGUAAAAGCUCAUCAAAGAAAAGGCUUCUCUCCUUCCCUGGCUUGGAGGAUAAGAAACUCUUUGAUUGAUUGAGACUGUCAUAUUUCUAUUCAAAGUACUUGGUAGUUUCACAUCACAUUUCAAUCACUUAUCACACUCACACUCACCUCACGAUUGAACCAUCUCUAGCAUUUGAACAUGUCCUCAAAUUUCCCUACCAAAGUUUUUAUACCUCUCAGUCACACGUGGUGGAGUGAGCAUCACCAGAAGGACGGUUUCUUUGAUAAUAGCAUCAGUACUGCCCCAUCAGUGGGUCUAUUUCAUGCUAACCUUGUUAAGACAAUUGCAGCAUCUUUCACCUGGCAAUCGAGAUCUCUGAGUUCAAACUCUUAAGAGAAACUAAUUCUAAAAUACCCGUAUGCUUCCCAACCAAAUAGAUCCAAGUGAGACCUGCCAAUUUCAUGCAUAUAGGGAGUUUACUGUGAUUCAUGUGUAAUUAGAAAUUUUAGAUUUAAGUUUGAUGCAUCAUUGCUCUAGACAUAUAGUCUCAAUUCCAUCAUUAGCUCGUUUAAUUCUUUGCUACUAGCCUCAAAGUUUCUUCUCAAUUAGGAUUGGGGGUAGGACACCAUAGUAAAACAUAAUGAUUUUUCUUUGUUUUUAUGCAUGAUUGGGUUAAGUAGCAAUCGCACUGGGUAAAUUUUUCUAAGGUGAUAAUUCUUUCUAUGUUUUGUGUUGAUCCUUAUCUUCCUUGUCCCUAUCCACGUCCUUCUGGAACAAUGCCAAUUCACUAUAUGCACUGAUGAUGUAUGUACAUGUUUUGGACCCCCAAACUUUAAAAAUCUAUAAACUAUUUACCCAACUGUCAAACUCACCCUUUGGAUGCCUCAACCAAAAUUCCAUAUGAACUUAAUGCAGUUGCUUAAUGCUUCCCCUGAAAAUAACCAAAAUUUCAAGAAUCAGUUUCAAAAUCUUGUCAAUGGGAACAAAUUGUUGGGCAGUUCUUCACUGCACAGAAAAGAAUAUUAUUAAGGUGCAGGAACAAGGAAAAUAACAGUAAAAUAUCUUUUGAAAGAUAAACAGUAACUAUUUAUGAUUGUGAAGAGCUGAUGGAGGAAAUGGACAUAAACUGCCUGGCCUAUGUUAAUUUUGCCUUAAUUGCAAUGGCAUCUUUAGGUGAAAUAACAUUAACUAAAGGAGAAAGAAGUUAUUUGAGAUGUUUCACCCAAGAGCUGAAAAUGAAGAACUUUCGGGCAUGAUUCCUUGGAUUUCUCCAACUUGGAAUCCAUUAUACUGCCACCUUAAAACUCGUAAUAACAAGCUGUCUUCUCCUAUCUGUACAAUCUCUUGCACGUUCCAGAUUAAUCAUCAAUCUUGAGCUUCUGAAAUUCGGUCUAUCAAUAGUUGCCAUAACCAAACCUCUCAUGUAAGUUACUGAAUGAUACCAUAGCAAAAUUAGUACAGUGCCUUGCAAGUUGGAUCUCAAAAGCUGGCGUUACCUCGAAAGACUCUGAUUCAUUCCAAUAAAACGUAAGGCAGAAAGCAUGAUUUCCCAAAUUGAAAGGUACUCAAUGCACUAUACAUUGAGUUGUACUUUCUAAUGUUAAGAUAAUGCCUUGCCUCUGUUUCAAAGGCAACAAUACAUUUAUGGUGUAUGCUAGAAGGCUCAAAGGGAAUAACAGAAUUGAUGACUCAGCAGGGCACGUUAGAGAGGCUAGUAGCAGGGGAGGUAUUUGCUGUAAUCAGAUUCUUUCUUUGGCUAUUUGGCUAUUAAUAUCAACAAAGAAACACCCAUUCAUCUCUCUCAGUUUGUUUUUGUCUAUAAACUGUUUCUUACUCUACCAAAGUGGUCCGACUUGCCGGCGUUAGUCCAUGCCGAGGACCAGAAUGGAGUCGCGUGAGUCGAUCAGGUGGAGAGGCACACGACAGCCUGGAAGAUGCUUUUGAAUCAUUUCGGCUGGAACAAGCUGCUUAUUGUUCCAAACAAGACCAACGUUUCACCAAAUUGGAAUCUCUCGUAACUUCCUUCAUUUGGGUAAGUCUGUGGCUUUGGAUGAUUUGGGUCAGGAUAUCAAUAUUUUUCAAAAUUGGAUUUGAAGACAGGAUAUCACCAGAUUUUGUAACGAUCCGGAAACCGGACCGCUACCGACGCUAGGAUCCAGGUCGACUUAAGGUCGCCGGGACUCGUAGCAAGUCUGCUAUACUGUCUGUGUAUAUGUACAAUCUCAUACAUGAUUAUACAUUUUCUGUAAAAGUAUAAAACUCUGCUCUAAACACGGCUCUACCUGUACAUGCACUAUCUCUGUACUUACAGAACUCCUUACUAGAGCUUGCUCUAGACGGGUUAAACUCAAUGGUAAGCCUGGUUUCCAUACUCAUAAAAACAUUUACAUAUAAUAAACAGAUCAUGUAUACCAAAAGGAUUUACAACACAUCUAGGUCUCGCACAAUACUAAUCUGUACAUAUUACAUGUCCACACUAUACUAUUACAAAACUCGUUACUCUUUCUGUACUCUUCUGACUUCCCCUGUACUUUGAUCCUGCAAGACUGGGGUUAAGGGAGAGGGGUGAGCUAUACUAGCCCAGUGAGUAGAACAGAUAAAACAUGUUAUAAACAUGUUCUCAUGAAAUGCAUCACAUCACAGACAAUUCACAUCAUCUCGGGUGAACAUGUCCCCAAAUAGUCCCGACAUCCUAAACUCGUGCCAGGCCGUAGAAUGGGGUCCUGGUUUUCCUGUACAUAUCAUAAUAACUUACCAUAUACUGUGCCAGGCCGUAGAAUGGGGUCCUAGACUUCCUUAUCUACCGUGCCAGGCCGUAGAAUGGGGUCUUGGACUUUCUCAGGGACUAAUGGAUCAUCCACUAUCACCCACAUCAACAAUAUCAAAUGCAAUGCAACAGAUUCGUGAUGUCUAAUGCAAUCAACCUAUUGCAUAUUCAUGGUGCAUGAGACAUGCUCAAAACAUUUAAUUUCUUCAUUUCAAACAUUAAGUUGAGUUCCACUCGCCUCUGGCUGACUCUGACCUAACUCUGAAGCAGUGCUCACUGCUGCUCUCUUUGGUGCCUCUGGUCCGUUCCUACACAGGUGGACUCAAAUGAGGGACCAAACUAGCUCAAGAACAACUCUAUAAAACUCCCCAAAACCCCCUUAAUACAUCCUCAAAGCAUCAAGAAAAACAAGCAAAAGAAGGCUGGACAGGGCACUUUCGGCGGCAGGUUCGGCAGCCGAAAGUCCCUUCCAGAACCGAAACUCAAGCACUUUCGGCGGCACUUCGGUUGCCGAAAGUCCUCCCCAGAGACGAAACUCAUGCAUGUUCGGCGGCACUUUCGGCAGCUGAAACUCCCCUCCAGAGCCGAAAGUCCAAACUUUCGGGGGCAAGCUUGGGCGAGCUUAGGCAGCCGAAACCACCUCCUUAGCAUGUUCGGCGGCCGAAACUGGAUUUGCCAGUAAGGCAGAAACUUGUUCUGCUUCAUGCAAACGUACCCAAUCUUCACUCAAACAUGUAACCCAACAUUCUACAACCUGCAUAUACUCAAGUAUAGGCACAAAGGGGUCCAAAACUAACUUAAAACCCCAACAAACAACACAACCAAACACAUAUACAUGCUUUGACCACAAAUCAACCAAAAACUCAACUUACCCUAAUCAUGCAUCUCUACCCAUAAACCUCCAUAAAACUUUCAUACAACAUCAAAGAAGCUAAGGAUCUACACUUACCUUUUGAAAAUCUAGAGGAUAUGUGAUCCUAACGUGGAGAUAUGGAGUAAUUCUCUCUCAAAGUCUCCAAGCUUCAAAAUCUUGGUUUUUAGCUCAAAACCUUCAAAACAACAUACAAACUCAUCAAAACUUUGAAAGAUUUGUAAAAGUCAUGAAGAUCACCCAAGGAAGAGCAUGGUCUCACCUCUGCCUGUGAAAAUGGAAGAAACUUAUCCAUUUCACCGACCUAGGGCCUUUUAUAGGUAGCUGGCCAGACCAUAUUCGGCGGCCUAACGUGAAUCCAAACUCAUGCAUGUUCGGCGGCUGAACUUUCACCUUCGGCGGCCGAACCUUGCAUUUCUUCCUUGGCUCUUUUCUUUCAAAAAAACUUAUUUCCUUUACACUUAAAACCAUUCAAACAUGCUAAAACAAUUUAGAAAACAUAUCUAUUACCCUUCUAGAGGGUUCCGACAUCCUGGAUUUCACCGGAAAAUAGAAUUCCGAUGCCGGACUCUAGCCGGGUAUUACAGAUUUAGUUAGCUUUGGAGAAUGCUUAUAAGACGGCUUUCUGAAAGCAUCGGGUCAUUACUAAUUCCUUGUAAUGCACUUCAGUCUUAGGAAUGCUCCAACUAAUUUUUAAUCAAGUAUGAAUGAUGUGUUUCGCCCAUAUCUUUGCCGCUUUGUGCUAUUUUAUUUCGAUGAUAUUAUAGUUUAUAGUCCUAGUUAGGAAUCUCAUUUGGAGCACCUUCGGAUAGCCUUACAGUUUUUUUCUUGCCUUUCAUCAAUUUUUUACCAACUAGAAGAAAUAUAGUUUGGGUAAGACUUCAAUUGAGUACACGAAUCAUAUAAUUUCUGCCCACGGUAUUGUCAUGGAUCCCUCCAAGAUUUUUGAGUGCCUUGCGGUGGCCAUAGCAAAAAACUAUCACUGCCGUCAGGGUUUUUUUGGGCUUAACAGAUUAUUACCAUCGUUUUAUUCGCAAUUAUGGGUUGAUUGCUUGACCAUUGAUAGCCUUAUUAUAGAAAAACCCUAUCUUCCUAUGGAAUUAUGUCAGUUGAAGUUAGCCAUUAUCUCUUUAUUAGUAUUGCAUAUGCUUGAUUUCACAAAGCAAUUUGUCUUGGAAUGUGAUGCUUCCAAUUCUAGUAUUGGCGCCAUAAUGCAAAAGGCACGUUCAAUUGCUUUUCUCAACAAAGCCCUUUCUUCCCAUACAUUGGCCACUUUGGCCUAUGAAUGAGAGCUGAAUCAUUGGCAUCCUUACUUAAUAGGACAAGUUUUUGUGGUUAGAAUAGAUAAAUGGAACCUUUGUUACUUAUUGGAACAACCUAUUAUAACUCUGGCUCAACAACGAUGGCUCCCUAAGCUUUUGGGACACCAUUUCACUAUUGAAUACAAGCCUUAAAAUUCUAAUCACGCAGUUGAUGCCCUUUCUCAAAAGGAAGAGGAGUUGUUAACUCUAUCUAUUUUUUCUUUUCCUACUUGGUUGGAUUGUGUUGGAUUGGAACUCACAAGCAGAUGAGAUAUCCAAGGAUUCUUUCCUCCAACAAAUCAUCUUUUACUUGGGUAGAGACCCUUCCCUUCAUCCUCAUUAUACUCUUAUGAAUCGCCUGUAUUUCAAGGAUCAUUUAGUACUUCCUGCUACCUUAUCAUGGAUUCCAAACUUAUUUCAGAAUUUCAUUCUACAUUAUUGAGAGGUCAUUCAGGUGCCUAUUAUACCUAUAGGCGGAUAACUACCUCUUUUUAUUAGUGAGGGAUGAUGAAAACGGUAACUCAAUUUGUGGCCGCUGGUUUGAUUUGUCAACGUGUUAAGUAUGACACUCAAUCUCUUGCUGGUUUUCUACUGUCGCUGCCUAUUCCACAAAAUAUCUAGGAGAACAUUGCUCUUGACUUCAUUACCGACUUGCCUCAUUCCAACGGUACUGAUUGCAUCCUAGUUAUUAUUGAUAGACUAUCAAAAUAUGGUCAUUUCAUUCCCCUAAAGCAUCCAUUUACAGCCAAGAGCAUAGCUGAAAUUUUCACAAAGGAGAUUAUUCGCUUGCAUGGUAUUCCUCGAAUCAUGGUAAGCACAAAGAUCCCAUCUUCCUUAGCUCCUUUUGGACCGAAAUUUUUCGCUUACAGAGAACUCAACUUCGUUUUAGUUCUGCAUACCAUCCACAAACGGAUGGACAAACAAAGGUUCUUAAUAGGACCAUUGAAACAAAUCUGCGCUUUUUUUUUCAGUGAACAACCGAAAACUUGGGCCAAAUGGUUAAGCUAGGUAGAAUGCUGAUAUAAUACAGGCAAGACACCUUUUGAGAUUGUGUAUGGUCGUUCCCUUCCCUCCCUCACUCAGUUUCUUCCUAGUGAAACAUGAGUUGAUUUAGUUGCUCAUUCCUUAGCUGAUCGAGGUUAAAUAUUGAGGCAAUUGAAGUUUAACUUACAUAAGGUCCAAUAACGAAUAAAAAACACAACAAACAAAAAACGUCAAGAUCUAAAAUUUCAUGUGGGUGACUAUAUUUUCCUCAAGCUUCGUCCUCAUUGAUAACAAUCUGUUUUUGCAAGAGUUAAUAAAAAAAUUAGUCGCCCAGUUCUAUAGUCCUUUUUAAAUAUUGGCUAAGGUGGGAACUGUUGCAUACAAGUUAGUAUUGUCGGUCUCUUCUCGAAUUCACCCAGUUUUCCAUGUGCCUCAAUAGAAAUGUGUCAUUGAAAAUUAUACUCUUGUUUCCAUCUUACCUGCAGACUUAGUUACUGAUGAGUUACCAAUGGUUGAACCGGUGUGUAAUACCCGGCUAGACUCCGGUAUCGGCAUUCCUACCGUCCGGUGGAAUCUCGGAUGUCGGAAGCCUCUAGUAGGGUAGAAUCAUGUUUUCACAAAUGUUUUCGUGUUCUAACGAUUUUUAAGUAAGAAUGAAUUUGAGUUUUUAAUGAAAAAGACCAUGGAACCUUUACCAGGUUCGGCCGCCGAAAGUCAUGUUCGGCCGCCGAACGUGGAUAGGUUUUGGGAGCACUUUUGGCCUCCGAAAGUUUGGUUUGAAAGAAACCAGGUUCGGCCGCCGAACCUCAUGUUCGGCCGCCGANNNNNNNNNNNNNNNNNNNNNNNNNNNNNNNNNNNNNNNNNNNNNNNNNNNNNNNNNNNNNNNNNNNNNNNNNNNNNNNNNNNNNNNNNNNNNNNNNNNNNNNNNNNNNNNNNNNNNNNNNNNNNNNNNNNNNNNNNNNNNNNNNNNNNNNNNNNNNNNNNNNNNNNNNNNNNNNNNNNNNNNNNNNNNNNNNNNNNNNNNNNNNNNNNNNNNNNNNNNNNNNNNNNNNNNNNNNNNNNNNNNNNNNNNNNNNNNNNNNNNNNNNNNNNNNNNNNNNNNNNNNNNNNNNNNNNNNNNNNNNNNNNNNNNNNNNNNNNNNNNNNNNNNNNNNNNNNNNNNNNNNNNNNNNNNNNNNNNNNNNNNNNNNNNNNNNNNNNNNNNNNNNNNNNNNNNNNNNNNNNNNNNNNNNNNNNNNNNNNNNNNNNNNNNNNNNNNNNNNNNNNNNNNNNNNNNNNNNNNNNNNNNNNNNNNNNNNNNNNNNNNNNNNNNNNNNNNNNNNNNNNNNNNNNNNNNNNNNNNNNNNNNNNNNNNNNNNNNNNNNNNNNNNNNNNNNNNNNNNNNNNNNNNNNNNNNNNNNNNNNNNNNNNNNNNNNNNNNNNNNNNNNNNNNNNNNNNNNNNNNNNNNNNNNNNNNNNNNNNNNNNNNNNNNNNNNNNNNNNNNNNNNNNNNNNNNNNNNNNNNNNNNNNNNNNNNNNNNNNNNNNNNNNNNNNNNNNNNNNNNNNNNNNNNNNNNNNNNNNNNNNNNNNNNNNNNNNNNNNNNNNNNNNNNNNNNNNNNNNNNNNNNNNNNNNNNNNNNNNNNNNNNNNNNNNNNNNNNNNNNNNNNNNNNNNNNNNNNNNNNNNNNNNNNNNNNNNNNNNNNNNNNNNNNNNNNNNNNNNNNNNNNNNNNNNNNNNNNNNNNNNNNNNNNNNNNNNNNNNNNNNNNNNNNNNNNNNNNNNNNNNNNNNNNNNNNNNNNNNNNNNNNNNNNNNNNNNNNNNNNNNNNNNNNNNNNNNNNNNNNNNNNNNNNNNNNNNNNNNNNNNNNNNNNNNNNNNNNNNNNNNNNNNNNNNNNNNNNNNNNNNNNNNNNNNNNNNNNNNNNNNNNNNNNNNNNNNNNNNNNNNNNNNNNNNNNNNNNNNNNNNNNNNNNNNNNNNNNNNNNNNNNNNNNNNNNNNNNNNNNNNNNNNNNNNNNNNNNNNNNNNNNNNNNNNNNNNNNNNNNNNNNNNNNNNNNNNNNNNNNNNNNNNNNNNNNNNNNNNNNNNNNNNNNNNNNNNNNNNNNNNNNNNNNNNNNNNNNNNNNNNNNNNNNNNNNNNNNNNNNNNNNNNNNNNNNNNNNNNNNNNNNNNNNNNNNNNNNNNNNNNNNNNNNNNNNNNNNNNNNNNNNNNNNNNNNNNNNNNNNNNNNNNNNNNNNNNNNNNNNNNNNNNNNNNNNNNNNNNNNNNNNNNNNNNNNNNNNNNNNNNNNNNNNNNNNNNNNNNNNNNNNNNNNNNNNNNNNNNNNNNNNNNNNNNNNNNNNNNNNNNNNNNNNNNNNNNNNNNNNNNNNNNNNNNNNNNNNNNNNNNNNNNNNNNNNNNNNNNNNNNNNNNNNNNNNNNNNNNNNNNNNNNNNNNNNNNNNNNNNNNNNNNNNNNNNNNNNNNNNNNNNNNNNNNNNNNNNNNNNNNNNNNNNNNNNNNNNNNNNNNNNNNNNNNNNNNNNAAGUCAUAUGUAUGUAAUAGUUAGAAUGUGGACAUGACAGUUUGUAUAAUGAUGUAUAGAUACGUGAUGUAAUGAUAUUGAGGUUAGAAGUGUGCUUGACCAUAGUAUGAUGUAAUCCCUUUUGAAACAUGAUCUUAAUGUUAUGGAUGUCUAUGUUUAGCCAACUCAACACAUGUUAUGCCCCCAUUGGGGGCAUUAAUGAGACCCCACAGAGGGGUCAAGUUUAUGAUUAUGUAUAUGUACAGUGCAUGCACAGGUUGAGUAUGGUGUAUGAUAGAAUGUAUGGAAAGAAAAGUUUUAGUUUUUUUUUUAUGUAUGUUGUUGAUCAUGUAUGGGAUUGUACAGGUUAUAUGUUAGGCUUGCUACGGGUCCCGGCGGCCUUAAGUCCACCCGGAUCCUAGCGCCGGUAGCGGUCCGAUUUUCGGGUCGUUACAGAAUGGUAUCAGAGCCCUAGGUUCAUAUGGUCGGACCUAGAGUGUCGGGCUCAUAGAUGUUAUAGAAGGUCAAGCACAGUAGUAAAGGUCAUGUCCACUAGGAUAGGAUGUGGAGUCCUGUCUUACAUGAUGAUGUGAAAUGCUAUGAUAUGAAUGAUAUGCCAUGAUGUGUGAUGCGGGUUCAUGUGUGCCCACAUGAACCAUAUGAUGCUAAUGUUUAUGUGAUGUGUACUGUUUUUCAGAAAACAGGAUGAGAGGAACUCGUCGAUCAGCAAGAUUGACUGGAGUACCACCUGAGGAUGAGGGCACGAGUGCCCGUCCUCCGGCAUUGCCUAGGGCAAUGUCUAGUAGGUCUGGCAGAGAAAGAGCAGUAAGAGACCCUAGAAGGUCUUUGGAUCUGGGUAGAAGCAGAUCAGUCAGAGGAACAGUUCAGGGAGGAGCGUCAGAGGACAUGGGAGAUGAUAUGGAUGUAGAGCAGAGGAGGGAUGGCAGUUUGGGAGUCAGUAUGUCAGAAGAAGGAAUGGGAGAAUCCCAAGGAGGCACUCAGGCCUCGGGAUUUGUUCAGCCACCUUACUACCCACCCUUCUCACAAAACCCUGGGUAUUCGAUGGGAGGCACAUCGGACUACCACAGCUUUAACCCUUAUCCCACACAGAUGCCAUACCCACCCUACUACCCACCAUAUUCACAGUACCCAAUGUAUCCGCCUCCACCUUACUAUCCAAAUCCAGCAAACCCUACCCCAGGGGAUGCUGCACCUCCUCCUCCUCCAGCAGAAACAGCAGCCCCAGUUACCCAACCUCCUAGACCUAGCUCAGCCAGUGGGAGCAAGGUCAAGAUGACCGACUACAUGAAGUUGGGUGCUCCCCAGUAUGAAAAAGGGGACGACCCGUUUGUGUAUCUGGAGAGGGUCAAGGUGAUCACAGACGAGAUUGGGGCUGAUGAUAGUAGAGCCAUUCAGAUGGCUGGGUUCACACUUAAGUGCAAAAAGGCACGAGAGUGGUUCAAGAAUUAUGUGAACCCGAAAGUGGAUAGCAUGUCUUGGGAAGAGUUUGCAAACGAGUUUGCAGGAUGGGCUUUCCCAGAUAGUUCAAGGGAGCUGAAGAUGAUAGAGUUUGAGCAGUUAAGGCAGACUGAUGAGAUGGGUGUGGAGGAGUUCACAGACAGAUUUUUGGAGCUGUUGCCUUUUGCAGGGCAAAGCCUUGACUCAAACCAGAAAAGGUCAAGGAGGUAUAUCAUGAAACUCCACUCCAGAUAUUCCUCCUUGAUCCAGUCAGCAGAUAGGGAGAGCUUCCAUGCCAUAGUGGAUAUGGCUCGGAAAAUGGAGGCUAGUGCCAUCGUUCAGGGGACAGUUAAACAGUCAGUGGCACAGCCUUCUGGUUCUAAGACCCCAGGCUCUUCUUCAAUGAGUGCAGCAACUUCAGGUAGCAAGAAGUGGGACAGAGGUCCCCGGAAGUCUAAGAAGAACAAGUUCUGGAACAAGGUUAAGUCCAGUCUGGGACUAGGGAGUGGCUCAAGCUCUGGUGCGGAUAAUGCAGUUUGUGCAAUGUGUGGUAAGCCACACAGAGGAGUAUGUCGGUUUGGGACGACGGCCUGCUACAGAUGUGGUCAGGAGGGGCAUAUGUCUCGAGAAUGUCCAAGAGCAGCCCCGAUGGCUCAGUCCCAGCAGACAGCUUCAGGCAGUGUAGCGCAGCCAGCAGCUCCAGCCAUGACGCAGGCCAGUGGCAGAGGCAGAAGGAGAGGGGCAGCCUCUUCUUCAGCGGGUUUUAGAGGUGAAGGUCCAUCAGCUCCAGCACGGAUCUUCACGAUGACUCAACAGGAGGCAGAUGCAUCUACCACCGUGGUGGCAGGUAACUUAGUCAUUGGUUGUUCAGAUGUGUAUGCCUUGAUGGACCCCGGUGCAUCUCAUUCUUUUGUUACACCGAGAGCCGUCCAGAGGUUAGGGUUGAUGAUCUCUGAGUUAGAGUGUCCUCUCUGGGUCAGUGGACCCAAGUGUGAUCCAUCAGUGGCAGAGUCAAUCUGCCAGUGUAGUCCUGCGUUUGUUGAGGGAAGAUGCUUGUCCGCCGACCUUGUGGUUCUAGACUUGACAGAUUUUGACGUCAUUCUAGGGAUGGACUGGUUAUCUACCCAUGGUGCUACCUUGGACUGCAGGGACAAGGUAGUCAGGUUCAGAGGACAGGAUGGGUCAGAGGUAGUCUUCAGAGGAGACAGGAGGGGUACACCUAGAGGUCUGAUAUCAGCUCUUCAGGCUCGUAGGUUGCUUAGGAGGGGAUGUCAGGGGUAUUUGGCUCAUGUGAGAGAGCUUAGCAGUCAGGUUAAAAAGCCCGCCUCGGUGCCAGUGGUUAGAGAGUUUCUAGACGUCUUCCCAGACGAGUUGCCAGGUUUACCACCUGCCAGGGAGAUAGAGUUCGAGAUAGAAUUGAUGCCUGGAACCCGACCGAUCUCUACCCCUCCCUACAGGAUGGCUCCAGCCGAGUUGAAGGAAUUGAAAGAACAGUUGCAAGAGCUGGUAGACAAGGGCUUCAUCCGACCGAGUACCUCACCCUGGGGUGCUCCAGUUUUGUUUGUCAGAAAGAAGGAUGGAUCCCUUAGACUUUGUAUCGACUAUAGACAGUUGAACAAAGUCACUACCAAGANNNNNNNNNNNNNNNNNNNNNNNNNNNNNNNNNNNNNNNNNNNNNNNNNNNNNNNNNNNNNNNNNNNNNNNNNNNNNNNNNNNNNNNNNNNNNNNNNNNNNNNNNNNNNNNNNNNNNNNNNNNNNNNNNNNNNNNNNNNNNNNNNNNNNNNNNNNNNNNNNNNNNNNNNNNNNNNNNNNNNNNNNNNNNNNNNNNNNNNNNNNNNNNNNNNNNNNNNNNNNNNNNNNNNNNNNNNNNNNNNNNNNNNNNNNNNNNNNNNNNNNNNNNNNNNNNNNNNNNNNNNNNNNNNNNNNNNNNNNNNNNNNNNNNNNNNNNNNNNNNNNNNNNNNNNNNNNNNNNNNNNNNNNNNNNNNNNNNNNNNNNNNNNNNNNNNNNNNNNNNNNNNNNNNNNNNNNNNNNNNNNNNNNNNNNNNNNNNNNNNNNNNNNNNNNNNNNNNNNNNNNNNNNNNNNNNNNNNNNNNNNNNNNNNNNNNNNNNNNNNNNNNNNNNNNNNNNNNNNNNNNNNNNNNNNNNNNNNNNNNNNNNNNNNNNNNNNNNNNNNNNNNNNNNNNNNNNNNNNNNNNNNNNNNNNNNNNNNNNNNNNNNNNNNNNNNNNNNNNNNNNNNNNNNNNNNNNNNNNNNNNNNNNNNNNNNNNNNNNNNNNNNNNNNNNNNNNNNNNNNNNNNNNNNNNNNNNNNNNNNNNNNNNNNNNNNNNNNNNNNNNNNNNNNNNNNNNNNNNNNNNNNNNNNNNNNNNNNNNNNNNNNNNNNNNNNNNNNNNNNNNNNNNNNNNNNNNNNNNNNNNNNNNNNNNNNNNNNNNNNNNNNNNNNNNNNNNNNNNNNNNNNNNNNNNNNNNNNNNNNNNNNNNNNNNNNNNNNNNNNNNNNNNNNNNNNNNNNNNNNNNNNNNNNNNNNNNNNNNNNNNNNNNNNNNNNNNNNNNNNNNNNNNNNNNNNNNNNNNNNNNNNNNNNNNNNNNNNNNNNNNNNNNNNNNNNNNNNNNNNNNNNNNNNNNNNNNNNNNNNNNNNNNNNNNNNNNNNNNNNNNNNNNNNNNNNNNNNNNNNNNNNNNNNNNNNNNNNNNNNNNNNNNNNNNNNNNNNNNNNNNNNNNNNNNNNNNNNNNNNNNNNNNNNNNNNNNNNNNNNNNNNNNNNNNNNNNNNNNNNNNNNNNNNNNNNNNNNNNNNNNNNNNNNNNNNNNNNNNNNNNNNNNNNNNNNNNNNNNNNNNNNNNNNNNNNNNNNNNNNNNNNNNNNNNNNNNNNNNNNNNNNNNNNNNNNNNNNNNNNNNNNNNNNNNNNNNNNNNNNNNNNNNNNNNNNNNNNNNNNNNNNNNNNNNNNNNNNNNNNNNNNNNNNNNNNNNNNNNNNNNNNNNNNNNNNNNNNNNNNNNNNNNNNNNNNNNNNNNNNNNNNNNNNNNNNNNNNNNNNNNNNNNNNNNNNNNNNNNNNNNNNNNNNNNNNNNNNNNNNNNNNNNNNNNNNNNNNNNNNNNNNNNNNNNNNNNNNNNNNNNNNNNNNNNNNNNNNNNNNNNNNNNNNNNNNNNNNNNNNNNNNNNNNNNNNNNNNNNNNNNNNNNNNNNNNNNNNNNNNNNNNNNNNNNNNNNNNNNNNNNNNNNNNNNNNNNNNNNNNNNNNNNNNNNNNNNNNNNNNNNNNNNNNNNNNNNNNNNNNNNNNNNNNNNNNNNNNNNNNNNNNNNNNNNNNNNNNNNNNNNNNNNNNNNNNNNNNNNNNNNNNNNNNNNNNNNNNNNNNNNNNNNNNNNNNNNNNNNNNNNNNNNNNNNNNNNNNNNNNNNNNNNNNNNNNNNNNNNNNNNNNNNNNNNNNNNNNNNNNNNNNNNNNNNNNNNNNNNNNNNNNNNNNNNNNNNNNNNNNNNNNNNNNNNNNNNNNNNNNNNNNNNNNNNNNNNNNNNNNNNNNNNNNNNNNNNNNNNNNNNNNNNNNNNNNNNNNNNNNNNNNNNNNNNNNNNNNNNNNNNNNNNNNNNNNNNNNNNNNNNNNNNNNNNNNNNNNNNNNNNNNNNNNNNNNNNNNNNNNNNNNNNNNNNNNNNNNNNNNNNNNNNNNNNNNNNNNNNNNNNNNNNNNNNNNNNNNNNNNNNNNNNNNNNNNNNNNNNNNNNNNNNNNNNNNNNNNNNNNNNNNNNNNNNNNNNNNNNNNNNNNNNNNNNNNNNNNNNNNNNNNNNNNNNNNNNNNNNNNNNNNNNNNNNNNNNNNNNNNNNNNNNNNNNNNNNNNNNNNNNNNNNNNNNNNNNNNNNNNNNNNNNNNNNNNNNNNNNNNNNNNNNNNNNNNNNNNNNNNNNNNNNNNNNNNNNNNNNNNNNNNNNNNNNNNNNNNNNNNNNNNNNNNNNNNNNNNNNNNNNNNNNNNNNNNNNNNNNNNNNNNNNNNNNNNNNNNNNNNNNNNNNNNNNNNNNNNNNNNNNNNNNNNNNNNNNNNNNNNNNNNNNNNNNNNNNNNNNNNNNNNNNNNNNNNNNNNNNNNNNNNNNNNNNNNNNNNNNNNNNNNNNNNNNNNNNNNNNNNNNNNNNNNNNNNNNNNNNNNNNNNNNNNNNNNNNNNNNNNNNNNNNNNNNNNNNNNNNNNNNNNNNNNNNNNNNNNNNNNNNNNNNNNNNNNNNNNNNNNNNNNNNNNNNNNNNNNNNNNNNNNNNNNNNNNNNNNNNNNNNNNNNNNNNNNNNNNNNNNNNNNNNNNNNNNNNNNNNNNNNNNNNNNNNNNNNNNNNNNNNNNNNNNNNNNNNNNNNNNNNNNNNNNNNNNNNNNNNNNNNNNNNNNNNNNNNNNNNNNNNNNNNNNNNNNNNNNNNNNNNNNNNNNNNNNNNNNNNNNNNNNNNNNNNNNNNNNNNNNNNNNNNNNNNNNNNNNNNNNNNNNNNNNNNNNNNNNNNNNNNNNNNNNNNNNNNNNNNNNNNNNNNNNNNNNNNNNNNNNNNNNNNNNNNNNNNNNNNNNNNNNNNNNNNNNNNNNNNNNNNNNNNNNNNNNNNNNNNNNNNNNNNNNNNNNNNNNNNNNNNNNNNNNNNNNNNNNNNNNNNNNNNNNNNNNNNNNNNNNNNNNNNNNNNNNNNNNNNNNNNNNNNNNNNNNNNNNNNNNNNNNNNNNNNNNNNNNNNNNNNNNNNNNNNNNNNNNNNNNNNNNNNNNNNNNNNNNNNNNNNNNNNNNNNNNNNNNNNNNNNNNNNNNNNNNNNNNNNNNNNNNNNNNNNNNNNNNNNNNNNNNNNNNNNNNNNNNNNNNNNNNNNNNNNNNNNNNNNNNNNNNNNNNNNNNNNNNNNNNNNNNNNNNNNNNNNNNNNNNNNNNNNNNNNNNNNNNNNNNNNNNNNNNNNNNNNNNNNNNNNNNNNNNNNNNNNNNNNNNNNNNNNNNNNNNNNNNNNNNNNNNNNNNNNNNNNNNNNNNNNNNNNNNNNNNNNNNNNNNNNNNNNNNNNNNNNNNNNNNNNNNNNNNNNNNNNNNNNNNNNNNNNNNNNNNNNNNNNNNNNNNNNNNNNNNNNNNNNNNNNNNNNNNNNNNNNNNNNNNNNNNNNNNNNNNNNNNNNNNNNNNNNNNNNNNNNNNNNNNNNNNNNNNNNNNNNNNNNNNNNNNNNNNNNNNNNNNNNNNNNNNNNNNNNNNNNNNNNNNNNNNNNNNNNNNNNNNNNNNNNNNNNNNNNNNNNNNNNNNNNNNNNNNNNNNNNNNNNNNNNNNNNNNNNNNNNNNNNNNNNNNNNNNNNNNNNNNNNNNNNNNNNNNNNNNNNNNNNNNNNNNNNNNNNNNNNNNNNNNNNNNNNNNNNNNNNNNNNNNNNNNNNNNNNNNNNNNNNNNNNNNNNNNNNNNNNNNNNNNNNNNNNNNNNNNNNNNNNNNNNNNNNNNNNNNNNNNNNNNNNNNNNNNNNNNNNNNNNNNNNNNNNNNNNNNNNNNNNNNNNNNNNNNNNNNNNNNNNNNNNNNNNNNNNNNNNNNNNNNNNNNNNNNNNNNNNNNNNNNNNNNNNNNNNNNNNNNNNNNNNNNNNNNNNNNNNNNNNNNNNNNNNNNNNNNNNNNNNNNNNNNNNNNNNNNNNNNNNNNNNNNNNNNNNNNNNNNNNNNUGUGGACAUGACAGUUUGUAUAAUGAUGUAUAGAUACGUGAUGUAAUGAUAUUGAGGUUAGAAGUGUGCUUGACCAUAGUAUGAUGUAAUCCCUUUUGAAACAUGAUCUUAAUGUUAUGGAUGUCUAUGUUUAGCCAACUCAACACAUGUUAUGCCACCCAUUGGGGGCAUUAAUGAGACCCCACAGAGGGGUCAAGUUUAUGAUUAUGUAUAUGUACAGUGCAUGCACAGGUUGAGUAUGGUGUAUGAUAGAAUGUAUGGAAAGAAAAGUUUUAGUUUUUUUUUAUGUAUGUUGUUGAUCAUGUAUGGGAUUGUACAGGUUAUAUGUUAGGCUUGCUACGGGUCCCGGCGGCCUUAAGUCGACCCGGAUCCUAGCGCCGGUAGCGGUCCGAUUUUCGGGUCGUUACACGGUGGCUAUUUUGAAUACAAGUAUCAUUUAUACCGGUCCAACAACUCUUAGUUCACUGGGUGGACUAAUUAAUUGAGAAUGCUACUUGGAUUGACACAGCGAAUUUCAAGGGUCAAUUUCCUUUAUUUAGCCUUGUGGACAGGGCUUUUUCUUCAGGGGAUGUGAUGUUAGAAAGGCAACAAUAUAAAAGGACCUAAAACCAUUUAUAAUUUAUUUUAGAAGCUCAAAGGAAAUAACGGAAUUGAUGACUUAGCAGGGGAAUGUGAGAGAGGCUAGUAGCCGGGAGACGUAUCAAUUAUAACAAAGAAACUUUUGGCAUUGGCGUUGCUGUUACAGACUAUAAUACGGGGCAUGUCAAUUUCUUCAGAAGGCCAUUUACGAUCAUGUUCCCAAGUAAUAUCUUCAAUUAGUAAGAGAUAACUGAACCAUUAUAUAUAUUUCGAGUAACGAAUUACAAUAGAACUUACACCAGCACUAAGAACAAAACACCAACAGAGAGCAAGCUGUUUUGGUGAGAAGUUCUGAAGUAACAUUCACCUAAAAGAAUACUACAAGAGUUCCAGUGUUCUUAAAUUGAGAAGAAAACAGUUCUGUAACUCGAGAAGCUUCUAAAUUCUGAUUAUACUCGACCAACUCAAUUCCAUUCCAAUACCUAGUGAUACGUUUUCACCCAGAAUCAGCAACAGUAAUAUAAGAGAACAAAUAAAUUCAAAGAUAAAUCUUAUUUGCCGAUGACUUUGAUGCAAUUAUAAGAUUUUUUGAAUCACCUUCAUUCCUGAAAAACACAAACGGUUGCAGCCGCCGUUGAGAGUUGCCGGAGCUUGAAGGAUGUCGGCAGAGGCUUAGAACCAGGCUUAAGCCAAGCGAGUAUUACAUUUCCAGCUUAUUCAUUUUACUUUGAACCACUUCGAACUCAAAUUAAAAUUUCAUUUUUCUUAAUUACAUUAACUAUAAAAUUAGUACUUAAUAAACCACAAUUACAUUGAUAUAAGGCGAAAUAAAAUUAGAUCAAAAUAUAAUUCUUGAAUUUUAAUUAAUUUGAAUCAAAAUUAAAUCUAAAUUAAUGAUUAGUUAUACUAUAAAUUAUGUGACAAUCAUCAUCAAAGGAUUAAUCUUUUAAUUAUUUUUUCAAAUUAAAGAAUGCUUCCUAGCGGGUCUAAUGUAGACGGGUCAAUAACCCGUAUCCACCGGUGGGUAAUCACGCACGUUUGCACGUGCAAACACACCUUCCUAAGGAUCUUGUCCAUUGCAAAUCUCAGCGUUUUGUGUGGCGAAGAAAUGACAAAUGAGAUAGCCUUUCUUUUCGCUUCCACACAAAAUCUUCCCUUCAAGCUUUCACUCGAUUUCAGUAUCAUCGUCUCUGAUUCAAGAAAAGCUCAAGCCCCAAAUUGCAAUCCACCAGCCAUGGCCGCCGUGAUCAUGGCUUCCUCCAAACCCAUCAUUCCACUCUCUUCUUCUCUCCCCACCACCACAAGACCCAGACUUCAAAUCCCCCAACUCUCCCUCCCUAUUAAAAUCCUCCCUAAAAUCACUAAAACCCAACUCGCACGCCUCUCCUCUUCCACCCUCAAAUCCCUCUCCCUCCUUGCAGCCACCUCCUUCACCUUCGCACCGCCCUCUCUCGCCGAAGAAAUAGAGAAAGCUGCUCUCUUUGACUUCGACUUGACUCUCCCAAUCAUGAUGGUCCAGUUCUUGAUCCUCAUGGUAACACUCGACAAGCUCUACUUCUCUCCUCUUGGUAAAUUCAUGGACGAGAGAGACGCGGCGAUCAAGGAGAAGCUGGGGAGCGUGAAGGACACAUCAACAGAGGUGAAGCAGCUGGAGGAGCAGGCAGCGGCGGUUAUGCGGGCUGCAAGGGCGGAGAUAUCAGCAGCGCUUAACAAAAUGAAAAAUGAGACGCAGGCUGAGUUGGAGGAAAAGCUGGCUGCUGAAAAGAAGAAAAUAGAGGCAGAAUUGCAAGAGGCAUUGGGCAAUUUGGAGAAGCAGAGGGAGGAAACUAUCAAAUCACUGGAUUCCCAGAUUUCUGCUCUCAGUGACGAAAUUGUGAAGAAGGUCCUUCCUGCUCAAUAAAUCCAUCUUUCUCUUUAUCUCCGAAACCUUAAAUUACUUAUAUUUUUUUAAUAUAUAAGCAUUGACAGUUAAUGUAAUCAUCCUAUUGAAAGAAUUUCUUUUCUUUUCUUUUAAUUAUUAUUUAUUUGUUAUUGUUUAAUUUUAAUUGAUUAUGUAGUUUAUAUGUCAUGUUUUGUAUAUAUUAAGAUUUUCAGAUUCAAUUGAGUUUGAAAAUUGAUAAAGACAGAAAUUAAAGAGUUUUAAUAUUAAAUGGGAAUUGAACUAGGAAUUUUUAUUUAGUUUAAUUUUAAGAAAUUUUUAUUAUUAAUGUAAAACUAUAUAAAUUAAUAUUAGUAAGUUAAAUUAAGAAAUAAUUUACUUCAUAAACAAAGUUUAUAUUAACUUUUCAAUUAUAUUAAAUUUUAUUAAUUUGAUAAUUGAUGAGAGGUUAAUAAUAAUCAAUUUAUAUAUUAAUUAUUUAUUUAAAUGAAUUUAAAUAACAUAUAACAUAUAUAUAAAUUUUUAAUUGAUUGGAAUAUGAGUGAAUUUGGAUAGUAUAGGAGAAUUUUUCAGUUGGCUUAGGGAGGAAUUUUCCACAAAUUAUUGAAAGCUGAGCGAGAGAAACGGAGACGUUAAAGGGACGUUGAUUUCCAUUUUUGGCAACGAUCAAACAAACAAUAAAAGGCUAUUUCUUCUUCUACGUUACUCUCACUAAUUACAUUGAAUUUUUCGUACUAAUCAUUUUCUCCGUCUCAAAUCAUUUUCCUUUUCAACCAAUCACUCGCCAAUAAUGGCAGAUUUAAAAUUUUUUACAUAAAAAUAAUAAAAUAAAAACUAAAAUUAAUUUUUAUUUGUAUUUAAUUUCAAAUUUAAAAAAUAAAUUAUAAUAUAUAAAAUUUUUACCAACAUUAUUCAAAUGUAUAAAUUGAUUUUAAGUGGGAUUCAUUAAAUUAAUGAAUAAUAUUUACAAAUUCUUCUGAUAUAAUUGGAUAUUUAAAUUUGAUAUUUUAUAAUUCUGUAUUUACAUUAAUUAUAUCUUAAUUAUAAUUAAGUAAUUAUAUUAUGUUUGUUUUUUCUUUUAAUUGUUCGCUGAAUUAAGGGCCCACCCUGACGAGAAACCCGUCUCUUCUCAUGAUAGUAUGGUAUUUCUCUCCCUCUGUCGAUUCCUCUCUGUUUCUGGGUUGGAUCUUCCUUCAAAUUCCAUACAAACAAACACUGUCUUCGUCGUCGUCUUCUUCUUCUUCUUCUGUCGUUGCAGAGUUCUCUCUCUCUGUUCUUUGAUUUUCAACUUAACGAUCUUGCUCCCUUUUCAGCUUUCAUUUAUAUCAUUCGUCGAUAUUUGCAAGGCUUUUUAAGCCUAAAAACUCUCUUGCUCUGUAUUGCUCGUCCAUUCCACUGUUUUUUUGUAAGUAUUAUUUCAUUUUUUUUUAACUAAAUAUACAGUUAAGAGGGAAAAUCUAUCUCUGUUUCUUCACAAGAAGAAAAUUGAAUUCUUAACACUUACAUUUUUUCCCUUCUUCUUCGCUUUCCCGGAAUCAAGGAACAUAUUUAAUUUCAUUUUCUUUAUGGCUAUGUUUAUUCUUUUACGUUAUACUGGCUUAUGGAUUCUUUGAAUAAUAAAUAUUUCACAUUUUUCCUUCUCAUUUUCUCGAUUACUGAUCGUUUGGUUUUUAAGAAUUUUAUCUCAUUAUGAUGACUGUUGUAUUAAGCUACAGUUUAGUGAGUGUUGGCCUUUGCUUCCCGGUAAUCUAGGGUUGCCAGCUAACACAGGAACUUAAUGAUUCCGAUGUAAUUUCUGCUUGUUGCACAAUUGAGAUUUGUUUGCCUUGAUCUUUUCUGUUCAAUGUCUUGCUUCUACCAGUGAAUACGUGAAUAGCCCGAGUAAUCUCACAUUUAAAUCUGUGCCAUUGAUUGUAUUCAAUUUUGUGUCCAAAGUAUUAACAUAUAAUUUUUUUUCUUUAUAAUUCUCGAAAAGAAAAAGGUCCUUUCUUUAUAUAUCAGAUAGCAAUAUAGCUCGUUCGACUACUGCUUAAAAUGGCAUUGGGUAUGAUUUUAGGAAGAUAUUGAUUUAUCUUUAUCUUUAUGUAUAUGGCAGUCGCUAAGUCUAUUCUUCUCUCCCUAGUUGAAAUUUAAUCAACUUUAUUUUUCUUUCCCAGACAUAAUGGCUGGAAAAUUUGUUCCUGCUCAACCUCCUACUUUUGAGUUUAAUCUUUUUGGAGGUGAUCUAGAAAACCAUAGAACUAUUGAAGCCUCAUCACGCCACUCAACUCCCUGGAUUGACCCUGCAAAUCUGAAAUUCAGGCAGAGAAUAGGAAGGGGUCCUUUUGGUGAUGUCUGGUUAGCCACUUAUCAUCAAUCAACUGAAGAUUAUGAUGAGUAUCAUGAAGUGGCUGUGAAGAUAUUAUAUCCAGUGAAGAUGGACCAUGAGAAGGUUCUGUUGGAUAAAUUUGAUGAUUUAUUUUUGAAGUGUAGAGGGAUUGAAGGUGUGUGUUUGCUUUAUGGAAUUUCAAUUAUAACCAGCAAGGUGAGUCACCAUAGUUGAUAUGCAUUUUCCUUCUCAUUGUUAGCUUGGCUUAUAACAAUUUAACUUCAUAACCCAUUGCAGUUAUGCAUUGUUAUGAAGUUCUAUGAGGGAUCAAUUGAUGACAAGAUGGCCCUCCUCAAAGGAGGCAAGCUAUCAUUAGCUGAUGUUUUGAGGUGCUGUGCAUCACAUCUUUUCUCUUCCUCUUACGGCUUAAGAUUGAAAUCCUCAAUUUUUGCUGAUAUUUGUGCCUUACAGGCAUGGGAUUCAGUUGGCUCAGGGAAUUUUAGAAUUGCAUGCAAAGGAAGUCCUAGUUUUUAACCUUAAACCUUCAAAUUUCCUUCUAGACGAAAAUGAUCAAGUAAUUCUUGGAGAAGUUGGUAUUCCUUACUUACUGCUUGGAAUUCCUUUGCCAAGCUCAGAUGUGUCUCGCAGGCUUGGAACCCCAAACUACAUGGCUCCAGAACAGUGGCAGCCAGAAGUAAGAGGUCCUCUAUCAUUGGAGGUUGACUCGUGGGGGUUUGCAUGCAGCAUUGGGGAGAUGUUGACUGGUGUUAGGCCUUGGUGUGGGAGGACAAUUGAAGAAAUUUAUGACUCAGUGGUUAUCAAGCAAGAGAAACCACACCUUCCAGAUGGCCUUCCUCCUCCAGUUGAAAAUGUCCUUCGUUGUUGCUUUGACUAUGAUUUCAGGAAUAGACCCUUAAUGAUUGACAUAUUACGUGUUUUUAAAAGGUAGUAUGUCAUGCAUCUUUUUUUCUCAACUCUGAUAUGAAAUGGUUGCCUUAUCAUUUCCAUCUGUUUGAGCCACAACUUGCAGCUCGCAUAAUGCAAUUUAUGGUGAUGGAGGCUGUACAGGACUUGGAAGUGGAACAACCUCAAACAAAUCAAGUGGCAGUGGAUACUCAAAGUGGUUUCUUUUGAAGGAUCAUCUGCUAGUGGGAGACACUGUACGCUCCAGAAAGCCACCAAAUGCACGCAAGUCUGAAAAUAUGGAUGUUCCAGAAGCAGUAGUAGUGAGCUUAGAACAUGAUGCAGAUCAGGAUGGUUCUGCUUCGGUGAGAAUCCAUGGCAUCGAUGAUCCAUUAAUAGUUCCAAUUUCAGCCCUGGAGCGGAUCACUUUUGGAUUUGCAGCUGGGGACUGGGUACUGUUGAAGGAGGAAGAACAAAAGCACUCACCAAUAGGUAUACUUCAUUCCAUCAAUCGUGAUGGAAGUGUAGCUGUAGGAUUUAUAGGAGUUGAAACGUUUUGGAAAGGCAAUUCUUCAGAGCUUCAAAUAUCAGAAUCCUACUGUGUGGGUCAGUUUGUUACGUUGAAAGCUAAUGUUCUCAGCCCUCGAUUCGAAUGGCCUCGUAAAAGAGGAGAAGCCUGGGCUACAGGGAAGAUUUGGCAGAUCCUUCCAAAUGGAUGCCUCAUUAUCAAGUUCCCUGGGAGAUUAACUUUUGGAGAGGAAUGUAGCUCAUUUUUAGCUGACCCAGCUGAAGUUGAAGCUGUUUCUUUUAGAACUUGCCCUGGCGUGGUUAAAAAAUAUCAACAUCUUGAGGAUUUUCAUUGGGCAGUGAGACCACUUGUGAUAGCAUUGGGGCUCUUCACUGCUAUGAAAGUAGGACUUUUUGCGGGGAAGAAAAUGGUGGUUUCCAAAGGGAAGAAGCUACAGAACAGUAUGCUACUAAUGGAUGGUGAAAACGUGGAUGGCCGGUGUAGUGGCGAUAGUGCAAGCCCAGCAUGGUUUUCCGGCACCUGUGGCAAAAAUCCUUGGUGUUGACACUGCUGGUGCUCGGUAGUUAAGCUUCUUAAGUUUGCAGAUAUCUAUAGAUAGCUAAUUAUAGCUGCACAUGAAUUAGCCAUUCACAUUCUGCAUUCUGUUUUAUUUAUUUAUUUUUGGAAAGCUGGGUCCAGGAUGACUUUCUUUGGUCUUGGCUUCUUUGCACUAAAAGCCAAGCCAAUGAGAUUUGGGAGCUUGAAGCUAAAAUCACAUCAAGGCACAAAAAUUUCAUUCAAACAUAUCUAAUUAUAGUAUGGAUAUCACCUCUUGUUCCGAUUUAAGUUUAUACCAACAUGAAAAGGACAAAGGGUUUGAAAUUAAAUUGAUUUAAUUCAGAUUUAUUUUUUAUCAAAAUUGAUUUUAUAUUAAAUUAAAAUCAAUGGAUGAAUCUGAUUCAAAAUUUAUUUUCUUUUUAAAAAAAUUUAAUCAUUAAAUUUAAUUAAAGUUAAAGAGAUUCUAUAAUCUAAUUUGAAUCCCUCCAAAUUUUAAACUAAGGCCCUGUUUGGUUGGAGAUAACUCAAGUGAAGAAUUUAAAAUUCUCAAAAAAUAUGAAAAUUAUUUUUAUUUAAUUAACAUUUUUUCUUAACUUUUCACAAAAAAAUCAAUAGUUUUGCUGAAUAACUUAUUUAUCACAACUUAGUUAAAGUUAUUUCUUAAAAAGUCAUUUCUAAAAAAUUAAUACGUUUAAUCAAAUAGGACCUAAAAUCAAACUAAACCUCGGGCGAAAGAAACACCGCCUCUUCUCUUUCUAUUCAAGAUACAAGAAGAAAUGGUUCCACAAUAACUUGAGUUGGAAAAAAAAAACCUAGAAAUUUAAUACAUUGUAAUUAAUGGUAUGCAAAAAUUCAUUUUUAGAGAUAGCAAAAAUAUUUUUCUUUAAAAAGAAUUUCAAAUUUUGAAAACCUCUCAUUAUUUUAAAGGAACUUCCCAGUACUUCCAACAAAAGACUUGGUUCUCAUAUGUAGAUUUAUAAGAUUCAAAUCAUUGAAUAAUUAAAAUUCAUUUUCUUUAAAUUAAAAUCACUUAAUUAACUCAAUUGAUUUUGAAUGACUAAUUUGAAAUUUUAGGUAACAUCUAAAUUUUUGUUUAUUGGAAGCGUAAGAGAGGGAGGAGGGAACCAUAAUCUCCCCCAAAUUCAACCUAUACAACUAAAGCUAGACAACGUUGACCAGCAAAAUUUAAAUUGAUAUCUUAAUUAUAAUAAAAUUUUUAGAAAUUCAAAUCAAAUGUAUUGGAUUUAGAAGUACUUGGUAAGCAUUUCUUUUACUUCUAAAUCUUUUUUAUAUAUAAAAUACUUUAAAAACAGAGAGAAGCAAUUAGAUUAUAUUGGGAGAGCAUAAUUGUUACAUAAUGAAUAAAUAGAUCUUGUUAAAAUAAGCAUCCAUCACCCAAGUAUGGUCGGUUGAAUUGCAUACCAUGGAUGUCAAAGAAUCCAUCUAUUAUCUAUCCAUGAAAAACAAACAUCAGACUAGAUGGAGCUAGAUUGUGACCACUUUUACACUGCAGAAAUAAUCCACUGACCAAACACAAACUUCAAUGGAAACUAAAAUUGCAGCCAUCUUUUUUCAAGUUUUAUGUACAACUCACUAUGAGCUCUGCUUCAGUAUACACCAUAACUCGGUAAUUAUUAGUUUGAUGCCUUAGCAAGUUGUAUAGUUGACACCACCAUGAUUAAGACUCCAGAACCCAUUUUUAGAGCCAUACAAGUAACAUGGUCUGAGCUACAUUCUUAUGCUGACACCUUAAACAAAUAGAAAAGAGAACUAAGUUAUGCCUGAAAGGGAUGAAUUUAUUUCGUACCUGAUAACCGGAAACUCCAGUCAUUAAUGACCUUAAUGAAUUUAUUAAAGAAGCCCCUUCCUCUUCCUCCUCAUCUUGCUUCUCUUCUUGUGCAUCUUUGUUAUCAGAUCGCCAAUAGUGACAUGUAACAGAAUUGGAAAGAAUUAAUUGGAUUAAAAGCUUGUGUAGAAAAAACAAGUCUCAGUUUACAUUCAUCAUACAGCAAGAAUCGGCACUACUAGAAUUGACUUGAUAGUUGACACCCAACAAGGUUAUGAUCACAUUCUGAAGAAAAUAGUUAACAUCUAUAUGCCUAUACACAGAAUCAGGUGACUAGCUUCACUAUCCCAUUAGGCUUCACCAACAACAACACCAGCUUCUUUCACCAGCUGCUCAGUCAAAGCUGAUAAUCGAGCAACUCCUGUUUUAACCUCCUUCAAACAUUCAUUGUUCUCAAAAAUGCUUAUCUUAGAAUCAGAGCUACUUUGUGUGAACAUAUCAACAUUGUCAUCAGCCUCAACGCUUAGAUUAGCUUUAUUCAGAAGUUCUCGACUCAUCCCAGCAAGCUUUUGUAGAGCACAGGUUGCAGCUUCUACUUCCAGUUGAGCUGCCUCUAGUUGAAGCUUCUCGAUAGCCCAGUCCCCAAUACUUUUCUCACCAAUUCUCUCUUGUGCCAAAGAAUAGAGCUUAUUCAGAUCAUUAGCAUCUUCAAGCAUUUCAUCCUUGAUUCUUUUUAGUUCCUUUUCCUUGGAAUCUAAUCUCCCCAAAACGACUUUAAGCUCCUCAUCUUUGAUUGUCAGAGACCUCUGUGCAGCUAAGACUUCCAUUUCUUUCAUUCUUAAGCUCUCUCUGGUCAGCUUGAGCUCACCUUCAAGCUGUUUCUUCUGCAAACUAAAAUCAUCACUUGUCUUGUCCAAUGGCUGUCGAAUUAGUUCCAAGUCCAUGCUCCCAGAUGGCCUAACUGCAUUAUAAUCUUCAUCCUUAACAGUGAUAACCAGUUUGUUUGUGAGAUCUACAAUGCGUUCCACUACAGUUUCAGCUUCAGAUAUUUUCAGCCUUGCAUCAUUCAGCUCAUCUUGCAUCAUCUGAACACGCUCCUCUUUCUCCAUCAGCAUAUUUGUGGCUUGAAUUAGUUGGUCUUCUUUACUGCUCAGGAGCAUCUUUAGCUCAGCAACCUCCUGGUCUAAUUCCUCCAACUUCUUCUUUGCAUCCAAGAGUUGCAAAUCUUUCUCCUCAGAGAGAAGCUGAAGAGAACACUGCACAGAUUUCAAAUGCUGAAUUUCUAGCUUAGCCUCCACCAAUUCUGACUCUUUAAACUGAAGAAUAUCAUGCAUUUCACCAAAUUCAGUAUUUUUUGCCGCUAGUUCCUGCUGCAAAUAAGACAUCUCCUGCACCAUCUGCUCCAAAGAAGAUUUCUCUUUAUUCAACUCCUCACGUAUCUCUUCCAUGAUCUCCUUCUCCAAGGAUAACUUUUGUUCAAGCUCCUUGUUUCGAGCCUCUGCAGCCCUAAGUUUUCCUUUCUCACUCUCAACUUCCAUUUGGGCAUCUUUUAAACUAGUCAUGUAAGACAUUACACUCUCCCUCUCUUCUUCAAGUUCCAAUAGCUGCUUUUUUAAUAGCAGGUCCUGUUCUUCCAUUCGCUUUCUAGAGAAUGCCAGAGAUUUCUGCGAAGAAACCAGCUCACUUCUCACAUCAACUAGAAGCUUUUUCACCCUUUUGAAAUCCUUCAUAGUUUCAUUAGUUUCUACCAUACGUUUAGAUGUUUCAUUUGCCAACCUCUUCAGACCCUCUUGUGCUAUUAACCAUUCCAUUGCCUGCUUCUCCAAAUUGGUCUGUACAACUUUUAACUUCUCCUCUUCAACUUUUCUAAGAGCCACAGAAACUUCCAAUUCUUUUUCUUUCUCUUGGAGACCUUUUUUGAGUCUUUGAAUCUCAAUUUCUUGUUUCUUUACAACUUCAUUGGCCUCAUCCAAGAGUUGAGCCUUGUAUUGCAGUUCAGAGUCCAUUUUAGCAACCUCCUCGCUCUUCUUUGUCAAUUCACUUAUCUUUUUUUCAAUUUCAUGUUGCUUUAUAAGUAGUGCAGAUUGUCCAGCAGCCACCUCCUCCUCCCUCUCCUUAAGUUGAAGCUUUAUAUCUUCAAUCUGCCUGGCUUGAGAAGCUAGGUUGAGAUUGGCCUCUCUCAGCUCCCCUUCUAGUUUUUCAUGCUUGGAAUGUGCAACAGCAAUUUCUUUUUCACGUUGCUGCAACUCCUGCUUUGCAAAGUUUAAAUCAUUGUGCUCUGACAAAACCUGUUUCUCUGCAUGUUGAAGAUCUUCUUCCUUCUUCCUCAAGGCAUCCAAAACAGCCAGAAGAUCAGACUCAAGGAUUUCGAGGUUAAACCCUGGUUGAACAUCCCUGGGAAGCUGAGAGUCACUGGUCAUUUCUUCUUCAAGUUUCUUUGUCUGUGCAAACAAUCUCUCAAGAAGAAUCCUUGCAGGUUCAGUUGCCCCAUUGUCAUUAAUGCUCGACUUGCUGCAAUUUAAGACUGAUUUGACAAUCCACUUUGAAGGUCUUAUUAUUUUUCCAGUUGUUAUAAAAUUCACUCUAUUCUGCUUCACAUUGAACCUCAGCCGGAACAACUGCACCAAAACAUUUAUAUUAUUUCAAUAUAAACCUACUAAACUUGAAGCCUAGGCACAAUUUUGACAAUGUUUUUGGCUGGAAUCCAAUUUAUACUUCUCAAAUUUUUAUAAAACCCAUUAAAUUUUAAUUAAAAUGAGAGUCCACCUACAACAACAGCAACUAAUCCUUAAUCCCAAACAACGAGUUUUAACCAUAAGAAAAGUGAAAAUUUCCUAUUGUCCAUGCAUUAUCAUACCAAGAAAGCACCAGCAUCCUACAACCCAGAAAAGUAGGAAAAUUUUGCCAUCACUAAAUAGAGAAUAACUAAUUACUUGAUUAGAAAAAAAGUCAAUUAACAAAUAAAAAUCCAUAUUGACCCUAACAAUUUCUCAAACCCUAGCUUCUCUAAUCAUUUAGGACGAUACCCCCGACCCAUGUGGGAAGAGAGAGAGAGAGAGAGAGACAGACCUUCGGGUAGGUGUCCGCUGGAAGAUUGGAAAGAAUAGCAGAAGAAAACCCCAUGUGGCAGAGCUAUUACCAAAGCCACAUGCUCCUAUACGCAGAAACUGUAUCUAGAAAACGCCUGGUGGCGGCCGUCGCUUCACUUGGCUUUUCAAAAACAGAACCUCCUCAACCAUCCUGAUCAGAAAAUUUCAGUUGGAGCUCAGUCGGCGCAGAAAGGAGAAGACAGAGAGCGUACUCAAGACUGAACGCGACUCUGGAAGAAAACGCAAAUGGCUGCCAUGGCACGCAAGGUCCGUUUGUUCAACUCAGCAUGCCCCACACGUGGUUCGCUUCUUCGCCACAUCGUAAAGCAAUACUCGGUGCCGCAGCUUUUUAAAAGCCAUUGAGCAUGAUUUGAUUUUAGACGAAACAACGUCCACUAAAUAAGGCAACAGCAUAAGACAAUAUAUAUAUAUAUAUAUAUAUAUAUUAUUUUAAAACUUUGUUUUUUAAAAAAAUUGUUAAUAUUUAAUUAUAUAAUACCUUCAAUUACUAGUUUUAAUAAAAAAAAAUAACUGUAUACUUUUAAUGUAAUUUAAUUAUAUUUUUAUUAUUCAAUCCUUUUUUUCUAUAUUAAAAAACAUUGUUAACAAAACAAUAUUAACGGCAUAAUAUUUUUUUAUCUCCUAAUUUUAUCUAUUUUUUUAAUUAUUUUAAAAUUAUUAUUAUUUUAUUAUUAUAAUAAUCUAUAAUUUAAUUAUUAUUAUUUUAUUUUAUUUUUAAAAAAAUAUUAAAAUAUUUUUUAAUAUUUAAUAAAAUUUAAUGUCUUUAAUAUGAAUAUAAUUGAAAAAUUAAAAAAAUAUGUAUGAAAAAAUAUAAAUAAGAAUUCAAUUUAUUUCUAUUCUAUUAAUAAAAUUUAAUUUAUUUUUAUUUAUUAAAUAAUUUAUUUAUUUGAAAUAAAUUUAAAUAUGAUAAAAUUUAAUUAAUCUCUUUUAUAUUAAAUAAAUUGAUAAUAAUAUUUAAAUUGAUUUAAUUUAUUCAUCAUCAUUAUCAUUUUAAACUAAAUAUAAAUAUUUAUUCUUAUAAAUAAUAAUUAUUUUUAUCACAUUAUUAAUAUUUUUAUAAUAUUUAAAUUUUAAAUAUUACAUAUUUUUUAUCAUUAAAAAUAUAAAAAUUAAAUUUUUAACUAACAAAAUAAUAUAAUGAAUUUCUGAAUAUUAGUAUUAAAUAAUUUUAAUGAAAUUAUUUCUAGCAAAAUUUUAAUAAUUUUGGCAUGAUUUAUUGUUAAUUUAAAAUUAAUUUUUAUAAAAAUUUAAGAAAAUCAAAUUCUUAUACUAUUGAAGAAAAUUAUAUUUGUUCAAAUAUAUAUAUAUAUAAUAAUGUAGAUAAAAAUUAUGAGAGAAAAAAAAUUAAAUUUAAAAUUUAAAAUUUUAUUUUACAUUGAAAAAAUUUACCAUAAUCUAUGCAUAUUAGAAGAAAAUAUUAAAUAUUAAAAUUUAUUUUUAAAAAAUUUAUAUAAUUUUUAAAAAAAUAAUAUUAUUGUGCUUACUUUUUAUUUGAUAUUUAUUUUAUAUGUGUAUUUUACCGAUAAAAAAAUAAGUACAUAAGCAUAUAGAGUGUUAUAUUUAAAAAAAUAUUUAAUAUAAUACUUAAAUAUUUAUUAUUAAUUAUGGUAUAAUUUAAAUAAAUAUAAAAUUAUGAUGGUGUAAAAAAAUUCUCAUUAUAAAUAAUAAGUCUUAAUUAUACUAAUUUCAAUUUUAAUUAAUUUUUAAUUUAAACUAAUUAUUUUUCGAUGAUAAUUUCAAUUGUGGUUUCCAACAAGUCCUUAAAAUUAUCCUAAUGGGCCUCAAACACUGAAACCCACCACACACCCAAAUCUCCAGUUUAAGAAUUAGCAACAUGUACGGUGAGUAGUAUUCGGUUCAUACCGAAAAAACCGAUCGAACUGAAUCGAUUUAAAAUUUUGGUUCGGUUUUUUAUAUAUUUCGAUUCGAUUUGGUUUUUAAUUUCAAAAAUUUCUGUUAUUUCGGUUUGGUUCGGUUUUGAUCAGAAAAAACCGAAAAAACCGAAGUGAACCGAUUAGUAAUAAUAAUAUGUUUUUUCAAUAAUAUAUAGAAAUUAAAUCAUAUUAAAAUUAAAAUAUUUUAAUUAAAUUUUAAAAUAUUAAAAAUAAAGUGUAAAAAAUAAAAAAAUUAUUAAAAAUCAAAACUAAUCAAACCGAACUGAAUCAGAUCGAUUCGAUUUGAUUCGAUUUUUAACCAAAAUCGAUUCGAUUCAGUUUUUAUAAACACUCAAAUUUCGGUUUUCGGUUUAUUCGGUUCGGUUCGAUUUUAAACCGAACCGACCGAAUGCUCACCCCUAGCAACAUGGUGAACACGAUGACUUAUCGAUCCGUUGGAUUUAAAAUUGAACGGAAUGUAAUAAAUUAAAAAUUAAAAUUUUAAUAUUUAUAAAAAUUAAAUUAAAUUAAUUUUAAUUAAAAAUUAAAUCAUAUUGAAUCGAUUUGAUUUAAACAAUUUAAAAUUUUAAUAAAUUUUUUAUUUUUUAUAAUAAAUUUAACUGUUUUUAUUUUAGUUAAAGAAUUUAUUAAAUAUAAUCAUUUCUAUUUAAAAUAUUUCCUUUUAUUUAAUACAAUCGAUAAUUUUAUUUUAAAAAAAAACAAUGUUAACAAAAUAAUAUUUACAGCAUAAUAUUUUUUAUCUCAUAAUUUUAUCCAAUUUUUUAAUUGUAUUUUAAAAUUAUUAUUAUAAUAAUAUAUAAAUUAAUUAUUAUAAUUUUAUUUUAUCUUAUUUUUUAAAAAAAACUUUAAAAUAUUUUUUUAAUAUUUUAUAAAAUUUAAUGUCUUCAAUAUGAAUAUAAUUAAAAAAUUAAAAAAAUAUGUAUGAAAAAAAUAUAAACAAAAACUCAAUUUAUUUCUAUUCUAUUAAUAAAAAUUUAAUUUUUUUAUUAUUUUAAAAUUUAAUUGAAAUAUUUUAACUUUAAUAUAAUAUAAUUUCUCUAUAUUAUUAAAAAUAAUAUAUUAUUAUCAUUAAUUAAUUUAAUUUAUUUUUUUAUUUUUUUAUUAAAUUCAAAUUAAAAUAAUCAAAAUUUUUAAAAUUAAAAAUUAAACUAAAUUAAAAUAAAUAAAAAAUUAAAUUAAAUUUUAAAUUAAUUCAAUUGAAUUAAUUUUUUUAUUUAAAUUAAAUACUGCUCACUAAUUAGGGUUAGGGUUCAAAAUUUCGACAGUAAAAUCAAGGUGUAAAUUAAUGAAAAAGGGCAAAAGAUUCAUGAGUAGACCCUACAAUAAUAUCCAAUUUAGCAUGUUAUUUCCAUGGAAGUCAUGUCAGUGCUCCCCAUAGGUUUAUAUAUAUAUAAAAAAACUAAUUAUAUCCAAAAAGCAGCCAGCUUUUGAAUAUGGAGGCAUUAUAAUAAAAAAAAAAAACUUUAAUUUUUAAAUUAAAAUUUAUUGAUUGCACAUAAUCACGACAAAUCUAUUAAAAAUACAGGGGGUGGAUUAAAGGCAAAAAUUAAUUGAAAAUAACAGGCAAAGGCACUUAUCUUAUGAUCAUAAGCUGUAAAGUUGAGACAAAGAUCCAUGGGUGAGCUUAGCUUUGAGUAAGAUGUGACCUUCUACAGAAAACUCUCAUCAUAACUUCAAGGUACCAGGUCCUUGCCCAAUCUGUUUUACUUGCUUAUAAACCCAUUACAAUAAUAAUUUUUAUAAUUUAAUAAAAUUCAUAAUUUAGUAUUUUUUUUCAAUAAUAGAUAAUCUAGUAAUUAAAUUUUCUAAUUAUAUAAUCUUUUUAUUUAAUUUAUUAUUAAUCAAUUAUAAAUUAAAUGAGCCAGGACUAAAUUAUUAUAAGUUUUAAAAUUUAACAUUUUAGAUCAUAUAUUUUAACUUCAUUAAUUAAACGACUUUUCAUGAGAAUAUUUUCUUUUAUAAUUUGAUAAAAUUAAAAUAUAAGUAAUGGACUAUUUAUUUUCUAAAAAUCAAGAAAUAUAAGUUUAAUUUCAACAUAAUUUAAAAAUUAAAAUGUAUUAUAUAUUCAACAGUAUUUUAAUCCUUUUAAUAAAUUGAUAUUUAAAAAUGAAAACAUAUAUAUUAAUUUUAACAUAUUUAAAAAUAAUUUACUAUAAUAAUAAUAAUAAAUUAAUUUUUCCUGCCAUUUUCUAACUGGGUCCCAUAUCUAGAAUUUAUUUAUUUUCAUCUCAUUCACAAUUCAAAAUAAUUGAUGUUGUUCUCUUCUACUUUUUGCAAACUAAUCUCUUUAAAUAAAGUUAAAAAUGCCAAAAUUAUAAUACUUUCUUUUCAAUAUUUUAUUUUCCUUAUUCAAACACAACAAAAUAAUAAUAAGGGAAAAUUACUUUGUAGUCCCUGAGGUUUAACGUAAUUAACACUUCUGUCCCUCUAUUUUGGCGACCCAACACUUAAGUCCCUCACUUUCUUUUCUGUCCAACUUCGUAGUCCUUCCGUCCAAAAUAGCAGUUUGGGACACGUGAAUUGACAAAAUUAACCUUCUUCUUCUUCUUCUUCCUCCUUUUUCUGCAACUUCUUCUUCUUCUUCUUCUUCUUUCUUCUUCUUCUUCUUCUUCUUUCUUCUUCUUCUUCUUCUUUCUUCUUCCUUCUUCUUCUUCUUCUUUCUUCUUCUUCUUCUUCUUCUUCUUCUUCUUCCUACUCUUUCUACAGCAACUUCUUCUUCUUCUUCUUCUUCNNNNNNNNNNNNNNNNNNNNNNNNNNNNNNNNNUUCUGCAACUGGAGAGAGAAAGCAUGAAAGAGAAAAAAAAAAAAAGGAAUUUCACAUUAAGAGAAGGGUAUUUUUGAAAAAAAUUAUCACCUCUCACUUUUGACUCUUUGACCAAACGGUUUAAAUGGACGGAAGGACUACGAAUUUGGACGGAAGAGAAAGUGAGGGACUUAAGUGUUGGGUCGCCAAAAUAGAGGGACAGAAGUGUUAAUUACGUUAAACCUCAGGGACUAAAAAGUAAAUUUCCCUAAUAAUAAUAAUAAUUUUAUUCCUUUAUCAUCCUCUCACCGUCCUCUCACCGUUUUCCAUCCGCACUUUUUAAGUAAAAAAAAAAAUUCCAUAUAUAAGAAAAUGACCACUGGACUUUCUAUGUUCGAGACAAAAUUAAAUUUUAAUAAGGAAGGCAGGUCCAAAAUUCAUCAGACUCUCCUCAAAAUAAACAAUCCACAUUGCGCAUUUAAGUCCAGUCGGAAGAGAAUUAAACUAGACAGACCUCACAUAUGGACUUUUCUGAAAAAAGCUCAAUAUGAUGAUGUGAUAAAAAAAAGAGCAGGCUAUGUCACCUCACAAUUCUACUCGCAUACGUGUCGAGAAAAUUAAAUGGCCGUUUAUGGUAAAAAGGAGCUCUGACAUAUCCGUAUAUACAGAUUUAAGUGAUAGAGACAUGUGGCACUGUAAUAGAAAAAUAGUUAGUCAUACUAACAGGCAAAAAGGAAAGGAAUAAAAGGAAAAAAGCGUUUUCCUCUAUUGGAGAACUGACACAAUCACAAUAAAUUCUAUUUUUUUAAAUUUCAGAACAUCAUAUAAUAUAUAUUUUAACUAAAAAGAAUCAUAACUAUAAUAUAAUUAUUGUAAUCUAUAUAAUUUAUUAUAUAGACCGAUCAUUUAAAAUUUUAUAUCGGUUGCAUAGUAUAUAUGAAUAUAACUUAUAUAAAAUUAAGGAGUUUGUUAAUUUUAUCCAUAAAUUUAAUAUAAUUCGAUGGUGUGAAUAUUUUUUUUUAAUAAAAAAUUUUAAUUCAAAUUAUGAGUAGAUGUAGAAUGAUUUAUAAAAAAAUAUUUCAUUUUUUAUUGUUUUUCUAUUGAAAGACGGUUUCAAAGGGUAAAAUUUUAAUUUAUAUUAUUUUUAAAAUGAAAUUUAAAACAAAAUUUCCUUUAUAGAGUAAUCUCUCCCGUGAAUUCCAAAAUGGAAAAAGAAAAAAAAAUCCCGUUUUACAUGCACAAGAAAUAAACUUGUCGUCCGUGGACACGUAGCACGAGAAUGAUAGGGCUUGGCACACGUGAUAGCAACUCUUCACAUACGGUCAUUGACUUUGCGUGUAGAAUAAAGGUAUGGGAUAAUCUUGUGUAAGCAACAAUAUGGACGGUUGAUCUGAGAAGUUUGGUAAUGGGGUGGCAGAUGAGGACCGUCCAUUGAGGUCGUGAAAAAAGAGAUGGAAGCCUUUGGAUUUGGUAAUCUAAGUGAUGUGAGAGGUGGGUGUGUAAUCUGAGGGCGUUAAUGAUCAUGUUAUUAUGUUUUCCCGUAGUACGCUCGCGUGCGCGUGAACAGUUUUUCUGUACUCAGAUUUUAUUUUGUGGGACCACCCUUCAAUUGAGCGGCUCUACCUUCUCAAGAUGCGCGUUUGCGUUUCUAACUAUAUAUUUUUUUUAAUAAAAAAAUUAAUUAUUUUAAUGGCUAAUAAUUAUUACAUAUUUAAUUAGUUAAAUAUUAAAAUAUAUAUAUAUAUAUUUAUGAUUAAUUUUUUAAAUUUUCAAGAAAAAAAUGUAUAAAUUUACUAAAUUAUAGGUAUUAAAUUAUAUUUUGUAUAAAAAAAAACAAGGAAAGUAAAGAAAAGUGUCGAUAGGAAGCGGGAUGAAUGAACAAGGGUGGGAGAUGCGUAGAAGAAAGAAAGAAAAAGUGGUGGGAAAUUGAAAGCGGUGAGUUUCACUCACCGCCACGUCACAAAGUGUAAAAAGGAAGAGAGCACACGACAAGCGCAUUGGGAGAGCCUCCAAAUCUAGAAAAUCUGCUGCUGCAGAUACGCUGCCAAUCAAUAGCCGUCAAUUUCCUUCCAAAUGACGUAUAUAACCUCACCUCAAAACCAUUCAAGCCUCCAGUGCCAUGUUGCUUUUACGGCUACGUCACAAAUUUUAUAUAUUAAUUUUUUAAAUAUUUUAAUGUUUAAAUAAGCAGAAAAAAUUAGUAGGGGUGGGAUAUACGAGGGAAUUAGACGGGACAAAAAAAAAAAAAAAAAGAGGGUGGUAAGAAUAUAGAAUGAUGUUUUUUAAAGAACGGGGAAAUCGUAGGUUUUUAGAAAGCUGAGAAAGAGCCAACAGUAUAUGUAUCGACAAGGCAGAUAUUGCUCUUCUGGAUGUGUCUGGCUUUUCCCACUCACUUUCUGUUGCGCGUGUUGUCUCCUCGUUGACAUUUUUUGUCCCACUCCCACGUUCGAUUACCCAACUGUACUCUCAUUCUUAUCCAUCCAAAUUACUAAAAUUAGUUAAACUUAAUAGACUCACCUACUUUGAGAUUAUCUCUUUUAUUUAGUAAAUUUUAAUUAAUUCUUACUUCAUAAAAUUAGAGUUUUUUUUUUAAAUAAAAUUUAAGAUUAUAUUAAUAAAAUUUUAUUAAAUAAAAAAUAAUAUCAGAUGAUUAUAUCUAAUAAAAUUUUUAAUUAAAAUAUGAAUAAUUUGAGUGACAUAAUGACGAAUCCAUCUAAUAAAAAUAUUAAUUUUAGAGUUUAAUAAAAGUUUAAGAUCAUUCAAAAUUAAAUUUAAUUUAAAAAUAUUUAAAUGUGUAAAUUAAAAAUUUUAAAUUAUUUUAAAAAUAUAAAUAUUAAAAAAUAAAAAUUUUAUCGUAAAGAGUAAACAGUGACGAAGAGCUGCAGUUUUAACAAUUAUGAGCGUACCACUACCUUUCAAAAACUCUUAAACAUCUUAUUGAAAUAUACCCUGAGUUUUUCAUAAUAAAAAUGUAGCCAAUAAAAUUUUAAACUUGAAACAAAAUCCCAUCAACUUGAUAAAAUUAACUAAAAUUAUCCAAAUUUGAAAAUAAUGCACGAAUUUAAAAGAAAUAAUUUCAGAAUCACGAGUAAAAUUGGAGAAAUAAAAUAAGUUUCUAUCUUGAUAUAAAGUAGUAGUAUUUUCAUGUAAAAUACCAGCAUAUUGAAUAAUUUUUCAAUUUAAAAUAUAAUGCAUGAUGCGUUUUAUAAAAUACUUUUUUUGUUUUUUUACUUAAAUUAUAUAUAAUUAAUUUUAAUUAAUUAUUUUUAUAAAAAUAAAUAGAAAAACAAAAUUUUUAAAUCCAUUUAAAAUUGAAUCAAUUUCAAUUUGAUCUGCAAAUUAAAUUGAACCGUGGAUUCCAAAUCGAAACCGGGCUUGGCCUAAGUCAAGGUAAUAGUUCCAAUUCUGAUGUCGGCCUCAGUUGCCUUUGACUAAUGUUAGUUGGGCUAGGGAAUUUGAAUGCAAAAUGAAUAAUUAACUUGUUUAAAAGAGAAUUUUAGUUAAUAGAAGAGAAGACGUAAAUGCACGUGGUUUAAAAUCGCGUGGUAGAAAACAAAGGUUCAAAGGAACAGUGCAUUGGAUUUGGCCAAACAUAAAUAGACAAAAUACUGUUAUUUAAUGCGCUUAUCGUCUCUUUAGAUUACAUUGAGAACUGAGAGAUUUCCUCUUCUUUAUCACACACACUGCUUAGGAGGGAAAAAAUUUUUUACUUGAAACUUUUUCCAAAUCCCAUUCCACCAAAGCAACACUCUAAGCUAACCCAAACCGAGGAAAGCUACCAUCUUUAUUUCUUUCCUUUGAUUUUCUUUUCAGCAGCCUAAAGCCCAUUCGAGUCAGGAAAAAGGGGAAAUGUUUGCAGCAGAGAACGGACUCAAGGGAGACCCCAGGCUACAGGGCAUCUCCGAAGCUAUUCGGGUGGUGCCUGGCUUUCCCAAGCCAGGUUUUCUUUUUCUGUAUCUUCUUAUUGUAUGCAUGAGAACAAAAAAGAGACUUUGUUAUUGCUCAGUGGAUUUUUUUCCUUUGUGGAAUUUCGUCGAAUAUAUUAGCUGAGAGUUGUUUCUUGACAGGGAUAAUGUUUCAAGACAUAACAACGUUGUUUCUGGAUCACAAGGUUUUUAAGGAUACAGUUGAUAUAUUUGUUGAUCGUUACAGAGAUAUGGACAUUUCUGUUGUUGCUGGUAUUGUAUUAAAGCUUCUUCUCUUUCCCUCUCUAUGUUUCUUCUCUCAUUACAUUUACUAGUAAUUGGUAAACUACCUGAACAAAGGAAGCCUAUUAUUAUUAAUUAUUUUUUUAUUUUGGUUUUGAAUUUUACGAUAUUUUUUCAAAUCGCCUUUUAAAAUUCAGAAUUUUGCUAAUUGUAGCUUGUGCUCCUUCAAGAUUGAUUGUCCACAUAUGGAAAGAUGAUGCAUUUGCUGCAGUGCUUUGACAAAUUUAUGCCUGUUUCUUUGAAAAGUAAAAGUAUUAUGAAUUCCAUGUGAGCUGUGACAGCAGGAGAAAAGGAAAAAGAAUAGGGUAAACUGGGGAGUUUCUAUAAACACAGACACAGUGCUAUUUAAACCUGCACUUUUAUUCUACAAUAUCCUCUCUGUUUAUUUUCCUGAAAAGCACUGAAAUUGGUAUAAUUCUCAAUAAAAAAGGGAAAUUAUUUGGGUUUAUUUAGCUGCAUUCUUAGAUUCCAUAUUAAGACUCGUAUUUAUGUAUUGCAUACACAUUCUGUUAUUUUAUUUCUGAGCCAAGCAUUCAUUUUAUUCAAUGCUGAGAAUGAUCAUAUUGCUUCCAAGGCAUAUUGGUUAAUCUGCUGCCUAGUACUCUUUUGAGUCUCAAGCCUGAAUUCCAUGCCUUGAUAUUGUUAUAGGCUUAUAGCAAUGGUUUGCUAAAACUGAUUGAGACCUUCAAUUCCAGUGUUUAUAUAAAUUGUGAGCAAAACUGGUCAUCUGGCACAUAUGCCAGUUCCAUAAGUGUUUUGGUAGAUAUGUUGGAGGGUGCUUAAGAAUUAGUGUAAAGAUUCUAUUUUACCUUUUAGGAUUUGAUGAUUAGCUAAAGAUGGUGUCUUAAUGAUUUAUCAUCUAAUUCCAUUAGAUUUGUUCUGUACUUCCUUAGUCAAGCAAUUGAUUUUUUUUCCUAUUUUUAAUAUGUAGGUGUUGAAGCUAGAGGAUUCAUGUUUGGCCCAUCAAUUGCCUUAGCCAUUGGUGCAAAGUUUGUUCCUUUAAGAAAACCCGGAAAGUUGCCAGGUACUUGGAUGCAGAAUUUAGAGCUGUGAUCUACGUGUUUACUGAUCAACUGGGUUAUAGACUAUCAAUUUUUUGUCACUUGGUUUUGAAAUCUCAGUGCCUUAGUAACCAGUAUAAUUUGUUGAGUAUUGCUUGGUAAUUUUCUUUGUUCAUUAUGUAAAUUUUGCCCUGGGAAUCUCUUAAACCUGAGUUUGAAAGUGCUUGGUUCCCAGGUUCAGUGAUCUCUGAACAGUACGUCCUGGAAUAUGGAACCGACUGUCUAGAAAUGCAUGUUGGUGCUGUUCAGCCUGGGGAACGUGCAUUGGUAAUUGAUGAUUUGAUAGCUACGGGCGGGACCUUGUCGGCAGCAAUAAGACUUCUGGGUAAACUUGGCCUCUUCUUGACCCCAUUGCCUUUAUUCGCUGUCUGCUCCUUUGGCUUAUUCUCACAAAAUAAUGUGUUUCACUUUGAUGUUUUAUUAGAACGAAUGGGAGCUGAAGUAGUUGAAUGCGCAUGUGUUAUUGGGUUGCCUGAGGUCAAGGUAAUGAUUUGAGAACGUACCAAUUUGCUUGUUUUAUUAUCUCUCAAUCUUGUACUUGUGUUUUACAUGUAGAAACCUUCAAUGAGAAAUGAUAUAAGGGAGGAAUUUAUCUUAAAUCCUUAGUUUAAUAUAACGUAAAAGUUUGGUCAAGUGAGACUGGAAAUCUCCCCAAGAUUUCCACUGAUUAUGGUGGAGUCUCAAAGCUACUGUCCUGACAUGGUUCUUUACUAUGGCUCAAGUUCUUUGCAGACUAGUUGCGUCAAAUGUAUUACUUACGCCAACGAUGUUAUACAGUUGAUCUCAUUUUCAUCAUAAUACUUCAGCUAUUCAUGCUUUUCUUAUAUGUACUAGGUGUAAUGUACGCAACCAAUAGAUUGUGAUUAAAUGUGAGACCUACUGUUGUUUUUGCUUGCUUGUCAUUUAUUUAGCACUGACAGAUAAUUCCUGUGGCUGUCUGACAAUGUUGUUUCUCAGGGACAGCGCAGGCUCAAUGGAAAGCCACUAUAUAUCCUUGUGGAGCCGCGAGACAUAGAUUGUUAUCAAGGUAUGAUUUUAUGAUAGAGUCAAUGUAUGGCCAAAAAUUCUAUGCAAAUGAUUCCAACUAGCUUGGUUUUAAGACGCAGUGUGAGAUUAAGAGGAUUUAAACAAAAUUUAACCGACUUGGUUGCAGAUGUGUGAGUGUGAAUAUGCUUGGGCUGACUUGCAGAAAGAGAUGAUGCUUGAGCAUAGGUCAUUAUAUGUUUCUAUCAUUGGUUAUCCUGUUUUUCAAAAAUCAAAUAUGUCUAGAUUUGGGCCUUUGUCCUCGUCACGUGAUGUAGAAAGGUCGUUUGCUCCUAUAGCUGGAAGCUGUUCUUACGUUUUUUUCCAAGAUAUAAAACCAAAUUGUCUUCGUUCUUGGCCAUGUUUUCUUUGCACAUCCCCUUGACGAGCUUCAAAUUCUUCCGUCUGAUAUCGGUUUCUACAAGAAAGUUAUAAAGUGAUCAUCGAAUAUUGUCUUAAAUUGCGGGUUAAAUAAUUAGAAUUUCAUUUAAACCAGUACAAAGUAAUUGUGAUCUUAUGAGGAAAAAAAAAAAAUCAAAUUUGGCAUACGUAAGCUAGUACAAAAUGCCUGUUUCAUGUGCCUCGCUAUUCCAGUCAAUGAUGAUAAUAAAAUUGAAAAGGACGGUAUCUCCCUGUCAUGACUUGUACACGUGGAACUACAAAAUUACAAUACUAAUACGGUUGGUGACAUCAACCAUUCAAAUCAGGAGAUUAAUUGCUGUAGUGAUCAUACUGUAAAAACCUUUUUUGAGAAUUAUACAUAAAAAAUAAAACAGUUAUCUUUCUACAGGAUCAACUUCUGUUGAAUAAGCCUUGUCCCUAUUCUCAGAUGUGUUGUUGCCAGUAUGAACUCUAAUACGCAUGAAGUAGUUUACCAGUUUCCGUAGUUUAGCACUAUCAGUUGAUAUAGUUGCUAGCAUAUUUCUCAACUCUGGAUCUGUUGCCUCCAUAUUGUCAUCCUCAGAAAUAGCAGUUUUACAAUCUUCGAGCAAUGCUUGAACCUAAAUUAGAAAGGGAAAAAAACAUAUAUACGUGUCAUGAAGAGAGUAUCCACAACUUUCGAGGCAGGGGAAAGAAAGGAAACAUAAUUGUAUAUUUUCAUAUUUAAGAUGCAUUUCCCAAACAAGCAAAUGCAACAAUAAUUCCCAAUGGAAGUUAAAUAAGAUAACUGUUUGGCUGAUGAGACAUGAUGCUAUUAAUUUUUGGGGGCAAACAAGGGCAACGGGAAUUACAGCCAUGCUCUCUUGGUCAAGAACACAAAAUGCCACAUUUUCAAUAAAAAAACCAAACACCACAAACAAUAGUUUAAUGAUGACAAGCAAUGUGGGGUNNNNNNNNNGGGGAGGGGAGAAAAGAGGGGGAGCACCUCUGCAAGCAGAAGGCCAAUCUGAUCAGCAGAUGUAGACAACAAAUCUAAAGCAUCUGCCUCUGAGGAAUACAUAAUAAAUUUAUCCUCCUUGCCAGACAGAGGUUGCACUAUGUAAGCUGGUUGCGAAGAGUCCAGCAAUAAUGUAGCAGCUUCUUUUGAGCAUUAUUCUUAUGCAUACUCAUUUCUCUUUCCUCUUGAAGCAGUUUCUGAAAAGUAAAAUAUACAACAAUACUUAAAUGUAGGAAGUCCAAAAUUAACAACAAAUUUGUUAAAAUGAAUGAAGUAAAAAAUAUCACAAUUUAAAAAGCUGCAACUGAGAGCAGUAAACAAUAUUUUUACUAUAUUGACGGUGUCUCUAAAUUAAGUAAUGUAGUUCAUGCCAAGAGAAUAACAUAUUUUCCACAUAAACUUGAUGUUUAAUGCAUGAUUAGUAAUGCCAUAAACUACCUCAACUUCAGAUUUCUCUUUCAAUGAUUGACCAAGUUUAUCCUUCAGUUCUGCCUGGGAUUUUUGGAGGGAUUUAAACUCUUUGGCCAGAAAUCUAAUAUCUUCUUUUGAUUUUGCUUGUAGCUCCUCAUACUGUUUUGACAAAAUCUCAAGCUGUUUUCUAGUAGCAUCCAACUCCUCCAAUGCUGAGUCUUUCUCCAGAUAGUUGGACCCUGCACCUGAAUUUUCAUCCUGUAAUAAUUACAAAAUAUAAAUUCAAUAUAUUGUAAAAGAAAGAACAAAUUGAAAAUAAAACUACAGAAGGCAAUUAAAAAAAAACUUGCGGCAAAAAUAAUGGCUGAUACAUAACCUCUCUAGACCUCAAUCUCAACUCCAUUUCUAAUGACUUAUGCCUCAAUUCCUCAAUUCCUCAAUAUCCCACAGCAUUUGUGUAAGCCUUUCCCUCUCAAUUAAAAUAGCUUGCUGCAGGUUUUCUUUAUUUUUCUGUUCGGUAGUUUCAAGUUCUGCCUCCAAAUCCUUGACCUGGAGAGAAAAAAUUGGCUUCAGCGCUUUUACAUGAUACUACAUUUACAAUAAAAAUGGAGCCUUAGGCAAGAUAUUGAAACUGUAAUGGAUCUGCCCACAUUUGGACAUUAGAUGUUCAAAAUGAUCUUGCAUACGUGUUGAAGCGGAAGUCUGUUACCAUGAUUCAAGCAAAUAGGAACAAUGUCUACAGAAAAACCUCACAGUUAAAAGAUAACACAGAGUGGCAUCUGGAAAGCACAUUUGGUUAUAAGUUGACAUACCUUUGUUUUAAGAUAACUUUUUACAGCUAUCUGUUGAUUUAAUCUUUGCUAUAAGGUCCUCCAUAUCUGUUUUUGCUGUGGCUUACCUCCGCUGCAUGGUUGUUAGAACUCUGUUCAUUUUAUGAGGUUGAUCCAGUGGGAGGACUAUUUGUUCAUCAUCAGUAAAUUGCAACUCUGUUCUGCCAAGAAGUCCUGCCGUAUUCAAAACCUCAUCAAAAGAUCCAUCACCAGACGAAUUUGGUACGCCAGAGUUCGAUACUUCGCUGCCUCUUAGAGAACUUCCAUCACUUCCAACACUCUCGCUAGAUAACUUUAGAGCAUGACUAAAAAUCUUGCCACUCUCUGGCUCAGAAAAAAGUUUCAUCCCAUUGCCAGCAAGAAAUGAGGCUUUAGAAGCAUUUCCAUUACAUGUAUCCUUCCCUAUGAUAUUAUUCAAAUGUGUGUCAUUUGGUUUGUGCCUUGGAAAACCUUCAAGCUGCUCCAGAAUAGUCUGUCCCAUAAACAGUCCCUCAUCAAUGUUGGACAUGCCAUACUUAACAAGAUUUUCUAUUGGGUUUGUCAAAUCUUCAUCCAACGUUAGAUCCUCUGUUCCAAUUUCUAACUGUUCAUCCCUUAUUAACCUUGGUGUUCCAAGCUCCGAUGUCUCAUGAGCAGUAUCACUACCAUAAUCCGAUUUCACUGACAAGCCACCGAUAAUCAUGGAAGAAGUUGAAUGUGGCGGUACGUGAGAUGAAGAAGUUGUGCUGUCAAUAGCAGGACUCGCUUCCGAUGGCUGCUGAUUUACAUCCUGGAAUGCUGGGCAAAGUAUAAAAAUGUAAAUUAUUAUAUAUAAAAGAAAAAUAAUAUGAGAAACCCAAAGGAGGCAAACAUGUAGUGCUAUUUUGGGAAAGAGAAGAAGAAGAAGAAAUAGGUGUCCACUUCUACUUAAAUAUAAAAAGAAACUUGAUGCAAUACAGUAGUACAUACAAGACCUCACAGCAGCUCCUAGCUGAAGAAAAAAUGCUACUGCCAUGCUACGUGAUGAAUCAAUGUCGGAUAGCAGCUUUGUCAUCCACUACUCCAAAGAGCACCUUCUCUGCAACAAAAUCAAGUCUUUUAAGAAUAUUAGUCACUUGUAGCGAAUGAAAAAUAAAACUCUCUAUUCAAUUCAAAAUAAAUUAAAUAAACUUAUUUCAUAAAUAUGCACAUCAUUCUCAUUAAUUUUGUAAAUCUUCCAUCAUGGAGAAGAGUCUACCAAGGACCAACUUUAAAAUUAAAUGUUGAGUUUGAGAGUUGCCCAUGUAAAAUGAGGCACUAUGAACUGCAACUAAAGGGAAACAGAAUGCCAGUAAAAAGAGACGACAAACCAAUCAUAAAACUUAUCAUGUCCCCAAAGGAAAAUUUUAAAAAUCCAAUGCAGAAGCCACUUGCUGGUCUACCAGACCGAAAAGCACAUGCAACCAUGAAGUCCAUUUGCUACCUCUUCCAAAAGUGCCCAGCUUUUAAUUUGAAGUAGUGCCUUGGGUGGAGUUGGUGGAAGAUUUUUCUUGGGAAAUGAUUUUUUAAGCUGCAGAUGAAGCGAUUGAUGAUAUAACAAGAGUUGUUAAUCAAAGUCUUAAAUUUUGAAUAAAAAAACCAAGCUCAGUUCCUACAAAAUAUUGUCUAAUACAUAUGAAGUAAUUCAAGUGCACCUCCAAUCCAAAGGAGUUAGCUUGCUAAGGUAACAAACUGCAAAGUAUAGUACUUACAUUAGUAAAUAACUUCAGAAAAUCAUUAAACCUUCUCAACACUCCACGUAUAGUUGUAAUCCCUUCCGGUGAUUGCACACCAAUCUGUACCCUGUAAAACUGCCCCUUGAGAAUGUUAACACUGAACGUGUGUAACAAUGAUUGUGUAAGUCAUUAAUCAUGAAUGCCCAAAAACAUACUUAUACACGUGUGAAUAUCCAAUGAAUGGGGAAACUGCCUUACAAUGAAUUAAAAAUCUUGGUUAAUUCUCCCAAGGACAUUUGGGAUUAUAAAGCUGGCAGCAAUUAUGAGAUUGAAUAGAAAAGGAAGCCACAAUACUGUAAACUCCUAAUACCCCGAUGGUUACAACUUGUGAUUUCAAGUUAGAUCUAAAGUCAUAGCCCCAAGAGGGUGCAAGGUGUAUUAAGAAAGGGAAAACCUAUUUCCCGUUGUGUAGCCCAACCAACAGACAAAAACGAAUAGUAAUGACAGCUAAUAAAUUGUGUAGUGUGUGAAGUUUAUUUGUCGCUGAUAACUUCGCAAAUCCAACUGCAAAGGAACCUGAUGAAAAUAAGUUAAGAAGGCAAGGAUUUUCCCCCCUUUCUUCGAGUGAUUCUUGUCUGCUGGAAUGAAAAGAGAACAGAAACCCAAUAGAAUUUCUGCACUUUUUUCACCAUAUUUGCAUAUUUUCGAGAUUGUGUAAUAAGUUAUGCAACAUCCAAUGGUUAUUGAAUGCACAGCAUUUGUGCAAACUUUGAGGUGUUUUUCAAGUAAAGAUCAUAAUAUAUGAAGCAAUAAAUGGUGAUAUGCAGAUAUUUAUAUCUUGCAAGCGAAUCCAAUAUUUUGUCAAGUAAAAUAUCUAAAUACGGUAUAUAACAACAUCUAACCCGUGGUAUAGAUAAACACUGGAGGUUCAUUCAAUUUGAGUACCACUAGAGGAUCUGAAUCUCUUGAUUGUGUGGAGAACAACCCAGUAAGGUGACACAAUAACUCCAUCCUGAUCUAGGAUCAUGUGGCCAAAUGGUAUCCCGCCCAUUCUGCACAAGAAAAUUUCUUCAUUGUUUUAUAUACUGAAUUACAUUUAUUAGAAUAUAAUAUAGAAUUAUGUUUACAACGAGGACUAUAUUGAAAUUACAAAAUAGCAAAAGCAUAAUCAAGCAGAAAUCCUCAGGAAAAAAAAAAAGAAAUUUGAGAGCAUCAGAAGGCCGAAGGGUUUGCAAAUGAGAAAUAAACGAAUGCAGAUUAGAACCAAGUUUUUGCUAAAUUAUGCAGCCUUUUCAAACCAUAGCUUUCAUCUUUAAAUAGUUUCCAACAAUCAUUCUGAAGACAUUUCCACGCAUCUUGUUGAGUUUUUAAGCCAUGGUGCAUAGUUUUGAUCCAGCACUAACAUCCAAACUCCAAAGAAGAAAAAAAGCUAAGAUCACUCUUUCAUCAGAACCGAUGUUUACAAAUAAGAAGGAAAAUGAUAAUGCAACUUCUAUCUCAACUCUGGCCGGUUUAACAUAUAGGCAAUAAAAGUACAAGCCACAUUAAUAUUUCAAAAUCAAUCUGCUUGGAUUGCUAGAAUUUUGUGAGAGAUGUGUGUGAUUUUAGUUUCUCAGACAACAGGAAGAAAACUAAAAAGAAAAAGCAGCAAAUUGUAAUUCAACAAUUUUAGACUUGGAGGUUGAGUUCUCCAUGCUAAAAUACAUAAGGUGCUUUCAAUGUGAUACACGAUGAAACAAGUUGCACAUAAGAAGCAUGCAGCGCGAGUUCACCGAAAAGAGAAUUAACUUUUAACAUUUAUAAGAAAGUGGCACUUUAAACGUCCAACAUAUUGGGCAAAAAUAGCCAAUUAAUUGUAAUUGCAUCUUUCUGCGCAUAUGAUUAUACUCUCUUAUCCUAGCUCUUGAAUAGCCCAAAACCUCUGAACCUGUAAAUACCAAUGAGCUUACUUUUGAUGGUACUGAUCAAGCGACUAACAGGAAAAAACUAGGGAAAAAACAUUUAAUAGUUUUAGUCAUUUUCAUUUUAAUCUAUAAUUCAAUUUAUGUAAAAAUAAUAUUUAUAAUAUAUUACCGUUAGCAUUAUAAUCGUAAAAAAAUUAAAGAAAUUGCAAUUAAAAUAUAAUUAAUAAUAAACAAAAUAUAUAUAAAAAAUAUUCUAUAGUUUUAUUUAUAUUAAAUUAGUAUUUGACAUAAUUUUCAUGUCAAUAACCAAUAACACAAUAUUACAUAUACUACGGAUUGCAUAAAUUGAAUCACCAAGUAAAAAAUAAAUACUACGAAUUACAUAAAUUGAAUCACAAAAUAAAAAAUAAAUAAAACAAAUCGUACUUUUUUUUUUAUACUUUAUCCUAUUUUAAAUUACAUGUAAAAAAAUAUAUAUAUAAAUAAAUCCAGAGUUGAAACAAUUCAGCACUGUACGAGGGAUAGAAAUGAAAUUACGAAUCCAAGAGAGGCAAUUAAGUUCAAAAUCAAGGGGUAUUGAAUUGGAUCGAACUUACCCAUUUUCGAGGUGGAGGACUCCAAUCCAUCCCCAAAGGCAGAGGAGAAGUCCCAUCAUGCCUGUGUUUAGGUGGACUUCGUCUCUGCAUCAUAUUCUCUCUGCGUCUGUCUUCAAAUGAGAGUGAUCAUAUAGAAAAAUGAUCACUCUCAACCUAACAAUGCUCCCUCUAUAUCCGUCUUUUAUUCAGGCGUCAGAUACUAAAUUCGAGAAUCUGAUAGAAAAAGUGACUCUCUGGAAGGAGGUCGUUGAAUAUGGAGUGCUAGGUGUUUGAUGAUCGGAUCGGAGCUACGAGUCAAAGAAAUACCAAUAGAAUCCUUACAAUAUCAUUAUUGUUGUAGUAGACGUCGGAUACUUUCGAAGGAAAACGACACCGCACAAUGACAGAGGAAGAGGCGAACGUGGCUAGAGAGAGAGAGAGAGAGAGAGAGACGAGCGUAAUGUGUCAGCAGCUGCCUGGAUUCUGCAUUUGUUUAGUCUUUCUUCCUCUGCAACAAAGAGACGAGAACAAGGGGGUCGCAUGGAAGGAUCAAGUUCGAAAUCAAUCUCAACUGUUGUCUUGCAUUUGCUUUGAGCUUCACGGCGAGGAUAUUGAGAAGGCUAAUUCGGCCCUUUCUCAAUAUGAGUCAAGGCUUAGACCAGGCCCUUGCUAUGAUUUUCACAUGGCCCAUGGUAAACCUAGGGCCUAGCUGCAGCCGAUGGUCAAUCUAGAAUUAAAUUAAAAUCGGCUGAAAUUAGAAUUUUUUUUUUAAAUGACGUCACAGUCAAACUAGAUUUAAAAGAUUGAAAAAUUUUCUAUUGCCAAAUUACAUCGAAUUCUCUAAAACUCACCUUUUACAAGUGACAAAAAUAAAAAUUUGGCUCUAUGAGUUAUUUUCGAGUGUUUUAGUUAAUUUCCUUUAAUAUUUUAAAUUCUGUGAUAUAAUUUUAUGUUUGCAUAGAAUUUUAUUAGUAUUGGCAAUUUAAUUUUUAUGAUUUAAUUUAUUUUGGUCAAUUGAAAAAAAUAAAAAUCUUUUAACUGUUAAAUACCUCAACCAUGAACCAAUCAUAAUAAGACAAAAAUUAGAAUCAAAAUUCAUUACAUAUAUUAAAAAGAAAAAAAAUCCACCGCAUGUGGUGAAAACAAAAAACCAAAGUAGCAUUAAUGGUGCAAUUUGUCUUGUACAAUAGGAAACAUUCCACCACGAAAAAUGGUGGCCCAAAAAUUUUUUGUGCCCAUCAAAUAAAUUUGAAAACCAUCAUGGGAGUAUGAAAAAAAUCUGCAUAUUUAUUACGUCAAUUCAAUAAAUAGUAUUUCAUUUUCUAAUAAAUUUUUAGAUUAUGUUUUAUUUUUUAUUUAUAUUUUAUAUUUAUUUAUUUUAAAUAUAUCAAGCCAUUGUGAAACAGUUUUUUUAAAUUUAAUAUUUUAAAAUCUAAAAAAUAGGGUUUACAGUAGUAGAGUGAACUACUUUUAAAAAUAUCACAUCUUUUUCCUUUUAUCCCUCUUCGUUUUAUUUAUUAAUGAUAUAUAACCGCUUCAUACUAGCGUGCCGUCUGUUAUUAUUACUAAGUUCCAUACGUACAGACAUGUUAAUAUAUUUCUUUCUGUCAAGCGACUAUUUAAUUUCCUCCGAUGCGAAUGCUGUUAGAGGUACGAGAUGACUUGGUAUACUCUCUUACCACUUGUCAUAUCACCAGUUAAGCUAUCAUUGAGUGGAUCUAUGUGUCAGGUCAGCUCGAUCUGCUUCAUGUCACCGGAUCGAAAUAUACAAUAUUGGAUUGGUGUACUUGAAAAUAAUUUGAUAAACUUUAAGUCUGUGUUUUUAACUAUAAUCCAGUCUUGCUCUAGGUGUAAGAAGUUGGUGAUCAUCAAAAAUUGAAAAAUGAUUUAGUUUUGUUACGGAAAACUGCUAAUAAAAAUUAAUUUAACUAUGAAAUGCAUUUCUAGUAAUUAAUUGCUAAUAAUUAAUUACAGUUGAUAUAUCAUGGAUAUUAGAUAAAAUUAUUUAUAGUUACAUAUUAUAUAUAAAACGAUUAAUAAGAUUAUAGGGUGCACUAUUUAUUUUAUUUUUAAAAUUGAUAUAAUAUUUUUUUUAUUUUAAUAAUAAAUAAAUCAUGUAGAAAUUCAAAUUCGAAAUAAAUCACUUUCUAUAUACUUGAGAUAAAGUUGACUUAAUAAUAAUAAUAAUAAUAAUAAUAAUAAUAAUAAUAAUAAUAAUAAUAAUAAUAAUAAUAAUGAAGAAAAGAAGAAAUGGAGUGAUAACUUACAUUAAUCACAGAAAAUACAACAGACACAUCACACUAAGCAAACAGGCUUGCUCAGUUUAUUUGGACAAAUUACACAUCAAUUCUUAGAAAAAGACAAAAAACUAAAAAUUACAGACCUUUUUCUUUGAAGCAAUUGAAAAAGAAAGCUCUCACAGAUUAAUUAACCCACCAAUUGAUCUAAAUUAGCAACAACUAAUAAGAGCUUUACACACAAAGCAUGAAAUUAAUUAAUUAACAGCCAGAUCUCACUCAUGAAUUAUUUUCAUGCACAUUGGAAGCCAGGAGGAAUAGAUUUGCCACAUGCACUGAGAAGCAAGCUAAGUGCAACAGGCACAUUCAAGUUGAUACCAAGCACACUAGCUUUAAUGGCAGUGCAUAGACAAAGAGCAGCUUCUAAGUCAGCCAAGCCUUCAAGCACAGCACAGCACUUGUCCCCAGAAGGUGGACUUCCAACGACAACGUGAACAAGCCCAAGCAGGUCUACGCAAACCCCAAGCUUUAGUGUAUCUCUGGGGCAAGUUGCUGGUGCAGGAGAAGGCGUCGGCUUGUGCUUGCAAGGAUCGCAAUUAGCAUUAGAGAAUGCUGAGAAGGAAAGGAGAGAAAGGAUCAAAAUGCAGGCGGAAAGUUUCUUGGAAGCCAUAGCUGUAGCUGUAGACUAGCUCGCAGUAGCAGAAGCUUGGUGGGUUGUUUUGGGGAGAGUAGUAGC